rnacentral:lncRNA from 1 species
GGGUUUGCGUUUCUAAUGAUUUUAAUAAAGUGAAGAUUUUAGGAGCAAUGUUGCAAGUGAUUGACAAAACUACGGGUGGGUUGAACAGUCUUGAUGCAAUUCUUAAAAACCUUAAGAAAGAGCUGGAAAGUAAGACAUUUUUUCUUGUUCUUGAUGAUGUGUGGAAUGAAGACCCUGAUAAGUGGGAUGAUUUGAAGGAGCAACUGUUAAAAAUUAACAGCAAGAAUGGGAAUGCUGUUGUUGUUACAACCCGCAGUAAGAAAGUAGCAGACAUGAUGGAGACUUCUCCAGGGAUUCAGCACGAGCCAGGGAGACUAUCAGAUGAUCAAUGUUGGUCCAUCAUCAAGCAAAAGGUGAGCAGGGGUGGAGGAGAAACAAUAGCUUCAGACUUGGAGUCUAUUGGAAAAGAGAUUGCAAAGAAAUGUGGAGGGAUUCCAUUGCUUGCUAGAGUUUUGGGAGGAACUCUUCACGGAAAGCAGGCUCAGUGGCAGUCAAUUCUAAACAGUAGAAUUUGGGAUUCUCCGGAUGGAGAAAAAGCUUUGCGCGUAUUGAGAUUAAGUUUUGAUUACCUGUCAUCGCCAACACUGAAAAAAUGUUUUGCAUACUGUUCCAUUUUCCCUAAAGAUUUUGAAUUUGAAAGGGAAGAGCUGGUUCAACUUUGGAUGGCUGAAGGUUUUCUCAGGCCAUCAAAUUGGAGGAUGGAAGACGAAGGCAGCAAGUGUUUCAAUGACUUGCUUGCAAAUUCCUUUUUCCAAGAUGUUAAAAGGAAUGAGUGUGAGAUCGUAACAAGUUGCAAGAUGCAUGAUCUAGUGCAUGAUCUCGCAUUACAGGUCUCAAAAUCAGAAGCGUUAAAUCUGGAGGAGGAUUCCGCUGUUGAUGGUGCAUCUCAUAUUCGUCAUCUAAAUCUCGUAUCUCGUGGGGAUGACGAGGCAGCAUUAACAGCGGUUGAUGCUAGAAAAUUGCGAACUGUUUUCUCAAUGGUUGAUGUAUUCAACGAGUCUUGGAAAUUCAAAAGCUUGAGAACUCUCAAAUUGCAGGAGUCUAAUAUCACUGAGUUACCAGAUUCAAUUUGCAAGCUGAGACAUUUGAGAUAUCUUGAUGUUUCACGCACCAGUAUUAGAGUAUUGCCAGAAUCCAUCACCAAGCUCUACCAUUUGGAAACAUUAAGAUUCACUGAUUGCAAGUUACUAGAAAAGCUUCCCAAGAAAAUGAGGAAUUUAGUCAGCUUGAGACAUCUUCAUUUUGAUGAUCCAAAGCUAGUGCCAGCUGAGGUGAGACUCUUAACACGCCUUCAAACUCUGCCUUUUUUUGUUGUGGGUCCAGAUCAUAUGGUUGAAGAGCUGGGAUGUUUGAAAGAACUAAGAGGAGCAUUGAAGAUAUGCAAGCUUGAGCAAGUGAGAGACAGAGAAGAAGCUGAGAAGGCAGAACUGAGUGGAAAAAGAAUGAACAAAUUGGUGUUUGAAUGGAGUGAUGAUGAAGGUAACAGCAGUGCCAAUAGCGAGGAUGUGCUGGAAGGCCUGCAGCCUCACCCAGACAUAAGAAGCUUGACAAUUGCGGGUUAUGGAGGUGAAAAUUUCUCAUCAUGGAUGUCUACAGUCCUAAUCAAUAAUCUUAUGGAGCUGAGAUUGAAAGACUGCAGCAAGUCCAGACAACUCCCAACACUUGGAUGUCUUCCUCGCCUUAAGAUUCUAGAGAUACGUGGAAUGCCUAUUGUGAAAUGUAUAGGCCAUGAGUUCUAUAGCAGCAGUGACAGCGCAUCAAUACUGUUUCCAGCACUAAAAGAACUCACUUUGCAGUUUAUGGAUGGUCUUGAAGAAUGGAUGGUACCAGAUGGAGAAGGUGAUCAAGUAUUUCCUUGUCUUGAAAGGUUGAGCAUUUUUAUGCGUGGCAAGUUGAGGCAACUCCCAACACUUGGAUGUCUUCCUCGCCUUAAGAUUCUAGAGAUACGUGGAAUGCCUAAUGUGAAAUGUAUAGGCAAUGAGUUCUAUAGUAGCAGCAGUGACAGCGUACCAAAACUGUUUCCAGCACUAAAAGAACUCACUUUGCAGUUUAUGGAUGGUCUUGAAGAAUGGAUGGUACCAGGUGGAGAAGGUGAUCAAGUAUUUCCUUGUCUUGAAAGGUUGAACAUUUUGAGGUGUGGCAAGUUGAAAAGCAUUCCGAUAUGUGGUCUUUCAUCUCUUGUAAAAUUUGAUAUUGGAUUAUGUGAUGAACUGAGAUAUUUUUCUGGUGAGUUUCGUGGCUUCACGUCUCUUCAAAUUUUAAAUAUAAUUCAUUGUCCAAAGCUGGCAUCCAUUCCAGGCGUACAACGCUGCACAGCUCUGGUGGAAUUGGGUAUAUGGAGCUGCCGUGAGUUGACCUCUGGUGGAAUUGGGUAUAUGGAGCUGCCGUGAGUUGACCUCUGGUGGAAUUGAUGAUUUUCGAGAAUUGAAUUCUUUGAAGAAAUUGACUGUUGAUGGGUGUAAAUUGGGAGCUCUUCCAAGCGGACUACAAUGUUGCGCAUCUCUAGAGGAAUUAACAGUAACGGGUUGGAGUGAGCUUAUCCAUAUCAGUGAUUUACAAGAAUUGUCUUCGCUUCGAAGUUUAGAGAUUAGUGGUUGUGAUAAGCUCAUCAGUAUUGAUUGGCAUGGUUUACGACAAUUACCUUCUCUUGUUUAUUUGCAAAUCACCGCGUGUCCUAGGUUGAGUGAUAUCCCAUGGGAUGAUUGCUUAGGCGGCCUCACCAAACUGGAGUGUUUGGGCAUCGGUGGUUUCUCAGAGGAGAUGGAGGCUUUUCCUACAGGAGUUUUAAACUCAAUCCAACACCUCAACUUGAGGGGGUCCCUUAAAAGACUACAGAUACGGGGAUGGGAUAAACUGAAGAGUGUACCACACCAACUUCAACACCUCACUGCCCUUACUACCUUGUCUAUAUGGGAUUUCAAGGGAGAUGAGUUUGAGGAAGCAUUGCCAGAUUGGUUGGCCAACCUUUCUUCUCUUCAAUCUCUUAGUAUCGCACAUUGCAAGAAUCUCAAGUAUAUGCCAAGUUCAACAGCCAUUCAACGCCUCUCCAAAUUAAAGCAAUUGAGUAUCUGGGGCUGUCCACAUCUAUCAGAAAAUUGUAGAAAGGAGAAUGGCUCUGAGUGGCCCAAGAUUUCUCAUAUCCCAGAAAUCUAUAUAAACUAUGGAUAAGUUGGUAUUUAAAUUAUUCCGUUACUUUGUAGUAUGCAGUGAGGAGAGAGAACCAAUUAAAUAAUUCAAAUUAAUAAAAAGCAAUAAUUAGACUUCAUUCUCUUAAAAUGGUUUAUUUCUCAUAUCCCAACAUUCUUUAGAGUAAUAUCUUAUUAUCUUUUAUUAUGUUUACAAAAUUUAUAUUUAAAAAUUAUAACUAUGAAAUCAAUAAUUUAAAUUAGACUUUUACUUCUUUUUCUGAAAAAUUGUCUAAUCAUUUCAUGGAGUACCUAAUUUUAACUUCAUUUCAUUUAAUAACAACCAAUAAGAUUAUUACUACUAAGAUUACUAACCAACCACUUAAAGCUAAAAACACUCUUUAGAUUUAAAAAAAAAAAAAAAAAGCAAACAAGCUUUCGACACUAACUUGGCCAAUUAAAGUAUUCAAAAUUAAACACUUGAGGGUCUAGUUCAUUGGUCAACUGCAAGACUAGCCUUUGCAAAGAUUCUGGGUUCGAUCCUCAAGAGUACCAGCCUGUCACCCCUGCGGUGCCUUACCUGCCUACUGGGCUUGCAGGAUGUUUAGUAGGCUCUGAGAUUAGUUGUGGUGCGCGUAAGCUGACCCGGACACCCAGGGUCAUCAAAAUAUAUAUAUAUAUAUAUAUAAUAAAGUAUUCAAAUUAAUGAAAGCAAUAAUUAAAAAAAUUUAUAAAAUAAAUGAUUUGUUUGUUUUUUCUAUCUUAACCUAAAUUUUAAACAUUCUAUUAUAACCUAAAUUUGAUUCCGUGGAAUAUUAUGUAUCAAAAUAUAAAAUCAAUAGCCAUCCAGCAUUCUUUCAAUCAUUACUCUAAUAUCAUUCUUACAAGAUAAUUUAACUUAUAUUUAUUAAGAUUGUUUCCACAAAUUAAAAAUAAUUGCAUUAUCUAUACAAUAUUAUUUAUUUUAAAAUCAUCAAUUUUAUAUACAAUUAUGAUACUUUAAACAAACCAUUAAAUCUUAAAAUUAACCAAUUGAUAAAACUCACAUCAAAUAGAGGCAUUCAUCAUAUACAUAGGAAUUUAAUGAUGAUUUGUUAAAAUUUAAAAAUUAUAACCGAAAUCAAUAAUUUAAAAAGUAUAACAAAAAAAUUGCCUAAUCAUUUCUUGCCUACAUUUAGUAACCAAUUUUAACCAACCAAGCUUAUCAUGUAUGCCUUCCUGUGAUCCCAUUUUUCUGAAAUUUUAUAAAUACAGAAACAAAUUGCUUCCAUAUAGCUAUUAAACAAACAGCUUCCAAGAUUUAAAAAAGAAUCCAAUGUAAAAGGGAUGCAAAAUAUUAACAGUUCAACUUCUGUUAGUUACAUGCAUAAAAAUAUUUGGUUUAAACCUUUUUAUUGAGCUCAAAGCACAAAAUAGUUUGGAAGAAAAAUGCUGCAAAUAAUGGUUCCAAAAAAGAGCUCGAGGAAUGAACAACCAAACUCACCAAAAUGCACAAAGAAACUUGAAUUGGCAGGGAUGGCAAAUUCUGUUUCCAGCAGCAUCAGUACAAAAGUUCUCCAUUACCAGUAUCACACGUCCAUAAAAAAACAGUGAGAGAGGAUGGUAUUACUUGGCCAUAUAAAUUCUCAUGGACUAUCAGCUGUAAAUAGAUGCAUAGAAAUCCAUGAGAACUAGUUUCAAUCAAUACUUCACAUGAACAAAGAGUACGUCGCACCUCAACUCAAUUGACAAUUAAAAGAGAAGAUUAUUCAUGCCUUCCUUCCUGUAUUACUUGAAUAUGAAUAGCACUCAUAUUGUGAAUAUUGUAGAAACCAUGUAGAACUCCCAUUUUUUCUCUACUCAAUGGAUAUCAUUCUGCAUUUUGCAGUUUAGCGUUUAUCGUUGUUUUUCUUUCCAAGACUAACAAGAAGUUGGUUGUUUUAACUAUUGUAUGUGCAGUCGUCUAAGACUGAAGGAGGCCGCAGAAUGGUUAUUUAAAGCUUCUGCAGAAUAGUGUUUGUCGGGCUGGAUGGUGGAUAAACGUGUGAAUUCACCAAGAUAGAACAGCUUAAUACGGGCAUGAAUGGAUGCGAAUUUUUAUCUGCAUGCAGUGCAACUUCUAUUAUUUUAUAUUAGAUCUUGUUUCUUAACAUUUAAGAAUUCUAUUUUUAUGAGUUUAUUCAUGCUGAUAAAUGUUUUUCAAAGCUGAAUUUUCCAAUUUCUUAGGAACAGGGAUGGCUAACUGAUGCGAUCACAAUUUCAAGAACUAAGGCUUUAUAACUACACUACCUGAAAAAGAACCGCAAGUAUUACAAGGAUGAUCCCCAUCGCCAAUGUACUGUUGUGGUAAAAUACCAAAGACCUGUUCAAAGUGGAUGCAACGCUUAGCAUGAUGACACCCGAGAUUAAGAAUGUCAGAUGAUACAAGAAAUUAAAUUGCAGAACAAUAGCAAAACAAAUUGCUAACAUAAAAAUGAAGUACCAAAAACUUGACUUGUUACUCCUGAAAACAACAGGUAGAACAGAAAUGGUAAAACCAACCCUCUUCAAUCGACAGCUCAAGGGUUUCUGAGGAUACACCAGCCAUUCUAAUAUCUAACAACUUGUGGUCAAAAGGUGACAUGGAUCGAACCCAUGUAGAAAGGAGCCUGGAAGAUCCUAGCAUGUUAGUUGUGGCUUAUAAAGCGGAACACAAUCACUCCAAAAUUGCAUUUCAAUCCCCCAACAUGAUGCUUCGUAUUUAACAACCAAAUCAAACCAUAGGACAACGGUAUUUUCCAAGCUAGAACUGUUUGCACCUGCAAAGUAAGUUUCUUUCUUCUGCUCCAUGUUCCCUUAAAAAAAGAUCUCAUGAUUUUUAACUUCUAGGUUAUUACUUCUUCUUCAUCAAUGUCUAAUUGUAUAUAUGCUCUCUCAAGAUUUUCUAAUAGAGGCUCAUUCGCUUCAUGCACGACUGGAUUUCUCAAGUUUUGUUUUCCAAUAUCUUUCACCUCAAAAGAAACAAUCAUUUAAUCACGAUUUUUAUCAUAUGCCUUAUCAAAUUUACAUAAGCAAAGAUCACAACAAAAGCAUAUGUGCUGCAAAACAGGCUGGAAAAUAACAAAAAAAAAAAUGAAAAAGAGAAGAAUAAAGGCCUCUUAAAAAACUUGAAAGAAAGAUGGAUAAGGAAACUGUGUGGAAGCAAACUUAAAAGAAAGAUGGAUAAGGAUUGAGUAGGGGGUGUAUUUAAAGUAACAACUAUAAGAAGCUAAGAACAUGUAUAAGCGAAAGAAAAAAAGUGAGAUGUACCGUUAGAUCCUUGAAAGAAGACCAAGAAGCUGACUGAGGAGAGAAUAAGUGUGAUCCUAGGAGAGUUGACAGCAAAACAAUAAGGCAAGUGAUACAUGUUCCCCAAUAAAAAUUAGAAAACAAAGGUAAGGGAAGAGGAAAGAAGAGUAGAACAAAAAAAAAGAAAACAACACUAUACUAAAAAAAAGUCAGCACAACUAAGUUUCAAAAAACCAAAUCCUAAACAUUUAGAAACCAAUGAAUUCUUUUAACUCCUUUGUGCAUCAUCCUUUAUGAAGCAUAUAGCCUUGGAAGUGUUGAAGCGUCUAGUAAAUCAUCUUUAAAUCAUAAUCACAAUUUUCUAAGAAACCUCAUUAGCAUUCAGGUAGCCACAAUUAAAGUUAAAAAAAAAAAAAAAUCUUUAAACAUGCAUCAAUACGCAACAUGAAGCUACUUAUGAAUGCAAAAAAAACUAAAGAAGAAAAUUUUUUUAGCUACCAACCAGCCACAACCAAGAGCAAUAAACUUGAAAUCUAGAACAUCCACAAAGGAACAACAUCAUAAAACAACACAAAACAACUCAUGAAUGCACUAAUCUUUAAAGGGAAAAAAAAAAGCUGAAAAAUGUUAAAUAAUAUUAAUGUAGUCUUAUUUAUUAAGGGUACAAUAGUACUUUCAGUUUAACCUAUAUGUACUUUAUUUAUAUUUAGGUUAAGACUAAGCACUCAUAAUAUACAGAUCACUCAAAAUUCUAGCCUCCUUUUUAUAUUUAAUCUCAAUUAUUUUAACAAAAAGGACCUCAAUGGUUGGCCUUACCAACAAAAUAAAACCACAUAAGCUCACCCAACAAAGCUGGAAAUGCAAGUGAAGAGGCCCUCUAUGGCAAACAAAACCCAAAACCAAAAAAACCAACGUAUCUAUCUGGAAACUUGUAUUAUGCUCCAGGGACCAGUCUAUAAUUUUUUUUAAGUUUGGGGACUAAACUAAAAUUUUUACAAAUUGAGGGACCAAUCUGAAAUUUUAUCAUCUUCAACUAGGGGUGAUCAUUUUCGGCUUGGUUUUUUAUAAAAAAAAAAGUAACCAAACUAGUUUUUUUUUUAAAUCAAAACCGGUUCAAACCAAUCGAUUUUGGUUCGGUUUGUUUAUUUUAGAACAAAAACCAGUUUUUUUUUGUUUUGCUCGAUUUUUUUUGUUUGGCUCGAUUUUUCCGAUUUGGCUUGGUUUUGUUUGAAUAGUGAAUUUUGAGUUAGAAAUCAGGGGAGAACAGUAGGUUUUUGUUGAAAUCCUGGAUUGGAGGUUGAAGAUGAUGAAAAUUCAAUUUGGUCCCUCAAUUUGCGAACAUUACAGUUUAGUCCCCAAAUUUUGGAAAAUUACAAAUUGAUCCCUGGAGCAUAUUCCGAGAUUCUGAAGAGAAUAGCAUAUGAAUUAUGGGCAGAAUUACUGUAUAGUUAUGAAAUUUUAAAACUUUCAAUUUGGUCCUCCAAUUUGACAAAAUUACCAUUUGACCCUAAAAAUUUGGUAAAAUUCUAGAAUGGUCCCUGGAGCAUAAUGAGAUAUCCUGGACAGAAUUGAGGAUUAAUUAUGGUCAGAAUUUCAGUAUAUUCAUGGAUUUAUGACAAAUUUUUGUUUGGUCCUCCAUUUGAUAAAAAUUACAAUUUGACCCUAAAAAUUUGGAAAAUUACAAAUUGAUCCCUGGAGCAUAUUCCGAGAUUCUGAACAGAAUAGCAUAUGAAUUAUGGGCAGAAUUACUGUAUAGUUAUGAAAUUUUAAAACUUUCAAUUUGGUCCUUCAAUUUGACAAAAUUACCAUUUAACCCUAAAAAUUUGGUAAAAUUCCAGAAUGGUCCCUGGAGCAUAAUGAGAUAUCCUGGACAGAAUUGAUGAUUAAUUAUGGUCAGAAUUUCAGUAUAUGCAUGGAUUUAUGACAAAUGUUUGUUUGGUCCUCCAUUUGAUAAAAAUUACAAUUUGACCCUAAAAAUAUGGAAAAAUUCCAGAAUGGUCCCUGGAGCAUAAUUAGAGGUUCUGGACAGAUAGUCAUGAAUUUAUGAUAUGUUUAGUUUGGUCCUCCAAUUAGAUGAAAAUUACAAUUUGGCCCUAAAAUAUAUAAGAAAUUCCAGAGUAGUCCCUAGCUGUAAUAUUAGCUUUUCCAGAUUAGUUUGAUGAAUAAUUUAGGGUUAUUUAGUGAAUUAUUACCAAUUUUAUUAGUCACUUUUAUUAUGGAUUAGAUUUCGGGAAAACCAUUAAAUUUUGGAUUUUUAAGAAAAUUAACUAGUUAGUUCAAAAAAUAUAUAGGGUUACGGUUACACCCUUAGUUAAGUGUAUUAAAUAGGUUAAAUAUUGUUUCGAGUCGUUUUUGAAUAUGUCUCCUUUGUAUUCAGAUAAUCCUGAUAUUCUACCGGCGGGACGUCAAUAGGAUUUUCUUCGGUAUCAACUUUUGAGUGUUGUUGCUUUUGAGUCAGGUGAGUGGAUAAUUUUCCAUGUGCAUGAGAAAUAUUAUAAAUAUUUGAUUUGUUAAUAUAAAUUGAAUCAUGCUUCUUGAUAAUAUAUAUGUUGAUUAUUAUCCUUGUUAUGAUAAAGCAUAAUCAAUUAUUGAAUCUGAAUUCUUGAUAUGAACCAACAUAUAUUUUGAAUUGACUUCUGAAUUGAUAGCUCCUCAUUUGAUUGAUGUCAUGAGUUGAGCUUUGAGAUAUGAAUAUGUUUGUUAGAUUAUGAUUAUGAACCUAUGAUAUGUCAGUCAGAAUACCCAUACUAACAGGGUAGUGUUAGUCUUUGUGCACAUCGUAUCUAAACCCUAGUUGGUCAGGGGAGUCACCAACUUGUGUGGACUGAUCAUCCCACAGUAUGGAACCUCAUGCUCAUUGCAUUUUGAUUUUUUGACGAGCUUUACCAUAUGAUCUUCUUGUUAUGGCCUAUUUGAGAUUCAUUUAAGAAUCUAGAGCAUAAUUGUAUAUAUAUUCUAAUUGUUAUAUUACCUCGUGUGUGUAUAUUGAACAUAUCUACUCACAAAUAUUGAAAAACAUCAUUGCCAAUGGUGAUGACAUGUCGUUACUACCCUAUACCUUCAUUCCUUGUCGUUUAAGGUUCGUGAAAUAUUGCUGUUUUUUGACAAGUUGCAGGCAGUUUCCAGUUCCUUGUAGGAGUUUCUCGUACUGUGAGGUGUCCUGCAUGCUUAUUUCCUUUCUGAGUUUGCAAACAUGUUAAACACCACCACUUCUCAGUUCCUGCAUUCAUCAGCUUCUUCUAAUACUAAAAGUGAAGAAGUCAAGACUAAAAGUGAAGCCCAGGUUGAGAUUCAGGUUUUGUCUCUCUCUCUCUCUCUUAUUUUAUUUAUGGAACUUAUUGUUAUGAAUACAGUACUCACGAGUGGUUUUAUUUAUGGAAAAACUGAAAAAUUAUGUAGGAAAGAGGUGAAAUAUUCUUCUUCUAUAUUUAUGACGUUCAGCGUUUGUACUUGGUACUAAGGCCAGAGUCUGGAGAGAGAGCAUUUGAGGAGAAGCAAUUCCCUCAAUCUGGCUUUAAAUCUCAGCAGUAUUGAUCAUGAUGGUGAAAGUAGUAGUGCUUCUGCAGGCAAGAAUGGAAGUGAAGGUGUGGGCGUGGAAGCCAGGUAAUUAAUUGCAAUAGAUUGUCCAAAAAUGUGUUUAAUAUAUAAUAUGCUAGUGCUUUUAUUCUUUCUCUCAAAGUUUUACAAUAGAGUUAGUAGUUAGAGCAAUGAAUGUGCUUUCUUUUUCUCUUGGAUUGUAGGAAGUGAACAAUGAAAAAGAGCCCUUGUUUGAGAUUGAUAGAAGAAAUGGGAUGUAAAAGUCUUCCAGAAGUCAGCAUUGAAUUUUGUUGCAGUUUCAUGGACAUCAAUUUGAUCAUAAAUUUUGAUUACCUGUUGCAUCUCAGAGGAAUAUGACACUGCUGCGACAAGAGGGCUCCGACACAAGUAUCCAGCAAGAGCAUUAGGAGAAGGCAUUUAUCGGAUACCAAGGCACAAUCCAGGCAAGAGAAUGCAUGCUCAUUUGGUGUACAAGCUAGAAUUGCCAUCAAAAGACAAGGAAAACGAGCCUCAAGAGUCGCUUAACAUCGAACGUGAGGGCUCAUUUAUAAUUCACAUAAAGAACCCGAUCAACAUGGUGGCAGUUACCAAUUUACAAGGUUUCCAACUCACCUACAAGGCCAAUUUGGGCAAUAAGUUUGUUCGUGCUGACCCACCAGAUAUGUUGAAUUAUGAGGGUUGCCAGUUGCUGUUGAUAUCUGCUUCGGAUGGCAUAGAAGAGGAGUGGAAAACUAAUCUGUAGACACAGAUUCUAAAGAAACAGAACAGCAGAAGGCCAAAAAAUGAAAAAGAAAUUACUGCAGCUAAAAAAUGCCGCAAGCAGGGAAGAAUGACAACCUGAUAAUGAACAGCACAUGAGCAAACAUGGAACAAAAGUAGGUAAGAGGCCGCUAUUGGAAUGCAACCAUCCUCAACAACAACAACAAAAACAAACCACAAUCGAAAACAACAAAAAGAUGGAAUAUAAGAUAGUAAAUAUUUCCAGGCCAACUCUUUGAGAAAGGAAGGUAAUGUGCAGAUGAAGAAUUAGAGCAAUUAACUGUAAUGUUAAAACUUGUUAGCGUAUAUUGUGUGACUCAUCAUUCUUUGACGAUACAGGAUACUUGUAAACACAGGAGAGGAAAAGGUAGUUGCAAAUGUCUGCAGGAAUUCUAGCAUGCCAGACAAGAAAUCCUUUUGCUGCCAUCUAAAGAUGGCUUCUCUAGCAGUCCGGAUGCCAAGACCACCCUUAUAAUUUCCCCUGGCAUCACCUUUACUAAACAUCUAGAUCAAAGAAGCAACUUGCUAAUUUGUUAAUAUACCCACAAAUCCUCCUAGCCAGCCAUGCUCAUACUUCAUAGUAUAGAGCGGAAUUGAUGGCAGCAGCAGUGGGAGUGGAGUGAAUUGAAGUAUUCCAGGCACCUGAGCUGCAAAACGACAUGGACAAUUGGAGGGUGAUGUGGCAAUGAAGACUUGAAUACACUUUAUUUUAAGAAGAAACUCAAUUUUGAUAGAUUGGAAACAUUAGAACAUAACUGUUCAUCUCAUCUUGUGUGUUUGGUUUUCAUCUACUCAUCCUAUUCCCCGAGUUCCCUGCAUUACUCUAGGGUCCUUUAACUAAUGUUAACAAAAAUUAAAUGACACCCUCCUUCCCUUAAGCAAAGAGCAGAUCAAUGAAAAAGGAAAAGAAACUAACCUGGAUUAAACGACACAGCAGGAACAGUGCAUAAAAAGGCAGGAGCACCAACCAAGUUAAGGUCAAAAUAAAGUUAUGGGCUGACCACUUGUUAGGAAGCUUUCUUGACGUAAGCUUAAAAAAAUAUAAGAACCAAAUCGAAAUGAGAAAGGACAGACACAAACCUGGAAGAAAAAACAUUGCAGGUAAGAGCGGACGCCGGACGAAGUUUCAGCAGACCUAAAUUUUGCGAAGAAACUAGUCUGUAGAGACAGAUUCUAAAGAAACAGAACAGCAGAAGGACAAAAAAAGAUGGACCCAGGCAAAGUCGAUAUCGAAACCAUUUGAGAAAAACAUUUAGCUAUACGAAAAUGAAUGCAGUGAAGGAAAACCAUACCUGCUUAAGAACCAGCUGAAGGGUCAUAUAACCCUGACAAAGGCUAUUCGAUCGUGCCUAGUCAAAGGCAAUCAAACACACACAACAUUCCUAAACUCAUCAUAAAACCACUAAUCAAAAAUAGGAGGAAGCUCAGACAUGCUCUUAAACCUGAUCAAAAAGUGCUUCCCAAAAAAGAAAAAGAUAAAAAGAAAUCAGCAGGGUCUCUGAAAAGAAAAAAAACUACGAAUCAUAGAGAAUAAUCGCAAAUCACGAACUGGAGCAACAUCACGCAACCAAAGCCAUGGAACAUCAGGUGGUUGCGCCAGCUAAAGGUCGUCAAAAGAGCCGAAAUCCUGAGAAAGAAAGCAGAAAAUAACACCACUGAGCUAAAUUCAACUAUAAAUAAAUGAAUAAAUUCGGGACAAUACAUGGGAAAAAAACUUUCAAAUGAAAAUGGGUGAGAAAAAACAAUAAUAAAAAACCAACGACGGUAAAUUGAAUUCCAAUAGAGCUACACCACUGUGCAGAAGAGAGAAAGCACGAAUGCAAAACCAUGUAAAGAAAAGAGAUAGAUUAGCAUAGCGAUUCAAAUCAAGCUGAAAAUUCAUACCUAAACUCUCAUCAAUCAAAGUUGAUGCAAGAUGCACUCCCAUUGGCGGCUUCGAUUGAGAGGGAAGGGCAGGGCGGGAAACCAGGUGAAGAGAGGCAGAGUAAAGGCAGAUGCAAAAUGAGUUGAUGAGUCAACCGCAAUAGGUAGCAGGCCCAAGAAUAAAAACAAUCAUGCUCCCAGCCCAAAGCCCAGCAACAUCACCCAAACAGAUGGAUAAAAAGCCAGCCAAGAUAAGUUGACCGUGAGGCAAAACGGACUGCUGCUCCAAUGAAUGAAUAGAGAUACGUGUCUUGAUGCACAGUAGGUUCACCAAUCCUUUUAUUAUUAUUUUUGUUAUAAAUAUAAUUAAAAUUAAAAAAAAACUAAUUAAGGUUGUUUUUUUGUUGGAAAUGAUCCAAGCGUGUUUUAUUUUAUUUUUGAUGGCAUGUGGCAUAUAUUAUACAAUACAUCGAAAGAGAUUAUUUUUUUUAUUUUACCAUGCACUCUCUCAUAUAACACUGGCAUUGCUUCUUCUUUUCUUUUCUUUUUUAAUUUUUACUUCAAUUUUUAAAUUUUUAUUUUACAUGAUUUGCUACCUUUAAGCCCAAAUUAGAUAUUAAUUAUAUAUUUUUUUAGAAGCGAGGGUUGAAUUGAAAGAUAAUGGAUUAAGGUGAAAAUCUCAAAUAACAUAGGAGGCUAGUUGAAAAUUUUGUUUAAAAAAAUCAUUUUAGUCCCUCAUCUUUUUUAGAUAUAUAUUAGGUGAUCAAUCCUUCGAAUUUUAAAAAUAUAUAUUUUAGUACCUAACUUUAUUUUUUCUAUUUUUUUAGUUUUCUCAUGGGAGGAAAGAAAAGGAGUUAUCAGAUUUCAGCGAGAAAAAAAAUAGUUGUUGGGAAAGAUUUUAGCCACCAAAACAAUUUCGACCAUCAAAAGGUUCUAUAUAAUGAGAGGGGUUAUAAUUAGGUAUUUGUUUACCUUGAAAACACCAAUAAAAAUAGAUCUAAAGCUCGGGAAGAUUUUUAUUUUGAGUGGAUUUCGAGUUUCUAACAAUUUUUUUGGUGGCCAUGGACUGGUUCAAGGAGGUUUAUAGGGUGUUUCCAAUGUAUUUUUGGUCAAAAAUAGAUUAAAAAUCAGUUUUUUAGUAAAAAUAAUAAAGAACCCGAUUUUCCAGCUGCCAGCCUGCCACAUUAAUUGGACUUUGGAUUGAAUAAAUAAUGUGUUAUCUACUGAUACAGAUGAUACAUAAUUUUUUUAAAAAAAAUGUUUGGGGCAGACGUUCGACCCCCCUAUUUAAUUAAAAAAAAAAAAGAGGUUCAUAAUCAGGUUUGGCCUUGUAGACCUGCAUGUGAGUCGUUGCUUUAUUGGGCAAGACUUAAAGCCUAGCCUGUUUGAGAGUGUGGUUGUGGUUGCUUUUCAAAGUGUUUUUCACUCAGGAAUGCAUCAAAAUAAUAUUUUUUAUUUUUUAAAAAUUAUUUUUGAUAUCAGUACAUCAAAAUAAUUUAAAAAUACAAAAAAUAUUAAUUUGAAGCAAAUAAAAAAAAUUAAUUUUUUAAAAAAACUUUUUUGAAACACAACAAAUUGAUAACCGAUGUUGGUGGUUGUAAUUGGUUACCAUCCUUGACCUAGUUUACUACAAUAAUAAUAAUAAUAAUAAUAAAUACAGAAAGAUUAAAAAGAAAUAGCAUUUAAAAAAAAAGCCGAAAAGAAAGACAAAUAACAAAGAAAUAACUUGGUUAAUUUUGAUUACAAGGAGCUAAAUAAAAAGCUGCUGCAAGCCAAAUGUUCUCCUGAGUGCAAUGGAAGAGGCAAACUUUUCAUACCAAUAAUAGUGCUUGGGACAGAAAAAAUCGACACUCCUUUCUUGGAUUCAUUUAUCUAAUAAUAUGGUUAAUAAUUGAGGGUAUAAUGGUUAUGUCCGGUACCAUAUUACUAUUAAUUUUUUUUUCUGAAUUUUUGUUAAGUUUAUUUAUUUUUUUAAUAAAUAAAGUCUAUGUAUUGACUACUAACACUACUUUCUUGGAUUCAUUACAUGUGUCAAGAGGAUAUAAGGAGAGGGAGGGACCCUCUGCUUUAAAAUUGUCAACACGCUUAGAUGGAUUUGGACACACAAGAUAAGAAGGAAGGGUCAUUUUCUUCGUCUUGGUUCGUGGAAGAUGCUGCCAGCUGCAAUUAAUCAAAAAAGGGAGGACCCCUGUUUUGAAUUUGAAACAGCAUGUCAUCAUUUCAAAACAAACUUUAUUUUAGAGUUUGAGAAUAUAAGUGGUUAUUUUGUAAAGUGUUUUUUAUUUUAAAAUAUAUUAAAAUAAUUUUUUAAAAUUUUUAAAAUUAGUUUUAAUAUUAAUAUUUUAAAAUAAUUUAAAAAUAUUAAAAAUAUAUUAAUUUAAAAUAAAAAAUAAUAAGUUGUUUUUAAUUAUUUUAAAAAUGUUCUUCAAAUACAAUCACAAACAUUUACUUCAUGUUCUAGAGUGUGAUUGUUGGUUUUAGAAGUUAGUUUUGUGUAUGAAAUUUAUAUAAAAAAAAAAUUACAUUUAAGUUUUGUUAAUAAUUAAAUUCUACCUAACCUCAACCUUAAUCACAACUUCUAAAAGAAAUACACUUUAAAUGAAUUGUUAAAAACGUUUUUUUAAAAUUAAAUUUUUUUAAUAUAAUAGUUUUUUAUAUUUUCACAUUAUUUUUAUUUUAAAUAAUUAUAAAUAAUAAACAAUUAAAAAACAACUUUUAUCUAUUCUCAAAUAACUAGUUUCACACCAUAUUUCUCUCUGUCCCGGGCUCAAUAUUGUUUCUUUUUUUUUAGACAUUAAUAUGUAUUAAUAUUUUUUUAAUUUAAUCAGACAUUUAUAUUCAUUAAUAUAUUUUUUUUCAUUGUUAUUUAGGCAUGUAAUGGUAAUUGAACAUUUAAUAUUUUUCCAUUCUUGGGUAAUUUUUUAUUUGUAAUUUAUUUUAAUUAUUAUUAGAGGCUAAUAAUUGAAUGAAUGUCUAGUGAUUUGUGAUAAUUUAAUCAAGAAUGGUUGCAUGAGGCUGUAAAGUAUAAAUUCCACAUGAGGGGAGGAGUAAAAAUUGUGAAAAUCACUAAAGUUAAUAAUUAAAAAACAAAACCAUUUACCUGAUCAAAAUGAGAUUAGUAUUUAUGAGAUUAAUUAUUAAUUAAGAGGUGAGUUUGUGUCAAACUAAAUUCAAACAAGUUUGAUAAUUUUGAUGAUAAAUCAAAUGUAAAUCAUUGCUUAACAUGAAAGAAAUGUUUUUCUUUUCUAUUCAGGUUUUGUUUAUAUAUUAGAAUUAAAAAAUAUUUUAUAAUAUGUGCUUACACCAUUUUCUUGUGUAAAAAUCUGCUUUGGUUUCACUAAUAUAAAUUGAGAGCCUUGAAGGAGUAAUUGACACCUGACUUCAAGCGACACAUCUGGUCAUCAAAAAAAUAUAAAAUUAAUUUAUAUAUUAUAUGCAAACAAGAUUACGGUUGUUAGGGUUCUUUUUUCUCUUCUUUAUUACUUUACCUCUUAUUUUUAAUUUUAAUUUUUACUCUUAAAUUAAUUAAAAUAUAAAUAAAAAAAUAUAAAAAAAAUAAAUAUAUAUAUUUUACUUUUCAAAUUCUAAUAUUUAUUAAUCUGCAAAAAGUUAAACUAAAUACAAUAUGCCAACAGAGACGUCUGUGGAAUUUUAUUAGCCAUGACAUGACAAAUUGACAGCGGUGGUUCGUGAAAGAUGCUGUUAAUAGCCAUCAAUCAAUUAGGAUAGGGAGGAAGGUACCCUCAUGCAACUAUGGUUUAGGCUCCGUUUGUUUGCAGUAAAGUGAAUUUCUUUUGGAAAGUGAAUUCUGAGGAAAGUGAAUUUCUGGAAAGUGAAUUCUGGAAAAGUAUUUUUCGAUGUUUGGUAGUGUUAUGGAAAAUGAACUGGAAAACACUUUCCAGUGUUUGGUUGUAUUAUGGAAAAUGAACUGGAAAAUAAUUUAUUAAUGAAUUAAUUUUUUUUUCAAAUUUAUCUAAUAUAUAUAUAAAAUAUCUAAUAUAAAAUAUUUAAUCACUUACAAUAAAAAAAAAUGAAAUCUAAAAUGUAUAAUGAUGAAUUUUUUUUAUUAUAUUCUAUAUUCAUACAUAGCUUAUUUUAUAAAAUAUAACUAUAUAUAUCAUAUCAUAUUAUAGAGAAAUAAGCUUGUGAAAUUUUUUUUACUAUUCCAUGAAACUAUUUAUAAUUCCAUUACGUACGAAAUAUAUCCGACAAAAACUAUAGUUUUAAUAAUAUUUUUAGCAUGUAAUAAAAUUGAAUAAAAUAUUAAGGUUUAAAAUUUACUCUAAACUAUUUUUUUGUAAUGUUAAAAAAAAUAGCACACUUAAAAAAAAAAAAAAAUCCUACAGGCAAGUGAACAGUGCAAGAGAACUGCACUGCUCACUAUUUUUUCAGUAAACAGUGUACGCAAUACACUGUUCAUGUUAAUUGCACUAUUCAUUGAACAGUGCAAUUAACAUGAACAGUUAAGAAAAAAUAGCUGUUUUUCACCACUGGCCACUGUCGGAAAGUGUUUUCCUUUCUUUAACAAAGGAAAACACUUUCCUUUGGCAACACUGAUUUAUUUUCCAUUGACUGAAUUCAUUUUCCAUUGACUUUUUUUUUUGUUGUUGCCAAACACUGGAAAAGCAGGAAAGUGAAUUCCAGGAAUUCACUUUCCUGCAAUCAAACACAGCCUUAAAGUUGAAUGUAUCUCAUCAUUCCAAAACACACUUUAUUUCAUCUUUUAAUAUUUCACACCGUACUUCUCUCUCUCGCGCUCAAAAUUUAUUUUUUGCUACAAAAAGAAACUACUUUUUAUUUUUAUUUUAUUUUUAAUUUGUAUCUUUUUUAUAUAUCAAUUAGUACUCUACAAUUAUAAAUUUAUAUUAAUUCUUGUAUUAAAAUAAUUAAAUUAUUAUGAAGUUAGCUUUAUUGUUACCGUUGCGUUGAUUUUUGAUUGAUUUAUUUGAAAAAUAAUUUUAUAUAUAAAUUUGGGUUCGCAUAGUAAUAGAAUAGGAGAAGAGCCUUCUCUAUUAAUGGGUCAUGAAUAAAAAAAAGAACAAGACAGAUAAUUAGUGUGAAACUUGCUUACUUUCAUCACAAUACGUUAACUCUGGUCAUAUAUAUAUAUAAAGAAAGAAAGAAUAAUUGGCUGUAAGAUUAUAAUAACCAGCUAGCUUACUCCAAAAUACAAACAUCCAAGAAAAUGCAAUUAACUGUGUUUUUUUUUUUUAAAAUCCUGUCAUUAUCAAACUCAACAACUUGCUUCAUUAAAAAAAGAAAAAAAAACAAUAAAGAAAGACUUCGGCAGAGAGAAGACACAAAGUAAUUUUUUAAAAUGAAGGACCCGAUCGAGCAAUAGGUGGGUGCACACAAGAACAAGACAGAUAAUUAGUGUGAAACCUAAUUGCCAGCUGUGACCACCCAAUUAAGACAAAAUCAUUAUGAGGUAGACUAAAUGUUAAGAAUAUCAGCAAUCAGUUUUCUGAUAGAGGUUGGGGUGCACGGUGAUUAAUGUCAAAUUCAGAAAUUAUUUUCGUUUUCUAAUGAUGUUCAUGAAUAUCCAUCGUUUAGCCAGACCAAAAAAAAGAAGAAAGAAAAAAGAAUUGCAGCAGAAAGCAAAAGGGUAUCUCGCAGCAUCACAUGGCAAACAAUUCUGUAAACUAUUGAGGGGGUAGACUUAAGCACAUGGAAAUGGAUAGUGAGGUUAAGGUCUGGUGCAUAGGAAAGGAUAAGGAAACACAACACUCUGUUCUAAAGACAGCAAAAAGAAAUAAUUAAUAUGGUCAGGCGCAUCAGGGUGCGAUACUACCUAUGUCUUAGCACACCACUCGAAGAAAAGCAAUUAGCUAAAAACAGGGGUUAGUUCAUGUGAUUCUGGAAAACGCAGCCACCUGUUUUUCUUUAUAUGAAAUCAAAUAAGUUCAAAUAAACAUGGAUCAAUAAUAAUUAAUCCGAUUAUUGACAAUUAGUGUUUAGGGUGACGAUGGGGGUGAUCAUAUCGGAUGCGCAGAUCGCAAGCUCUCUUGUCUGCCAAUUUUUUAGUCCCAUUAGAAUACUUUUUACUCAAAUAUAUGUUUAUAUAAAGAAAGACUUUGCAGACGACUGCCGUACGUAAGAUUAGGAAAUCCAAUUAAAUAUGUUUGUUUUUUUUUUUUUAAUCAUGUCCUUAACAACUUGCUUCAUCAAAAAGAAAGAAAGACUUGGAAGAAGACUUGUAGAUUUUUUAUUUUUUUAAAUAACAUUAGACUGAGAGUGGGUACAGUGUAAUUUUGUAAUUUUUCUUGUGAGUUCUUGUGUUCUAGAAAGAGUAAUUACGGAAAUUCAAUAUAUAUAGAUUAAUAAGUUGCUUCAUCUUUGAAUCUGUCCUAGGUUUAAUGUGAACAUAGGAUCGAGGGAGUUGGCUGGCUACAUAUGCAGCAGACGACGAAAGGUCUAGCAAUAUCCUUAGGUGAGACAGAUUGACAAUGAGAAAUUUAUGAUGUUCUGUUGCUAAAAAUCUAGUGAGAAAUUUACGAAAAAUAUAAAAGGAAAAAUCUGCAAAAAGUUAAACUAAAUACAAUAUGCCGAUAGAGGCGUCUGUGGAUUUUAUUAGCCAUGGCAUGACAGAUUGACAGUGGUGGUUCGUGGAAGAUGCUGCCAACAACCAUCAAUCAAUUACGACAGGGAGGAAGGGACCAAGGUUGUUAAAAUCACGUUUUGACUCGUAAAAUCAUACAAUUUUACGAGUCAAAACAUGCUUUACAUGUUGAAUUGCUUGAAAAGGUAAAAAAUAGGUGAAAUCAGGUGAAAUCACUAAAAUCACGAUUUCAUUACCGAUUUUGCGAUUGUAACAAAAUGCAUGCACUAAAACAAAAUUCCCCCCAUGGUCCAACUGUCAGGCACCUAUUGGGAGCGUGUUUGACAGUGUGGAAGCGGUUGCUUUUCAAAUAACUUUUCGUGCCGAAAUGCAUGCCAAUGAUGUGUUUUUUAUUUUUUUAAAAUUAUUUUUGACAUCAGCACAUCAAAACGAUCCAAAAGGUACAAACCACACUCAAUUUUAGCAACAAAAAAAAAUUGAAUUUUUUGGAAACGCAGGUUGAACCGCAUUCCCAAACAUAGUCUGGGUGUGGAAAUGUACAGUCACGCGACUCACGCCACGCGGUCUCCAGGGAAUCAGGGUCACUAUUGAGUCUUCAGUCACAACUCACAAAAGACUCUUUCUUUUUUUCCAACCAAACAAAUCUCUAAUCAGUUAAUCCUGAAUCCCUUUCUCUAAUUAACCAAUCUGGCACCGGCAACAACAAAAGCGGUGACGACGAUCUCCACAAAAGCGGUCGCAGUCCAGUCUUCACUCCUUCUCUUUCCUCGAUGCUCACAGUCACGACUUCCUUUUUUGUUUAUCGCGAUUUUAACAGCGACGACGAUCUCCUCAACAGCUCACUGCUUCAGGCUUCCUCUUCAAUCUUCAUCAACAGCAGCACGCCGGCAACGAUCUCCUUUCUUUCCCAUCUUCAACAGCUGACGGCUUCCUCUUCAUCAAUAGCAGCAGGCGACAUCAGGCCUCUUCACCGGCAGCCGUUCAACCAUCAUCAUCAACGACUCUUCACCGUAAAUUGAUUUUGCCUUCAUCAUCAUCACUGCAAUAGUUGAUUUUGCCCCAUAAAUCAUAAUUGUAUAUUUCCCUGUAAUAGAUUUUGAUUUUACCCUGUUAGAUGUUACCCUGUAAUUAUUAAUUACAAUUUUGAUUUUGCCAGGUCUUGUAAUUUGUUUAUGUAUAAUGUUGAAUUGAAUUGAAUUGAAUGGAAUUGGUCGGGUGAAAAUUGGAUUGAAAAUUGUUGAAUUGAAUGCCAUUUCAGUAUAUAUCUUGAUUGAAUUAAUUGGAUAGAAUUCACCGGGUGAAAUUUGGACUAAACACUGUUGAAUUGGACUAAAUUGAAUGUCAUUUCAGUAUUAUAGGACUGAAUUGAAUUGAAUUAAUGAGAUGAAAAUUGGACUGAAAAUUAUUGAAUUUAAUGUUCAACGCAUUCCAAUACACACUUCAUGUCAUCUUUAAAAUAUUUCACAAUUAAUUUUAAUAGAUUAAAAAAAAAGUAGAAGAGAGAAGUUAUUGAAGAAAAAAGAGUUAAUCUUCAGUGAUUCUCAUUUCCUAAUAGAGCUUUUGCAGCUGGCCUUCCAAUCCCCAAGCAAGUCCAAGCCUUUCAGUAGCCAUGGAACUCACCCUUGUCAAAGUCGACUCCAAGGCAAACGUAAGUAGAAACUCUGCUGCCGUUCUCUGGAAAUAUAUAGGAAAGAAAGUCUGGGUAGCGAUCAUGAACACAAAAUAGAAGAUUUGGAAAUGAAAGAUUUAGCAGUUCAAGUUCCGUAAACAUGAACACAUCCAUUUCAUGGACACAAUGAGUUGCUAUCAUUUAUUGAAGAGAGUAUAUUAUAAGCAAACAAGAUUACGGUUGUUAGGGUUCUUUUUUCUCUUCUUUAUUACUUUACCUCUUAAGUUUGAUUCUUCAAUCUAAGUUUAUAGUAUAAUACUAUUUUUUUUAUUUUAAUCUUUUUUCUUUUGAUUUUUUUCGUUUUGUUAAUUUUUUUUUUUUAAUUUUACUUUCAAAUUUAAAACAUGUUGUUUCCUUUUGAUUUAUUUUUUAUUGCACUUUUAAUCCUUAUUAUUUUUAUUGUAUUUUUUUUUGGAUUUUUUUUAAUUGUUAAUUUAUAUAAGUUUAACCCUACUUUUUCAUUUAUAAUACUUUUGGUCUUAUAACUCGGUUAAAAAAAUUAAUAAUAAUUAACUAUUUUUGUCUUAUGCUUUUGAGAUUCUAAUAUAUAUAUAUUUUUUAAAAAAUUUAUAUAAUUAUUUUAUUCUCAUUUGAUUUCUACUUUGUUAGCAAAUAAUUUCAGAUGUAAGUUCAAGAACAUGGAUCGUCAUGUUGAGACAAACCCAUAGGACCAAAUCUCAGGCAAAAGAAAGUUACAGCAAAGAAUAAAGAGAGGAGCACCAAAUUAAUGACAAUUGAAUGGCAAUCACUUUAUUGUUUAUAAAAUGGCAUCGUUCUAUAUAUUUGGAUCUGCAGAGAUAUGAGAGAUUUUACCUUUCCAUCUGAAGACACUGAAAACGACGGUUUUGGGAUUUACCACAGCAUGAAAAACAUCCAGAGGGACACAUGAGUUCUUAAGCACUUGGUAGCAUAUUUUCUGAUAGCAUUUUAAAAAAAAAUUAAAAUAUUUUUGGCAACUAGUUUUUAACUAAGUCAGUACAUACUCUAAGAACAUGAUGAAUUAUGUUAUUUCUAAUUUAGUUUCUGCUAAAACAUUUCGUCUACAUAAUAAUGUUGACCUCAACCCAACUUUAAGGGCAGAAAAGUUUGAGAAAUCAAACUUAUUGCUUGGAUAGUGAAGAUUUUUUCCAUGGAUAAAUCUAAUUUGACCUGUUAAAUACCAUUCGUUCACAGUUGAUGAUUCAACAAUGUCUCAAAAUAAAGUUCAGAUGCCACCUUUUGAUGUCCAGUUGAAUCAUUUUGAUUAAGAUACACAGAAAGUUGGGACUUUCUCAAGAUUUCACAGAAGGUUGCCUGCUAAAACAGAUAGUAUUUGUAUGGGGAAAAACACAUUCUGAUUUGCUGAGAAUAAUAGUGGCUGCUGAGAAUGAUAGAGCCAGUUUGAUCCUAAUAUAUAGUAAUUUUAUUCAAGUCUAAAUUGCAGUGUUGCUGUGAUCUGAGCAAGGCAUUACCCACUCUUUAUUAAGUUUUUCUCCACUGAUAUAAGAUUUGCAUGCACAAGACGAAAAUAGCAACUUAAUUAGUUGUGGUAAAUUCAACAGCCUCUACAAACUCAUUCCAACCUCGAAGUCGAUUUUAAUUCCUCCAAAAAGUUUUAGAAACUUCAGUAAGUCUUGAAAACUAAACUGUAAUUCCAGGUCUUUAUUUCUUUUUUGGACCCUUUCAAGGAUGUCACCAUCAUUAAUCGACUCCUCUCUCUACAAGUCUUCAUCUUCCUUUUAUAUUAUAUCAACCAGUAUAUGUAGAGAUAUAAAUGAUCCAAAAAUCAUGUCAAUUUGAUCUUGUUUUACACCAUGGAUCUGAUGAGUACUCAGGUGGAGCAGAAAUCAGCGAAAAAGAAAUUCCUGGCAGCAGAGUGUGUGCAUGAGUCCUUGUAAGGGUGGAUAUGCAGCUGCUAUAAGUCGGCAACCAGAGGGAGUUUUCCAGUGAUAAUUGGACAGAAAGAAAGAAGAAGAAUUCUACAAGUAACAGGAGAAGAGAAGUUCAUAAAUAAGAGACUUUAUAUGGGGGCACAAAUAGCCUUGAUUUCAGCAACCCAACCUGGCAGAACUACAUCUUUGAGUUGAGUUGCUGAUAUAUAUUGCAGGCAGACGCUAAAUAGAACAGCAACAAAAUAAAAAAAGAAUUAAAUCUAGACUACAACCUUGCAAGUUCAAGUGUACACAAAUAAUGAUGGGAAGACGUUCAGAAUGAGCUAUUUGUUCAUCAUAAUAAAUCUAGACUAGAGAAUGAGCAAUUUGUUGAUCAUAAUAAAAAGAAGAGACUUUAUAUGGAGGCAGAGAUAGAUCUUUGAGUUAAGGUGUUGAUAUUGCAGGCAGAUGCUAAAUAGAACAACAACAAAUUAAAAAAAGAAUUAAAUCUAGACUACAACCUUACAAGUUCAAAGUUCUACAUAUUCUUGCACACAAAUAAUGAUGGGAAGACGUUCAUCCAUGACAGAAUUAAAUCUAGACUAGAGAAUGAACUAUUUGUUUGAUCAUAAUCAUAGGGUGGUCAGGAUGCAGUCACUAAUAAAAUUCUAUUGCUUCCAGGAAAGUAACACAGAAUAAUUAAUUUUAAAAAAUAAUAAAUAAUGAUGUAGUAUGAUUAGAAUGAUUGUUUCUAUGUGUUAUCUCUCCCUCCUGUGUUAUGAUAUACCUAUUGCUUAGUUUACAUUAAAAUAUGUAGUAAAUACAAACUCUGGUAAAGGAAAAAAAAUUGUUUAUUAUUUUGUAUAGUUUUUUGGAAAAAAUAAAUAAGGGGAAACAAUUUAGCUACAUUGAUAUUCUUACAAUAAUAAUAAUAAUAAAAAGUUUCAAGCUUUAAAUUCAUUUAUAUAAAUCAACAAUUCAAAAAAAAAUGCUAAUUAAGAGUUCAAACUAAAUUCACGUAAAUUUGAGGAGAAAUCAAGUUUUGCUAUGAAAUGUAGAUCAUUAUCUACCAUUAAAGGAAUAAUAUUUUUUAUAUUCACGUUCGGACUAUUUUUUAAAAAAAAAUUUUAAAAAAAAUAUUGAAUAUGAAGAUUUUUUUAAUAAUAUCAUUAAAUCUAAUUAAACAGUUUUAUUUUGAAAUUUAUUAAAUCGACCCCUUAUUUAGUUCAAAAUUUGAAUUAAACUGCGUGAAAAUUAAUUCAAAAUAAAUUAUUCAAUUUAAUAAAUUCAAAAAUAAUUUGAAUAACCGGUAAAAAUAUAACAUAAUUUUUAUAAAAUCUUAUAAAUGAAACCAUGGUGUUAUGUAUGAUUGAUUGAUAUCUUGGUAAGAAGUUAGCUGAAAAAGAACACAUCCUUUAUUUAGUUCUGUAAGAUUAGGAAAUGCAAUUAAAUAUGUUUGUUUUUUUAUAUCAUGUUUUUUUAAAAUAUUUAUUUUUCUAGACUUCUAGCUUUAUUUUCAUAUUUUGAUGUGAGUUUAUCAAUUAAUUACUUACUUUAUUUUCUUUUUAAGAUUUUCUAGUUUUAAUAUAGAUAAUAUAUCUUCUAGCAAUUUGAAAGGCCAAAUGUAAUCUAGGUCUCGUUAGUUUGGCAAAAAGUGGUUUUCUGGAAAUCAUUUUUCAAACUUUUCUAUAUUUGUUUGCCAUAGGAAAACUGGUUAACGGAAAACACUUUACAGUCAAAAGAAAAUUUAGCUUAGUUUUCAGGAAAGUUUUUUUCUUUUAUUUUGAGCAGAAAACACUUUUCGAAAAAUAUGAAAAAAAUAAAAAAUAUCAUAUUAUUUGUUGAUUAUAUCAAAUUAAUUUGGUCCUCAAACUUUUGAUUGCCAUAUAUAUAUAUAUAUAUAUAUAUAUAUUUGAAUAUAUAUUUUUUUAAUUUCAUCCCUUAGAAUUUGAUUUUUAUAUUAACUUUGAUCCUCAUUUUUAUAAUUGUUAUUUUCUUUUUUCUUAUUAUUUUUUAAUUGAAAUUUUUUAUCUAUCAAAUUUGGUCCUCGUUCUUUUGAUUGUUACUUAUUUUAUUUGAAAUAAUUUAUGAAAUGAUAAUUAUUAUUAUUUUAAUUUCUUCAUCUUUUAAUUUUUUAAUUUGUUAGAUUUGAUAUCUAUUAUUUUUAUUAUUAUUUAUUUUAUUUGAGAUAAUUUAUAAAAUUAUAUUUUUUUCAAUAUCAUUCUCAUUCAACUUUUUAAUUUGUAAGAUUUGUUCCUCAUUAUUUUAAUAAACUUGGAAAAAUUAAAACAUUAAUAAGUUAUUUUCAGCUUAUUUUCCAUGACAUAACCAAACACUAGAAAAUAUUUUUCAACUUAUUUUUUAUUAUACUACCAAACAUCAAAAAAUAAUUUACUCUCUCAGAAUUCAUUUUCUAGAAAAAAACUACUUUAAAACAAAUAAACAUGUCUUUAAUAUAAAAAACAACUAUAGAGAUAUUCCUCAUGUGAAACCAAAACAAGAUAAGAAUUCUAAAGGUAAGUAUUUCCGGUUGUUAAUUUUCAGUAUCUUGAUUCCAGAUUUUUGAUGAAUUGGGAUAAUUGCAAUUAACUUUUUAAAAUAAAAGUAUUUAGAAAAAUUAUAAUUUUACUAUUAUUAUAUUAAAGUUGAUGGAAAUAAAUUUUUUAUUCACAUCAUAUACUUUAUAUAUUUGUAUUAUAUAAGAAAAUUUUGUAACAAUAAAAUCCAUUACAAAAUAAUUCAUAAAUAUUAUUAUAUAAUAUAAUAUUAUGUUAGGUAAUAGAAGAUAUUUGGUGAAUUGGGAUUGGGAUCCUACCCUAAAUCUCUAUUAUUUUCUUCAUCUUAGAAAUAAAAUUCCUAGAAAGCAACUGGCCGGCCAACUGCUUACUUUCAUCACAAUACGUUAACUCAAAAUAUAUAUAUAAAGAAAGACUAAUUGGCUGUAAGAUUAGUAUGAGUAGCUUACUCCAAAAUACAAACAUCCAAGAAAAUGCAAUUAACUGUGUUUUUUUUUUUAAAUCCUGUCAUUAUCAAACUCAACAACUUGCUUCAUUGAAAAAAGAAAAACAAACAAUAAAGAAAGACUUCGGCAGAGAGUAGACACAAAGUAAUUUUUUAAAAUGAAGGACCCGAUCGAGCACCUAUGUGGGUGCACACAAGAACAAGACAGAUAAUUAGUGUGAAACCUAAUUGCCAGUUCUGACCACCCAGUUAAGACAAAAUCAUUAUUAGAAUAUCAGAAAUCAGUUUUCUGAUAUAGGUUGGGGUGCACGGUGAUUAAUGUCAAAUUCAGUAAUUAUUUUCGUUUUCUAAUGAUGUUCAUGAAUAUCCAUCGUUUAGCCAGACCAAAAAAAUGAAAAAAAAGAAGAAUUGCAGCAGAAAGCAACGGGGGCAUCACACAGUAUCACAUGGCAAACACUUCUGCAAACUAUUAAUAUGGUCAGGCACAUCAAGGUGCGGUGCUACCUAUGUAUUAGCACAACACUCGAACAAAAGUCCAUCGGUAAAGAAAACCUAGCUAAAAACAGGUGUUAGUUCAUGUGAUUCUGGAAAACGCAGCCACCUCGAGUGUUUUUCUUUAUAUGAAAUCAAAUACAAAUAUGAUAUCAAAUAAGUUCAAAUAAACAUGGAUCAAUAAUAAUUAAUCUGAUUAUUGACAAUUAAUGUGUUAGGGGGUGAUCACAUCGGAUGCGCAGGUCGCAAGCUCUCUUCUCUGCCUUUUUUUUUGUCCCAUUUGAGAAAUAUAAUUGAGGGCCUUGAACAAGUAGUGAAUGUAUGACUUCAUACUGCAAUAAUACUAAAUCAUAUGACAAAUCUCAUCACAUUGAUUGAAAAAGUCGAAUCCUAGAAAGCAACUGGCCGGCCAUUAGAAUACUUUAACUCAAAACAUAUGUUGAUAUAAAGAAAGACUUGGCAGAAGACUGUACAAGAUUAGGAAAUGCAAUUAAAUAUGUUUGUUUUUUUUUUUUUAAAUCAUGUCCUUAACAACUCGCUGCAUCAAAAAGAAAGAAAGAAUGAAAGAAAGAAAGACUUGGAAGAAGACUUAUAAAUUAUUAUUUUUUAAAUAACAUUAGACAGAGUGGGUACAUUGUAAUUUUGUAAUUUUUCUUGUGAGUUCUUGUGUUCUAGAAAGAGUAAUUACGGAAAUUCAAUAUAUAUAGAUUAAUAAGUUGCUUCAUCUUUGAAUCUGUCCUAGGUUUAAUGUGAACACAGGAUCGAGGGAGUUGGCUGGCUACAUAUGCAGCAGACGACGAAAGGUCUAGCAAUAUCCUUAGCUAAAAAUGUAGUGAGAAAUUACAAAAAAUGUGAAAGGACAAAUCUGCAAAAAGUUAAACUAAAUACAUUAGAGCAUCUCUAAUGAAAAAUAGGAUUAAUGGCAAAAAUAUAGUUGUGAUUGUUUUUUAAUAUGUUUUUUAUUUGAAAAUGCAUCAAAAUAAUAUUUUUUAUUUUUUAAAAAUUAUUUUUGAUAUCAACACAUCAAAAUAAUCUGAAAACAUAAAAAAUAUAUAAUUUAAAGCAAAAAAAAAAAAUAAAAUUUUUUUAAUUUUUUUCAAAAAUAAUUUUAAAAUAUAAAAACAAACAGGAUUUUGACAGUGACUACACACUUAGAUGGAUUUAGACACGCAAGAUAAGAAGGAAGGGUCAUUUUCUUCGUCUUGGUUCGUGAAAGAUGCUGCUAAUUGCAAUCAAUCAAAGAGAGAGGGAUUCCCUGUUUUGAAUUUGAAACUGUAUUUUAUCAUUUCAAAACACACUUUAUUUCGAUGUUUGAAAAUAUAUUAAUGGUUUUUUAAGUGUUUUUUAUUUUAAUUUUUUUAUUAUUUUUUAAAAAUUAUUUUUAAUAUUAAUACUUCAAAAGAAUUUAAAAAUAUAAAAUAUAUGAAUUUGAAAUAAAAAUAAAUAAAACAUUUUCAAAUAUUUUUAAAAUUGCUUUCCAAAUACAAUCACAAACAUUUACUUCAUCUACGUGAUUGUUGGUUUUAGAGGUUAGUUUUGUGUAUGAAAUUCAUAAAAAAAAAAUUAAAAAUUAAUUUUUUCAGUUAAGUUUUAUCUAUAAUUAAAUUCUACCUACCCUUAAAAUCAAUCACAACUUCUAAAAAAAAAAUACACUUUAAAUGAAUUGUUAAAACCGUUUUUUUUUUAAAUAGUUUUUUUUUAAAUAGUUUUUUUAAUAUAAUAAUUUUUUAUAUUUUCCCAUUAUUUUUAUUUUAAAUAAUAAAUAAUUAAAAAAAAACUUUUAUCUAUUUUCAAAUAACCAAUUUUACUUUAUACUUCUCUCUCUCCGGGCUCAAUAUUGUUUCUUUAUUUUUAAACAUCAAUAUUCAUUAAUAAUUUUUUUUUAAUUUAACCAGACAUUUAUAUUCAUUAAUAGCUUUUUUUUUUCAUUGUUAUUUAGGCAUAGCUGUGAAACUCAUGGUAAUUGAACAUUUAAUAUUUUUCCAUUCUUGGGUAAUUUUUUAUUUGUAAUUUAUUUUAAUUAUUAUUAGAGGCUAAUAAUUGAAUGAAUGUCUAGUGAUAUGUGAUAAUUUAAUCAGGAAUGGUUGCACGAGGCUGCGAAAGUGUUUCUUUUUAAUAGCCAACUUUCUCAUGCAACUUUCUCUGCUUUAAUGUUCUCUUCGUUCCAAAACACACUUCGUUUCAUCUUUAAAAUAUUUCUCAUUUCCUAACAGAGCUUUUGCAGCUGGCCUUCCAAUCCCCAAGCAAGUCCAAUCCUUUCAGUAGCCAUGGAACUCACCCUUGUCAAAGUCUACUCCAAGGCAGACGUAAGUAGAAACUCUGCUGCCGUUCUCUGGCAAUAGGAAAGAAAGUCUGCGUAGCUAUCAUGAACACUAAAUCGAAGAUUUGAAAAUGAAAGAUAUAUUUAGCAGUUCAAGUUCAGUAAACAUGAACACAUCAUUUUCAUGGACACAAUGAGUUGCUAUCAUUUAUUGAAGAGAGUAUAUUAUAAGCAAACAAGAUUACGGUUGUUAGGGUUCUUUUUUCUCUUCUUUAUUUCUUUUCCUCUUAAUUUUAAUAUUAACUUUUACUCUUAAAAUUAAAUAAAAUAUAAAUAAUAAACUAAUAAUAAACAAUAAAUAUCUAUAUUUUACUUUUUCAAAUUCUAAUAUUUAUUAAUUAUUAAAUAAUUAAAUACAAGAUUUAUUAUAUUUUUUUAGUAAUGCAUCAGUGUGGUAAAAUACCCGGAUCAUGUUAUUAUUAAUAUUUUUUUAUGCCUUGUUAAGUUCAUUUAUUUUUAUUAAUAAAUAAAGUCUAUGUACCGACACUGCUUUCUAACAGGCUUAACUGUUUGGGAACACUGUUGAAACCGCGUUUCUAAAAAAUUCAAAUUUUUUUGGUUAAAAUUCGAUAUGAUUUAUAUGUUUUGAAUCGUUUUGAUGUGCUGAUAUUAAAAAUAAUUUUUAAAAAUUUUAAAAAAAUAUUAUUAAUAUGUAUUUUAAUAUAAAAAAUUAUUUAAAUAUAUUAUUGUUUGGUUAAAUAAAAAAUAUAAUUUUAUUGGUGUAGGUCACAUUUUAAAUUGUGAUUAUGUCACAUGUUUUUUAGAAGCAUAAUUUUGUUAUUUCUUACAUGAACGAAUCAUUGAACAGUAUAUUCAUGCUUUAUUGUUUUUGUGAAUAGUGGAUAUAUUUUUCAUUAUUCCAGUUAGAUUGGGUCCGGUCCAAAACUAAAAAUACAUUGAACCAGGUCCGACCAAGUAAAAUAAAAUAAUUAUUUUUAAUUUUUAAUUGUGUUUUAUUCAAAAAACUAGUAUUAAACAUUAUUCAAUGACACUGCAUAAAUUAGACAUAGAUUGCUUGAUGAUGUAGCAUUUGUAUAAUUUGAUCGCAAUUACAAUUUUGUUCCUGAUUAUAUUUUACUUGAUAUUGUUGCGCUUUUAAGAAACCAAGAAAACUGUAGUCCUUGUUGGAUAUGUUUCAUAUAUUAUAGAAUUGUAGAUAGUUUAAUGGAACAAUAAAAAAUAUUUUAUAUAAAGUAUUAUUUAUUUUAUGAUGUAAUAGCAAUAGUUAAAUCUACAAUAUUCAAAUUAAAAACUAUCAAUAUUAAUAUAUAUAUAUAUAUAUAUAUAUAAUUAUUUUAUAACCUCAAUUUCAAAAGUAUUCUAAAUCAAACACAUUAAACUAUUUUUUGUUCAAUCUUAAUUUUAACUAUAGUUUUAACUAAACAUACAUAAAUAUCAAAUCAACCUCAACCAAAAAUAUUUUUUAUAAAAUAUUUUUUUUCAAAUCAUAACCAUAAAAAAUUACCAUAAUACCAAACAAAACAACGAGAGAGGGACCCUCUACUUUGAAGUUGAAUGCAUAUCUAUUUAACAACUUUUAGAACUUUUUUUUUAAUAAAAAUGUGAUUGUGGUUGUUUUUUUAAAAUAUUUUUUAUUUAGAAAUAUAUUAAAAUAAUUUUUUUUAUUUUUUAAAAAUUAUUUUUAAAAUCAACGCAUUAAAAUGAUUUAAAAAUACUAAAAAAAUAUAUUAAUUUGAAACAAAAAAAAUAAAAAAUUUUAAUUUUUUUUUUAAAUAUUUUCAAAACAUGAAAACAAAUAUGAUAUUAAUCACAUGAAAAUGGAUAAUGAGGUUAAGGUUUGGUGCAUAGGAAAGGAGAAUGAAACACAACACUCUGUACUAAAGACUGCAAAAGAAAAUAAUUAAUAUGGUCAGGCACAGAAGGGUGCGUUGCUACCUAUGUAUUAGCACAAGACUCGAAGAAAAGUCCAUUGGCAAAGAGACCUAGCUAAAAACAGGGGUUAGUUCAUGUGAUUCUGGAAAACGCAGCCACUUUGAGUGUUUUUCUUUAUAUGAAAUCAAAUACAAAUAUGAUAUCAAAUAAGUUCAAAUAAACAUGGAUCAAUAAUAAUUAAUCCGAUUAUUGACAAUUAAUGUUUAGGGUGACGAUGGGGGUGAUCAUAUCGGAUGUGCAGAUCGCAAGUUCUCUUGUCUGCCAAAUUUUUUGUCCCAUUAGAAUACUUUUUAACUCAAGUAUAUGUUUAUGUAAAGAAAGACUUUGCAGAAGACUGUUGUACGUAAGAUUAGGAAAUGCAAUUAAAUAUGUUUGUUUUUUUUAAAUCAUCUCUUUAACAACUUGCCGCAUCAAAAAAAGAAAGAAAGAAAGACUUGGAAGAAGACUUACAAUUUUUUUUUAAUUUUUUUUUUAAAUAACAUUAGACAGGGAGUGGAUACAAGGGAAGAGAAGGGAAGGGAAAACAUGUCAUCAGGGAAGCAAUUCAAUUAAAUGCGGUUGCUUUGCUUUAUAGAAAGAAAUGAAGGGAAGGGAAGAAAAGAGAAAAAGAAAAAAGAUGUCAUCCACUAAGGGAAGCAACGAAGAAUCUUUGCUUUUCCACACAGUAGUGUAGUGUAUGUAUAUGUGUAUGUAUUGACAGGUACAGGGCAAGGCAAUAUAAUCUUUCAAGCUUUCCACGCAAUCACAGCUUGACGAUGUCUUUUUCCUCCUCUAUUACUGCAUCACGAUGUCUUUUUGGAAAUUUAUUGGUAUUUAAUUUUAAGAUAAUUAAAAUAAGUAUUUGUCAAAGAAUUGAUAAAUUAAUUUUACAUAAAAAGUCAAAAUUCUCUUUUAUUAUUUAUUUUUUAUCUUGACACAAAAACAUAUAUUUUGUUAAUUAGCAACAUAGUUGUUUUAUUAAAAAAAACUUGGUAAUUUAAAUAAGUAUUCUUAAAUUUUUAAUUAUUUAAAUUAAAAGGGAAAUCCUGAAUGGAAGAAAAGAGAAAAGAGAAGGGAAGGAAAGAAAAGAGAAAAGAUGUCAUCCACUAAGGGAAGCAAUGAAGGAUCUUUGCUUUUCCACACAAUAGUGUAGUGUAUGUAUAUGUGUAUGUAUUGGCAGGUACAGGGCAAGGCAAUAUUAGAACAGGUUAUUUACUGUACAGGGAGGAAGGACCCUCAUGCAACUAUGCUCUAAAUUUGAAUGUAUCUCAUCAUUCCAAAACACACUUCGUUUCAUCUUUUAAUAUUUCACACCAUACUUCUCUAUCUGUUGUGCUCAAAAUUUCUUGUUUGAUCCCCCCCACCCACAAAAAGAAAAAAAAAACAGAGAAUAUGGCAGCAGAGCUUCUUCUUACGUUUGCCAUGGAGGAGACUUUGACAAGGGUCAGUUCCAUAGCUGCUGAAGGGAUCAGACUUGCUUGGGGAUUGAAGGGCCAGCUGCAAAAGCUCGAAGAGUCUUCGAAAAUGAUCAAAGCUGUGCUCAAAGAUGCAGCCAGAAAGGCAGUAACAGACGAUUCGGUGAAGCUUUGGCUGGAGAGGCUACAAGAUGUAGCUUAUGAUGCUGAAGAUGCUCUAGACGAGUUUGCUUAUGAGAUUCUCCGAAAAGACCAAAAGAAGGGAAAGAUACGUGACUGCUUUUCACUCCACUACCCAGUUGCAUUCCAUUUGAAUAUGGGUCAAAAAGUUAAGAAGAUCAAUGAAGCCCUGGAUGAAAUCGGGAAACAUGCAGCCGGAUUUGGGCUUGGAUUGACAUCUCUACCUGUAGAUAGAGCUCAAGAAGUUAGCUGGGACAGAUCGAGAGACAGAUUCCUUCCUUGACAGCUCAGAAAUCGUAGGAAGGAGGUGAUGUCUCUAAGUUAUGGAUUGCUGACUAGCUUGACCAAACACCAACAUGUCCUUCCGGUUGUCCCUAUAGUGGGGAUGGCGGCCUUGGAAAGACUACUGUAGCAAAAAAGUUUGUGAAGAAGUGAGGGAGAAAAACAUUUUGAUGUGCCUCUAUGGGUUUGCGUUUCUAAUGAUUUUAAUAAAGUGAAGAUUUUAGGAGCAAUGUUGCAAAUGAUUGAAAACUACGGGUGGGUUGAACAGUCUGAUGCAAUUUAAAAACCUUAAGAAAGAGCUGGAAAGAAGACAUUUUUUCUUGUUCUUGAUGAUGUGUGGAAUGAAGACCUGAUAAGUGGGAUGAUUUGAAGGAGCAACUGUUAAAAAUUAACAGCAAGAAUGGGAAUGCUGUUGUUGUUACAACCCGCAGUAAGAAAGUAGCAGACAUGAUGGAGACUUCUCCUGGGAUUCAGCACGAGCCAGGGAGACUAUCAGAUGAUCAAUGUUGGUCCAUUAUCAAGCAAAAGGUGAGCAGGUGGAGGAGAAACAAUAGCUUCAGACUUGGAGUCUAUUGGAAAACAGAUUGCAAAGAAAUGUGGAGGGAUUCCAUUACUUGCUAAAGUUUUGGGAGGAACACUGCGCCGAAAGGAGACGCAGGAAUGGAAGUCAAUUCUAAACAGUAGAAUUUGGGGUUCUCCGGAUGGAGAUAAAGCUUUGCGCAUCUUGAGAUUGAGUUUUGAUUACCUGUCAUCGUCAACACUGAAAAAAUGUUUUGCAUACUGUUCCAUUUUCCCUAAAGAUUUUGAAAUUGAAAGGGAAGUGCUGGUUCAACUUUGGAUGGCUGAAGGUUUUCUCAGGCCAUCAAAUGGGAGGAUGGAAGACGAAGGCAACAAGUGUUUCAAUGACUUGCUUGCAAAUUCCUUUUUCCAAGAUGUUGAAAGGGAUGAGUGUGAGAUCGUAACAAGAUGCAAGAUGCAUGAUCUUGCAUUGCAGGUCUCAAAAUCAGAACUGUUAAAUGUGGAGGAGGAUUCGGCUGUUGAUGGUGCUUCUCAUAUUCGUCAUCUAAAUCUCAUAUCUCGUGGGGAUGAUGAGGCAGCAUUAGCAGCGGUUGAUGCUAGAAAAUUGCGUACUGUUUUCUCAAUGGUUGAUGUAUUCAACGGGUCUUGGAAAUUCAAGAGCUUGAGAACUCUCAAAUUGCGAGGGGCUAAUAUCACAGAGUUACCAGAUUCAAUUUGGAAGCUGAGACAUUUGAGAUAUCUUGAUGUCUCACGUACCAGUAUCAGAGCAUUGCCGGAAUCCAUCACCAAGCUCUACCAUUUGGAAACAUUACUAUUCACUUAUUGUUACUCAAUGCAAAAGCUUCCCAAGAAAAUGAGGAAUUUAGUGAGCUUGAGACAUCUUCAUUUUGAUGAUCCAAAGCUAGUGCCAGCUGAGGUGAGACUCUUAACACGCCUUCAAACUCUGCCUUUUUUUGUUGUGGGUCCAGAUCAUAUGGUUGAAGAGCUGGGAUGUUUGAAAGAACUAAGAGGAGCAUUGAAGAUAUGCAAGCUUGAGCAAGUUAGAGACAGAGAAGAAGCUGAGAAGGCAGAACUGCGUGGAAAAAGAAUGAACAAAUUGGUGUUUGAAUGGAGUGAUGAUGGUAACUGCAGUGUUAACAGAGAAGAUGCGCUGGAAGGCCUGCAGCCACACCCAGACAUAAGAAGCUUGACAAUUAAGGGUUACGGUGGUGAAUAUUUCCCAUCAUGGAUAUUGCAACUCAAUAAUCUUAUGGAGCUGAGAUUGAAAGACUGCAGCAAGUGCAGACAACUCCCAACACUUGGAUGUCUUCCUGGUCUUAAGAUUUUAGAGAUACUUGGAAUGCCUAAUGUGAAAUGUAUAGGCAAUGAGUUCUAUAGCAACAGUGGCGGUGCAGCUGUACUGUUUCCAGCACUAGAAAAACUCAGUCUAUCCAGUAUGGAAGGUCUUGAAGAAUGGAUGGUACCAGGUGGAGAAGUUGUUGCAGUAUUUCCUCGUCUUGAAAAGUUGAGUGUUAAGAGAUGUGGCAAGUUGGAAAGCAUUCCGAGAUGUCGUCUUUCAUCUCUUGUAGAAUUUAAAAUUCACGGAUGUGAUGAGCUGAGAUAUUUUUCUGGUGAGUUUGAUGGCUUCAAGUCUCUUCAGAUUUUAAGGAUAUUGGAGUGUCCAAAGCUAGCAUCCAUUCCAAACGUACAACACUGCACAGCUCUGGUGGAAUUGCGUAUAUAUGGGUGCGGUAAGUUGAUCUCAAUUCCUGGUGAUUUCCAAAAAUUGAAAUAUUCUUUGAAGAGCUUGGUUGUUUAUGGGUGUAAAUUGGGAGCUAUUCCAAGCGGACUACAACGUUGCGCAUCUCUAGAGGAAUUGGAAGUAAUGGGUUGGAGUGAGCUUAUCCAUAUCAGUGAUUUGCAAGAAUUGUCUUCGCUUCGAACAUUAUUGAUUAGAGGUUGUGGUAAGCUCAUCAGUUUUGAUUGGCAUGGUUUACGACAAUUGCCUUCUCUUGUUCAAUUAGCAAUCACCACGUGUCCUAGUUUGAGUGAUAUCCCAGAGGAUGAUUGGUUAGGCGGCGUCACGCAACUGGAGCGAUUGAGCAUCGGUAGUUUCUCAGAGGAGAUGGAGGCUUUUCCUGCAGGAGUUUUAAACUCAUUCCAACACCUCAACUUGAGUGGGUCCCUCAAAUCCCUAUGGAUAAGUGGAUGGGAUAAACUGAAGAGUGUACCACCCCAACUUCAACACCUCACUGCCCUCGAGACAUUGUCUAUAAAUGGUUUCAAGGGAGAUGAAUUUGAGGAAGCAUUGCCAGAAUGGUUGGCCAACCUUUCUUCUCUUCGACGUCUUGACAUUUAUAACUGCAAGAAUCUCAAGUAUAUGCCAAGUUCAACAGCCAUUCAACGCCUCUCCAAAUUAAAGCUAUUGUAUAUCUGUAACUGUCCACAUCUAUCAGAAAAUUGUAGAGAGAACAAUGGCCCUGAGUGGCCCAAGAUUUCUCAUAUCCCAUCAAUUAAUAUAAGAUAGAGGGUACACGUGUACAGGUAAGUUGGGGUUUUAAUUAUUUCCUUACUUAUGAAAAGGUCACUUAUGAAGAGGAGAGAGAACCAAUUAAAGAAUUCAAAAUAAUGAAAGUAAUAAUUAGACUUUAUUCUUUUAAGAAUGGUUUAUUUCUCAUAUCCCAGCAUUCUUUAGACUAAUAUCUUAUUAUCUUUUUUUAUUAUGUUAACAAAAUGUAUAUUUAAAAAUUAUAACCAUGAAAUCAAUAAUUUAAAUUAGACUUUUACUUUUUUAAAAAAUUGUCUAAUCAUUUCAUUUAAUAACAACCACUAAGAUUAUUCCUGCUGAGAUUACUAACUAACCACUUAAAGCUAAAAACACUCCUUAGAUUUUAAAAAGAAAAAGGCAAACAAGCUUUCGACACUAACUUGGCCAAUUAAAGUUUUCAAAUUAAUGAAAGCAAUAAUUAAAACAUUCAAUUUAAAAUAUUUUAUAAAAUAAAUGAUUUUAUUAAUCUAAAUUUUAAACAUUCUAUUAUAACCUAAAUUUGAUUUCAUGGAAUAUUAUGUAUCAAAAUAUAAAAUCAAUAGCCAUUAGUAUUCUUUCAAUCAUUACUAUAAUAUCAUUCUUGCAACAUAAUUUAACUUAUAUUUAUUAAGAUUGUUUCCACAGUUUAAAAAUAAUUGCAUUGUCUAUAUAGUAUUAUUUAUUUUAAAACCAUAACUUUAUAUACAAUUAUGAUACUUAAAACAAACCAUUAAAUCUUAAAAUUAACAAUCAAAUAGAGGCAUUCAUCAUAUACAUAGGAAUUUAAUGAUGAUUUGUUAAAAUUUAAAAAUUAUAACCAUGAAAUCAAUAAUUUAAAAAUUAUAACCAAAAAAUUGCCUAAUCGUUUCUUGCCAUCAUGUAGUAACCAAUUUUAACAAACCAAUAAGAUUAUUAGUGAGAUUAUCAACCAAUCACUUGUAGCAAAUACAAUUAAAGCUAAAAACACUUUUUUGAUGACCCCAAUAAUUAAAAAAGAAAAAAAGAAAAAGGCAAACUUGGCUCCAGUUUAUAUAAAAUAUAAAUUAAUAAAUUAUAUAUUGCUAAUAUAUUAUCUAACUCCAACCAAUACAAGUACAAGUUUUUUUUAAGAAAAAAAAUCAAAUGUUAACUUAGAUAAGUAGUGAUAGGAUUGAUUUAAUCUUCAAUUACAAAGUCUAUGUUGACUGCUUAUCAUGUAUGCCUUUCUGUAUUAUUUGAGAAUGAGCAGCACUCGUAUUGUCAAUAUUGCAGAAACCAUGUAGUAAUCCCAUUUUUCUGAAAUUUUAUAAACACAGAAACAAACAAACUGCUUCCAUAUAGCUAUAAACAAACUGCUUUCAAGAUUUAAAAAAGAGUCCAACGUAAAAGGGAUGCAAAAUCUUAACAGUUCAACUUCUGUUAGUUACAUGCAUAAAAAUAUAAAUUUGGUUUAAACCUUUUUAUUGAGCUCAAAGCACAAAAUAGUUUGGAAGAAAAAUGCUGCAAAUAAUGGUUCCAAAAAAGAUCUCGAGGAAUGAACAACCAAACUCACCAAAAUGCACAAAGAAACUUGAAUGGGCAGGGAUGGCAAAUUCUGUUUCCAGCAGCAUCAGUACAAAAGUUCUUCUCCGUUACCAGUAUCACACGUCCAUAAAAAAACAGUGAGAGAGGAUGGUAUUACUUGGCCAGCACCGUAGACUAUCAGCUGUAAAUAGAUGCAUAGAAAUCCAUAAGAACUAGUUUCAGUCAAUACUUCACAUGAACAAAGAGUAUGUCGCACCUCAACUCAAUUGAAAAUUAAAAGAGAAGAUUAUUCAUGCCUUCCUUCCUGUAUUACUUGAAUAUGAAUAGCACUCAUAUAGUGAAUAUUGUAGAAACCAUGUAGAACUCCCAUUUUUUCUCUACUCAAUGGAUAUCAUCCUGCAUUUUGCAGUUUAGCGUUUAGCGUUGUUUUUCUUUCCAAGACUAACAAGAAGUUGGUUGUUUUAACUAUUGUACGUGCAGUCGAACCUCUAAGACUGAAGGAAGCCAUAGAAUGGUUAUUUAAAGCUUCUGCAGAAUAGUGUUUGUCGGGCUGGAUGGUGGAUAAACAUGUGAGUUGCACAGUUUUCUGUUGUCUUUAUGAGAUAAGUAUAUUUGAUAGAAAGUAAGAAAAUGCAUGGAGCUGGAAGCUUAUCACGAAAAUAUAAGAGCUUAAUGAGGGCAUGGAUGUGAAUUCUUAUCUGUGUGCAAUGUAACUUCUCUUAUUUUAUAUUAGGUUUUGUUUCUUAACAUUUAAGAAUUCUAAUUUUAUAUGUCCAUAAAUGUUUUUCAAAGCUGAAUAUUCUAAAUGUAGAAUGACCAUUGUUCUUGAUGGAUAGAUGGUUAUGCAGUUGUACUGCAAAUUCCUGAAGGAUUAUUCUCUCAUCAUGGAUAGGGAGAGAUUUCUGUGGAGGGGACUGUGAGGGUGUUCGAUGCAAUUCUGCUACUGGGAGGGUUACUGGUUUGUUGUUUCAGAGACCUAGGAGGGACAGUGGCGUUUACACGAGGGGCAUUUAGCCAGCUUCUCUCGGAAAAUAACAGGCUAGAAAAUAACAAAAAAAAAGUGAAAAAGAGAAGAAUAAAGGCCUCUUAAAAAACCUGAUUAUAGGGCCCGAGAUCGCUAACAGAGCACUAACAUAAACAACACCUUGCAAGGUCGUAAAUCUAGUGAUGAAUAAAAUGCUGAGCUAGCGAAACAAAACAAAAUGUUGGAUAAAAAACAAAAAGGAUAAAAGAGUGCGUGCACAAUGUAUAAGAGAAAACAACUACAGCAGGAAAAAAAAAACACAAAAGAAACUGCUUCCGUGGUAAAAAUGGAGGUGGGAAGCAUAACAACUAUGUAGAAGCAAACUUAAAAGAAAGAUGGGUAAGGAUUGAGUAAAGGAAGGGGGAGGACUUAAAGUAACAACUAUGAAAAGCUAAGAGCAUGUAUAAGCGAAAGAAAAAAAGUGAGAUGUACUGUCAGAUCCUUGAAACAAGACCAAAAAGCUGACCGAGGAGAGAAUGGGUGUGAUCCUAGCAGAGUUGACAGCAAAACAAUAAGUGAUGGAUUUUCGAAAAUAAAAAUUUAUUAAUCAUGUGUAAUCACUUUUCAUAUAGGAAGCAUAUAUAUCAAGAACAAUAUGCUUAAGAAAUUCGUAAUUCGUGCCAAUAAAAAAAUGUGGCAAAAUCUAUAUAAUAUGCCUUGCAAAGCAAUCUAUUAUGUGGUCACUUCUCCUUUUUAAAAGUGUAAUGGAAUUAUGGAAGAAUGGAGCCUGCUGGAAAACAGAAAGAACCGAUUAGAGUAAGAUAUAUAGAAGAUGAAUGUGCAUUUGAGAAAACAUAAGCUGCUCAAAAUGCAAUAUUCUAACCCAGUUCACAAUAGACCCGACUCAACAAUCUCCCCACCCUAGGAAACCGGUGCGAAAGGGGACAAAAAAAGAAAAACACAUUUACCAAAUCGAAGCAAAAAAUGAAAGCAAAAGGGCUAGAAAGACCAGACAACCAUGUCCAUGGGACAUGAACACCAUGACAACAGUAUAAAACAGAUCUUGAUAAAUCAAGCUGUUAAUAUAUCAGAGAUAGACAGCAAAACAGAAGAACAGCAGCACCUGGAGAGCACCAAAUAAGAGUGAGAAAGAAGCACAAUGAAGUUUGUUAACAUCAAAGAGAAAAACCCGAAAAGGAAAGGGAAAGCAAAGCUAUAAAACACCAAGCAACCAAUAGGUUUGAUCAAAAGAGAAAAGAGCAACAAGCUGUCAUAGCAAAUGAACUAAAAGCGCCAGCUGCUUGGUAUUUUUUUGCAGCCCGCAUGAUUCUUAACUGUCCGCAUGAUUCCCUACCAAGGAUCAUAAACUGAUUUAGCACCUCGAACCGAGAGCCUAAAAAUCUGCAUGAAUACUAUCCUUGACUAUGAUCAUAAGACAGUCACACAACUAAAUCUCUAAAAAAGUCAAUCUUUAGCAUUCAGAAGCACAUGCUAUUUUUAAAGGGCUCUGCAUUUUCCUCUGCAAACAUCCAGACCUGGAAGUUUUUAGGUCACACAUACUUUCUGUCUUAUGAAAUUGCAGACCAAAUUUUGAGACUGGAAAACAAAAUGAUAUGUUGAUUAACACUGAACAAGAGCAGAAAGUCUCGUGUUCAAAGCGCGAAGGAUGUUAAAAGAUAAUAAAAGAGAGCAUACCUCUCAUCAUUGACCUGAAUUUGUAUCUCAUGGUAACAGAUUCUAGUUCAUCAAUUGCAAUUGUAUAGAAAUCCUCGUGCUUAACCUGUAACCAGCACUAGAAGUCAAAUCUCCGAACCGAGUAGAUUUCACAAGUGUGCAUGCAUCAAAACAAGAUAUACAGAAUGUCACUCAAAAUACAAUAAAAAAAGCAAUAACCAGGGAAUCUCAAAAUCCACUGAAACAGACAUCUCAGACCAAUAGGGGGCACUCAAGACGAUUUGUAUCAGAUAAGGAAGUUCCAUAUUUUGAUAUAAGCAUUUUUCAAUGAAUAAAAUAAGGCAUGUGGUGGGCCAAUAAACUCAUAAACACUGAACUAAGACAAUUCCAUCGCGAUUGCUCAUCACAUUAUCCAUACAGAGCAGCAAGACCUAUUUAAUAUGUUAUUUUAGUCUCUUUAUUCUUCCUCCCAACACAGGAAAUGCGUGAAAGCAUAAAUAUAGGCCUCAAAAUUCUUCAUCUCAUGAUUCUCACAGACCUUGCGAAGCAAGUUCGACAGAAGGGCAAUGUUAUGCAGGCUUGCUCUGUGAAGAAACAAAAACGAGUUUUAAGAGAACAUUUCUAAGGUAGAGCCUUCUGAUAUAUAUAUAUAUAUAUAACAACAUCAAUUCUAAAGUUUGAAUAUUUCUACAAAGAAAGAACAUUGCAUCAACAUUUAACCAUUGGCAUUUCCAAUGCACCACGUAAAAUGACCAUGGAAUAUGAGAGUUCAUUUGCUGGAUUCAUCUUAUCACAGACAAAGCUUAUGAGACAAUACCAUGCAACAUGGAUGGGAAGCGACAUGAAUCAUUUUUGGACAUAAGUGAUGAUUAUUUAUGCAAUUCAUUAAUACACUUCCAAAUUCACUAGAAAAUGCUUUGCCUUGUAAAAGAAUUGCUCAAAUAUAUCUUACCCGUUUUGCCCCAGCCUGAGCACAAAAUAUUGAAAGCAUGUGCCACAACCAACAUCCACGACAACCUGAACAGGUGUUCCAAUUGAGCAAUCAGGACACAUACUGUUCAAAUUGUUCACGUGCUGUGAUUUGUCUCUUCUGAGCCCAAAUUAGAUUUCUAUUAUAUAUAUAUUUUUUUUGGAGGAAAGGUUAAAUUGAGAUAUAGGAGACUGAAAUGAAAAUCUCGAAUAAUAUAGGAGACGAGUUGAAAAUUUUGUUAAAAUAUUCAUUUUAGUCCCCUAUCUUUUUUAGAUAUUAGGUGACCAAUCCCUUGAAUUUUAAGAAAAUACAUUUUGAUAUCUAACUUUAUUUUUUAUUUUUUUUAAUCUUUUUUGGGUGGAAAGAGAGAGAGGGAGUCGUCGGAUUUUGACUUAGAAAGAAAAGGUGGUCCUUGGGAAAGAUUUCGGCCACCAAAACAGUUUUGACUAUCAAAAGGUUUCAUAUAAUGAGGAAGUUAUGAUAUAUUAGAUGUUUGUUUACCUUGAAAACACAAACAAAAAUAAAUCUGAGCUUGAAAAGAUUUUUUUUAGGUGAAUUUGGGGUUUUAGGCUGUUUUUUGGUGGCCAUGGAUUGGUUCAAGAAGGUCUAUAAGGUGGCUCCUGGGUUUUUUGUGUAAAAAAUAAGUUAAAAAUAAGUUUUUGGAUAAAAAUAAUAAAGGAUCCUGAUUUUCCAGCCGUCAUAGUAGCCGGAUUCUAGAUUACGCAAAUGAUGGGUUGCUUGCUGAUACAGGCGACGUGUCAUUUUUUUGAAAUGUUUGGGGUGGACGUGUUUGAUCACCCCAUCAAACUUUUAUAAAAAUAAAGGCUCGUGCUUAGGCUUGGCCUUGCAGGCCCACACACAAGCUAUUGUUUUAUUGGGUCAACCUUAGAUCUGACUUGAUUUAUUUUAUUUAAAAAAAUAAUGCAUUAUUUGAUAUGUAUUUUUUCAAAUAAAUCUUGGAUUUAUUUUUAAAUGACACAUGAUAACUUUCACAAAAUUCCAUCAUGUUUUCAGGAGAAGUGGCAGGAACUGAUUCAACUAUGUUUCAAAAGGAAGUUCAGAUGCCACUAUUCGAUGUCUAGUUGAAUCAUUUUGAUUAAUAUACACAGAAAGUUGGGACUUUCUCAAGAUUUUCACAGAAGAUUGCCUGCUAGCAUUUGUAUGGGGAAAAACAAAUUGUGCUUUGCUGACAACAAUAUUGGCUGCUGAGAAUGAUCGAUAGAGCCAGUUUGAUCCUAAUAGUAAUUUUAUUCAAGUCUAAAUUGCAGUGUUGAUGUGAUCUGAGCAAGGCAUUACAGCCUCUCUAUUAAUUUUUUCUCCACUGAUAUAAGAUUUGCAUGCACAAGAAGAAAAUAGCCUCUACAAACUCACUCCAACCUCAAAGUCGAUUUUAAUUCAUCCAAAAAGUUUUAGAAACUUCAAUAAGUCUUGAAAACUAAACUGUAAUUUCAGGUCUUUAUUUCUUUUUUGGACCCUUUCAUGGAUGUCACCAUCAUUAAUAGACUCGUCUCUCUAGAAGUCUUCAUCUCUCUUUUGCAUUAUAUCUACCAUUAUAUGUAGAGAUAUAAAUGAUAAUCCAAAAAUCAUGAAAAUUUCUUGUUUUACACCAUGGAUCUGAUGAGGACCCAGGUGGAGCAGAAAUCAGCGGAAAAGAAUCGGCAGCAGCAGAAAUUCCGGGCAGCAGAGGCGGUGCAUGAGUCCUUUUAAGGGUGAAUAUGCAGCUGCUAUAAGUCGGCAACCAGAGGGAGUUUUCCAGUGAUAAUUGGACAAGAAGAAAGAAGACGAAUUCUACAAAUAACAGGAGAAGGAGAUGUCCAUAAAUAAGAGACUUUAGAUGGGGGUUACUAAAUAGAACUGCAACGAAAUUAAAAAAAAUUGGCCUAAUCAACAAUUUGUAGGGGAUCUAAGUGUCCGUUGUGGCUUCGUGUAAGAAAAUGCUUAUAAAUUUACCUAUAAAAAUUUAAGUUUAAUCUAAGGUCACAUCUUUCCUUAUCGCAAUAUAAGAUACUAACCUACUAGCUAUAUAAGAUUCUUUCUUGAAUGUUUAAAAUCUUUAAUUUCUACAAAUUCGAUUACAUAAAAAGUUAUUUGCAAUUAUGUUUGAGAUUAAUACUUUUCGUUUUAAAAUAUAUCAAAAUAAUAUUUAUUUUUUAUUUUUUAAAAUUAAUUUUUAGUAUCAAUAUAUCAAAAUAAUCUGAAAACAUAAAAAAAAUAUAUAUAUAGUUUUAAUUUUUUUUUAAUUUAUUAAUCCUCCAUUUUAACUGUUCUUCCAAACAAGGACUAAAAAAGGAAACUCUAAAAGACACAUUAAUUAAGCUUUUUAGCUACUGUACACAAACAUUUUCGGCGAAGCAUCUAAUAUCUUUUUCUAUGAAUAAUAUUCGAGAAAUUCAUCAAAAUUAACCAUUUAGAGAAUGGCAAAUCAGGGUACAAAUUAAAGGAGAAAAAAAAAAUAGAAGAGGAGAGAAUGUGAAAAUCAGAGUACAAAUAAAGCUUAUGCUUCGGUGAUAGAGAACAUUAAUUAUUUGUUCAUAUUCGAAUUUCAUCUGCACGGAUCAGUAGUAUCGUUACUUGUAUAAACAAAAUUUUCUCCAAACUCCUUACUGUCAGAUGAUGGAAAGUUAAGGAAAAACAUGAUUCUUGCUUUCCUCUGAAAUUUUCCUCUAACAAGCAAUGGCCAUUGGUAUAGUAGUUGAUAUAUAGACUGGGGAACACACCAACCCCACACCCUCACCAUUUAAGAAAUUUUGCCCAUAAUGUCCAAGCAGUAGAAGAUGAUCACUCUAUCUCACUUGCACAGAUCGGACUGUUCUGAAGACAGAAUCCCAGAUCGGACUCUUGAUCAAGCAAAUUAAUUCUACCUUUCCAAAAAGACAAUCUACUACGAAAUUUAGUUACUGUAAAUUGCCUUUGCAGGAAAAGCACUAUGAGUCUUGGUAGCAUUGAUACCCACAGCCGAGCUCUUAUAAAAGCAUCUAUACUCUAUUUUGCCAAAAAUGCUUGUAUUUUCAUCAAUAGACCAGUACAAAAUUAAAAUGGGUCGACUGAAACAUAUCUAAACUCAAAAAGAUUAGGAUAUAUAUAGAUAAACUCAAUAUUCUUUUAUCUAUAUAUAAGCCAAACAAUAAUCAAAUUGUUGACCUGUAAGAUCAGUACAAGGCAACAAGAACAAAAGCUCAACAAAAUUAUAAGAAGAUAAACUAACGUUUUGAUUGAUUUAUUAUUUUUAUAUGAGAAUAUGAUCAAGAAAUAUAUUUUAUAAAAGGGUAUAUUGAUAAAUUUCAAAAAAAAUUUAUUUUUGAAAGUGUAACUGCGGUCUAUGAUUUAUUUUCAAUGUAUGAAAUUGUUGUAACAAUAAGAAAAAAAAAAAUUACCAUGCGAAUGCAUGGCAUACCAAUCUCAAAACACUGCCUUCACACACAACAUGACCUUUCACCCGAAGUUCUCUCUCCCCCUCCCUCAUCCAUGAGCCUCCAUCACUACCUGCUUUGGAAUAUGCCCCCUCAUCCCCCCCGCCUUCUCCAAACCUUACCCUUCCAGAUCCCAUCCUCCCCCUCCCUCCAAAAAUAACCUUCACCCUAGACCUUCUUCUACUAUUUCUAUCUACUUUGAGAGAUUCCCUCCCCACAGUUGAAGAUUUGAAAAAACUUUUCACCCUGUUUGGCAAAAUCCUUGAUGUUUAUGUACCAAUGAAACUGAACCGCUGGAAAUCGAGGUUUUGCUUCGCACGCUUUGAAGAUGAAAACAAUUGAGAACAUCAACUCAAUGAAUUCAAUAUGCUAUGGAUUGGCAUCUAUAAAAGAAGAGCUAACUUGGCACGUUAUGAAAGGAAUGAUGCAGGGAUGAGUAAAAAAUAAGCUCCCUACGAAAACGAAUAUGUAUGGAACUAGAAACCAGAACCUGAAGUUUGAUGUGAUAGAAGAUAAUGUGUGACAGGAUUGGGAAAGGGAUUUUGGUGCAGAUUUGAGAAGCUUCAAGAGCAAGCAUUGAUAUAUACUUUCAUUUUAAAAGCACUAAAUAUGAUAGAUACAUGAACUUAGAUCUAACCUAUAGUCAGAACUAAUGAGUUACACCUAGAAGCUGUAAGUCAGCACUAUCCAAGGAAAACAUUGGUGCCAAUUCUACCAUAAACAACUUUAUUUUUUACACUGACUGGCAUUUUUUAUUGUCAUUGAAAUCAACUGCUAUGAUUUUCCUCAUGUAACACAGUCUCUUCAUACAUCAAGCACUAAGCAAAGAUUAUGAUAAAGCAUGCAUUUAGAUUUUCAACUCGUCUUAAAUGCUAAUAGUGCUGUCUUUGAAGUUACAGCUUGGAAACUGCCAUUGAAGUUACAGCUUGGAAUAGCAGAAUCUCCAUCUGCAGUUACAGAUACAACGAAAAUUCUUGAACUCGAACCGUGUGCCAGGAUUGGGCAAGGGAAUUUUCCAGUUGACAUAAAAGGCAAGUAGUAGAUCAAGAAUCCAAGACCAUGCAAGAAACUAAGUUUAAAGCAACAACUCUUCCUGUCUUUAUGCACCGGUUACAUGUCAUUGUUGUACUAAUUUUCUUUGUUUUUAUUGGUCAACAAACCUCAAAAUAUAUGUCAUCUUGAGCACUUAACGAGCAGUGUUUUUAGAAUAGAACUGGAGUUUUAACUGGCGAAGAUGCUGGUAAUUCUCCAGUUCUUUGAUUUGAUCGAUUUGUGGUUCAUCGAUUCAAUCAGUCCGGUUCAAUACUUAGAAAGAUGUUCUUUCACGUGGCUCGAGGUGGGUUAAUCUUAAACUAGUUUAAUUUAGUUUUUGGCUGAUUCAAUCCAGUUCAAGCUGGUUUUUGUCUGGUUCAGUUUGGUUCGAACUAGUUUUUAUCAAAUCCUUUUCACAAACUGUCUAUACUUCUGAACCAGACCAGUUUAACAUCAGGUUCACUAAUUGAAAUGGGUGGUCCAACCAUUUCUGAUAAAUUAUGUUUAAGAGUUCAUCCUAAAACAACACAAUACUUAUCCUUUCCAAGUAAGAUCUUCCAAACCUUAAAUCACCAGACCCUUCCACAUCUCCACUGUUUUCUCCUUGAUAUUCUUGUUAUCGAAAUUUUUUUUGAUUCCAUCAGAAUUCACUCUCCUUUAGCUUCUACAAGAUCUAUAUCAAAACUAAGCCAUGCCAUCAUUCUUCACCGUCUCGCCUAUUCAAGAUUCUUACAGCCGGCUUGCAUGGUCAGUGAUUUCUUAUAGUUAGUUAAAGUCUUUCAUUACAAGUUCUUAAUGCACAUGAAGUUUUCUAGCAUAUAGACGGGUAGAUUAGUGAGGAAAUUGUAUUCAUUGCUCAUCUAUCCUGAACUUAACUAUCUGCUGAAGCUGCUUCGGAGUCCACUAUUCAACACAUAUUGCUUAAAAUUAUUUGUUAAGUCAUUGGAAUGAAAUUCUACAAUAUUUUAUCCCUUUUAGGGGUUUUAUCCAUGUUUACUGUUGGAAGGUAUAAAUUUCCCAUAAGUCGAGAAAAAACAGUGAAAAUCGCUAAAAUUUACAGUCCCUUAUUUAAAAACAAUACAUAUUUUACUAGAUCAAAAUGCUCGGGUGUAGAGUGAAGAACUGACCACUUAAACUACAUUGAUCCCCACAUCAUUGUAUAAGAGCUAGACUGACCAUCAAUGUCAUUCCUUGAGAAAGAAAGGGGGCUCAACAUAGAAAGUUAGCUCAACAGUACAAGUUGAACGAGACUUCAGCUUAACCGCACGAGGCUUAGCCUAUUUGGAAGAAUCUUUAUGGUUACUUUUUAAAAUGUUUUUUAUUUAUAAAUAUAUUAAAAUAUUUUUUUUGAUUUUUUUUUAAAUUAUUUUUAAAAUAAACACAUCAAAAAAAAGAUAUUUAUUAUUUUAUAUAAUUUUUUAAAAAAACAAUAAGAGUUACCUACCUAAUAGAAAAAUUCGAGGAUUUUUCAAAAGUAGUCACAUUGUAAUAGGUUACCCGUUCAAUGAAAAAAAUACAAGGAUUUUUUAAAAAUGAUUACAUUGUAAUGGGUUACCUGUCCAUAAAAAAAAUAUAAGGAUUUUUCAAUAAAUUUAAUGAGAAAUCAAGUUUUGCAGUGAAAUGUAAAUAUUAUCUAACAUUAAAGAAAUUAUAAGAAAAACUAAAUAGUACGGGAAAAUCAUUAUAAAUUUAUAAACGAUUUAUUAUGAAUUAUAAUAGUAAUUUUAUUUUUAAUUUUUUUAUCUUAUUUAUUCAUAACAAGUUUCUUUAGUUUUUUUUUUUCAUUUAAUAAGUAAACUCAAAUAAUAUGGAUAUAAUAUAUUACCCGACCCAAUUAAAUUUAGAUGAAGAAUAUCGUUAGAUCUAUCUAAAUUUGGGUCAAGUAUAUUUUUUAAAUUCAAAUAAUAUAAUAAAGGCGAAGAAAAUGAUCAUUUCUUAAGCGUAUAGACAAUUUUAAAAUAAAGGAUUUGUUGAUUUGUGGAGGAAUGUGUAAGUUAGCUUAUACAUCUAAGUUAAUUAAAAAAACCCUUUAAAGCAGAGGGUCCCUUCUUUUUUUAUAUCCUCUUGACACGUAUAAUGAAUCCAAAAAAGUAGUAUCAGUACAUAGAUUUUAUUUAUUAAAAAAUAAAAUAAAUAAAUCUAACAAAAACUCAAAAAAAAAAAUUUAAUAAUAAUGUUAUCUGAAAUAUCAAAGGAGAAAUGAAGCGUGUCUUGGAAUGAUGAGAUACAUUGAACAUUAAAGCAGAGAAAGUUGCAUGAGGGAGGGUCCCCUCCCUCAGCUAUACUAAUUGAUUGAUGGUGGGUGGCAGGUGGCAGGUAGCAGCAUCAAUUUGCCAUGCCACUGCGAAGAAAAUUCCACAUACGCCUCUCUCGUCAUUGUAUCUGGUUUAACUUAUUAUUAGCUUCACAGCGAGUAAAUAUUUUUUUUUAAAAUGUAAAAAUAUAUUAAGAGUUUCUUGUAACUAUAGCAAAUCAAAUAGAAUUGGGUUUAGCGAUCAUGUUCAAUUCAAGUUUAAUUUAGUUUUUAAUAAUUUAUUAAACAGAAUAUUUUUACUAUUUUUAAAUUAUUUUGAUAUUAUAAUAUUAUUUUUAUAUAAUUUAAAAAAAAUAUUUUAAAAAACAAAACAAUUUCACACCAUACUUCUUUCUUUCCCGUGCUCAAUAUUUCUUCAUUGAUUUCCAGACAUCAAUAUUCAUUAAUAUAGUAAUUUGAGUAUACCUCAAGGCUUUUUUAUUUUUUCUUAUUUGAUUGAUUAUCACCAUAAUUUUCAUGAUAAUUAAAAAUAGAUUAUGAUGAUUUGAAUUCACCUUGUAAAGAUUGAAGAUGAAUCUUUUUAAUUUUGUCAGUAACUGUGUAUUUUUAUUGAAAAAUCUUUCAUAUUUCUUUUGAUGUUUCUGUGGAAGCGAUGAUCUCAAAUAUAGCUUUCUUGAGACCUCGAUAAAUGGUUUUUGCUUUGUUAUCUUUCUUUUUAUUAGCUUUAAGGACUUUUGUGCCUCUUGUAAAGAAUUUUCUGCUUCUUUCGAAUGUGGUUCAUCAUAACCGUAUCCCACAAUCUGUAUACACUCGUUUGAGCUAAGAAAUGCCUUCAAUGUGAUACACCAAUUAUCAUAAUUAUCUUUGGUCAACUUUAGGAUUAGUAUUUGUGCAUUUUGUGUAGUUAUUUUAUUUGUUAAAUGACUAUAUCACAUUUUGAGAGUUGAAUUUUGCAAAACGAACACCGAAGAUGAAAUUAGAAUGGUUUAAAAAGUAGGGUAUUGGUUUGACUUAGUUGAAAAUGGGUUCGAAAUGGGUUGAACCGGUCAAAAUAUUGAUUCUGGAUGUAGGUCUGUUCACUAAGGUUGAACCGGGAAUAUUCUUUGGCUUGACUUAUGAGGUGCAACAUAGCUCAAAUAUGACGCGCGUGUGGAGUCGUCUUUUUCCUUUGGGCAUGUGGGCGAUAAUGGUUGAUUUUCAGGAAGCGCGUGUAGGCCAUCGCUUGCUCUGAUUAGACUAAUUUUUGCACCAUUGAGUUCGUAUUAAUGAAACCUACACUGUGGAAUGAUCAAAAGGUAUUUUUUUUUUUUUUUACAACUUUGAAAAUUCAGAUAUAUCCCCAAAACUCCUUUGUUUUUUUUAUGAACAAAGCUCUUAUACUAAUUUUUGUUGGAAGAAACUACUAGUAGUGGCUUUGAAACACUCAAUUAGAAUAAAACAUAAUAUUUUAUUUUAUAAAUAAGAAGCUUACAUAUAUUGUUAUGCUCUCAAACAUACCCUUUUGAUUAGUAAUAAAAAGUGCAUAUUUAUUAAAGUUUUAUAUCAUCAUUUUGCACUUAAAGUAUCAAUAACUCCUUAACUAAAGCAUGUUUUAUAAUAACAAGUCUAAUACUAUAAAAUGCCCUAAUAUAUGGUAAAUAUUCAUCUUAAAUGCAGGCCUAUCACAUAAAUCAAAGGAUUGAUUGAUGAAUUCAACUACUGAAAUUUGUGAAGAUAAAGAGAAGGUGCAACUUAGAAAAGAGAUGUUGGUGCAGUCCAAACUGGAACAUUGUUCGGUAAUUGGGUCAUAUAUCGAGUUCUAGAUGUUCAAAUGACCUCAAAUUUUUACACAGAUUCAUUAAGACAUAGGCCUACAACUUUCAUGUUUUCAUCAAGAUCUAAGAAGGUCGUUUUCAAGUCCAAAUUAUAGCAACAACGGAGAAGUCCGAAUCUAUCCUGCAGCCCAAACACUGUUCAGUGUUUGGCCCAUAUCUGAAGUUCUAGAAGUCCAAAUGACCUCUAUUUUUUUUUCCUGGAAAGCUGAGUCAAUUUCCUACAACUUUCAUGUUUUCCAGAGGACCCAUUUCGAAUGAUAGCAUUUGUGUUUUAUUCAGACAAGAAGAUAAGGAUUUUCACCAAGUCAAAAGUUGGCCACCCACUCAACAAUUAGUCAUCAAAUCAAUAAUUCCGAAUUUUGGCCUAUAAAAGGAGGCAUUUGCCAUGUAUUUGGGGCUUGGUUGUUCAGAUCAAGUUCAUGCUCUUUAUUUCUCUCUUAUAUUUUUUUGUAAUUUUUAAGUUUUGCUUUCAUUAAUAUCUUGUUUAUUUUUCAUUUCCUUUCCUUUCCUUAGUUAACUUGUAUUUAUUUAUGUUCUUGUUUUGUUUAUUUAUGUUUCUCUUCUUCAUUAUGUUUAGCUAAGUUUAUUAUGUCAAGGUGAAAAGGUAACACUAAUGGUGUAAGAAUAAGUAUGGUGUAAAUUCAAUAUGGACCUUAAUGUUUAAUAUUAAGAUGUCUUAUCUUUUUAUCUUACUAAUUCUUAAUACCUUGCUUGUUAAAUGGUUAAUCUAGAUUUGUGUUGUAUAAUACUUGGUACAACAAAUGUUUGGCACUCUCAUAGCCCAACCGUAUGGUAUUACCUACACUUGGGCUAUGAAAGGAAUUUGAUUUGUUGUUAACAUCAUGAAUUCCUGACAAUAUUUAAAAGUUUGGUGUUAUAUAAAUAAUUAAUAUAUGAUCAUGUUAAUAAUUUAUAAUGAGCUAUUAAUGAGAAAUCAUCCGAUUGGAACCUCCUUUGUGUGUGAUUUCCAAUUGAGUAAUAAGAGUUUAUACUAUACUUGUUUGAAAUAUCAUUGGUGGAUCCUCUAACCUUGACAUUCUUUUUUAUCAUUGUUUAAUCAUUACAUUAAUCUUUCAUAUCAAAGUUCUCAUUAAUUUCUUCAUCUUCUUCUUUUAUUCCUAUUCCUAUUACUAUUACUAUUACUAUUAUUAUUAUUACUACUACUAUUAUUAAUAAUAAUAUUAUUCACAUUCUGUUUAUAUUAUAUAAUAUAUAUCUUUAAUCUUUUCAUAAACUCAGUAUAUAGGCUGGAAACCUGUGACCCGAUUUUUUAGAUCAUUCUCAGGUAUAACAACGCCACGUACUGAGUAUUAUUAUUAUUGUUGUUAUCUUGUUAUUUAUAAUUUAUACAAUUAACCUCUUUGUGGUUCGACCCCGGUCUUGCCGGGUUAUUUAUUACUUCGACACUCCUACAUUUAGAAGAAGACAUCAAUCUUUUAAUCGUGUCACCUUUUUUUGUGUUUCUCUCUUGUAUCUCUCUCAAACUAUAGCAUAAACUUUAACUGCUAUUUAAGUGUGAAUAUAAAUAGUUGGUAGUAGUGUGAAGACUAUUAUCGGUUAUAAUUGGUGGUUGUGGUUGUAGUUGAUGAUUAAAAGAAAAAUAAUAUUUUAAAAAAAAAACAGCUGAAAAGAAAGAUAAAUAACAAUAAAAUAACUUGCCAAUUUUGAUUACGAGGAGCUAAAUAAAAAGCUGCUGCAAGCCAAAUGUUGUCCUGAGUACAAUUGAAGAAGCAAACUUUGCAAACCAAUAAUAGUGCUUUGGGACAGAAAAAAUCUCUGCCUUGGUUCGUGGAAGAUGCUGCGAGCUGCAAUUAAUCAAAGAUGGAGGGACCCUUGUUUUGAAUUUGAAAGUGUAUCUCAUCAUUUCAAAACACACUUUAUUUCAUCUUAAAUAAUUAUAAAUAAUAAAUACUUUAAAAAACAACCUUAUUUAUUCUCAAAUAACCAGUUUCACUUUCACACCAUACUUCUCUCUAGCCCAUGCUAAAUAUUUUUUUCUUUAUUUUUAGACUUUAAUAUUCAUUAAUAGUUUUUUUUAUUUAUUUAACCAGACAUCCAUAUUCAUUAAUAGUUUUUUUUUUCAUUAUUAUUUAGCCAUGAGUUUGGAAUUGGACAUUUAGUAUUUUUCCAUUCUUGGGUCAUUUUUUAUUUGUAAUCUAUAUUAAUUAUUAUUAGAGGCUCAUAAUUGAAUAUUGUUUAGUGAUUUUUGUGAUAACCUAAUUACGAAUAGUUGCAUGAGGCUGGAAAGUAUAAAUUCCACAACAUGAGGGAAGUAAAAAUUGUGAAAAUCACUAAAGUUAAUAAUUCAAAAACAAAACCAUCAAAAUAAGAUUAUUAAUUAAGAGGUGAGUUUGUGUCAAACCAAAUUCAAACCACUUUUAUAAUUUUGAUGAGAAAUCAAAUGAGAUUAGGUGGGAAAUGCAUGUUAGACCUUUCAAGAUGUUCUGUGGAAAAAAAUCUAGUGAGAAAUUUACGAAAAAUAUAAAUAAAAAUAUGCAAAAAGUUAUUCUAAAUACAUGCAACGCGGACAGAAGCUAACGUAUACAUAUAUUUAUUUUUAUGUUUUAAAAGUAUUUUAAAAGAAAUUAACAUUUUUGAAUUUUUAAUUUUUUUAAUGUAUUAAUAUCAAAAACAAUUUUUUUUAAAUAAAAAAAUAUUAAUUUAAUAGAUUUUUAAAUAAAAAUUACUUUAAUAAAUAAUUAUAAUCACAUUUUUAAAUACCCUAAUAAAUUAACAGUGGUGGUUCACGGAAAAUGCUGCCGACAGCCAUCAAUCAUUAGUAUAGGGAGGAAGGGACCCUCAUUCAACUUUCUUUGCAUUAAUGUUCUUUUCAUUUCAAAAUAACAUUUCAUUUUUUUCUUUAAAAUUCUUCGCAAUUAAUUUUAUAAAAUUUUUGGAAUGAAGGUCCUUUUAAAAUAUUAAAAUAUAAUUACGGUUAUUUUUUAAAAUAUUUUUUAUUUAAAAAUAUAUUAAAAUAAUAUUUUUUUUAUUUUUUAAAAAUUAUUUUUGAUAUUUAUAUAUUAAAAUUUUUAAUAAAAAAAUAUAUUUUUUUAAAAAACUCAUGUUUUCAAAGGAGCUUCAGUAUGCCAAGUUUGACUGAAGUGUUUCGUGGAAGAUGCUGCCAGCUGCCAUUAAUCAAUCAAUACAGUGAGGGAGGGACCCUCAGCUUUCAGGUUAACGCAUCUCAUCAGUUCAAAUCGUUUAUAAAUUUGAGUGUGGAUGGGUUAAUUUUUUAAAUGAUUUAUAUUUAGAAAUAUAUUAAAAUAAUAUAUAUUUUUUAUUUUUUAAAAAUUAUUUUUUAUAUUAGUUGAUUAAAAUAUUUAAAAAUAUUAAUUUUAAAUAAAAAAUAUUUUAACAAAAAAAAAGUAAAAGUAAGAAGUUAUAAAAGAUAAAAAAAGUGAGGUAUUGAGAAUAUAAUUGUAGUAGCAAGCACAUAAAUUCUCCAUUUUCCCAACUAAACUGGGGAUAUUAGAUUUUAUUCUAAAUAUUGUUGAUAAACAUUCUGCAAGAACCGAUGAGCAAUACAGUAGUCGAAAUCUAGGAAGCCCGAAAAGCCGAUCAAGCACUUAGAAUGUAUUAGUAAUAAUUGUUUUUUAAGUUAUUUUUUAUUUUAAAAAAUUUAUUUUUAACAUCAGUAUAUUAAAAUCAUAUAAAAAUAUCAAAAAUAUAUUAAUUUAUAAUAAAAUAAAAAUUAAAAAAAAAUUAAUUAUUUUGAAAAACAUUUCUAAAAUACAAUCAAACACCACUGCAAACAAAAACAGAAGCAAUUACUAAAAACGAUUAUGUUAUUACAUGGAAAUUAACGGUCACCUUGAUUAUUAUUACCUUGUUAAAAAAAUUUUAUAUUUUAUAUUUUUUUUAUUUUGAAUUAAUAUUUUUUUGGUAUUUUUAAAUCAUUUUGAUAUACUGAUAUCAAAAAUAUUUUUUAUAAAAUAAAAAAUAUUAUUUAUUAUUUUAAUAUAUUUACUUUAAAAAAUAAUCCAAUAAGCAAUGAAGAUGGGAAUUUUGUGUUGCUUUAGCUUUUCAGAGUGUGUAUGUGUGUAUAUCAUGCACCCAACUCAUAUUUCUUUUCCCUCGUUUGUUCUUCUUAACGAAACUGGCCAAGAAGUGCAAGCUUGAAAGUCUCAAAUCUUCAGAAACAAUUUACUCACAUGAAAGUCUCAAAUCAAGAAGACAAAAGGCAUGCUCAGUCUUGGGUUAUAAUCAGUCGUGAUUUAUGAUAAAGUAAUCACUAAUAGUUGCAUGAGGCUGGAAAGUAUAAAUUCCACGACAUGAAUGGAGUAAAAAUGGUGAAAAUCACUAAAGUUAAUAAUUCAAAAACAAAACUAUUUACCUGAUCAAAAUGAGAUUAGUAUUUAUGAGAUUAUUAAUUAAGAGGUGAGUUUGUGUCAAACUAAAUUCAAACAAGUUUGAUAAUAUUGAUGAGAAAUCAAAUGACACUACUAGAAAAUCAAUAAAUACAAACGGAAAUACCGAGGGAAUAUUUACGUCGGUAAAUUUCCGAGGGAUUUUACCAACGGAAAUAUUUCUGAGGGAUUUUACCGAUGGAAAGAUUCCCUCGGUAUAUACCGAGGGAAUUACCGUGGGAAAAAAAUUAAAACAAAGCAAAAAAAAAAAGAUGACGUGUCAGUUUUUUACCAAUGGAAUUACCGACGAAAUAUUUCCGUCGGUAAUUCCGUCUGAAAAUCCGUUGGUAAACUGUGAACACUGUUCAUCAUGUCAAUUACAAAGGGAAUUAUCAACGGAAAAAUGCCGUCGGUAUUUUACAGAGAGCUCCAGAACUGUUCAUCUUCCAAUUGCACUGUUAAUUGUUUUACUUUACGGACAAAAUCACCGACGGAUUGAAAAUUCGUCGGCGUGUUUUGGCGGUUUUCUGAAAAAAUUCAAUUGAUUUAAAAAUUUCAUUCAAAUAUUAUAGAUGGAAUCACCGACGGAUUGAAAAAUCAUUGUUAAUUUUUGGCGGUUUCUGAAAACUUUUUACGAAAUUGAAAAUUUAAAUUAAAUAUUACCGACGGAAUUACCGAUGGAAUAAUUAAAAAAUAUUAAUAUUCAAUUAUCCAUCGGUAAAUCCGUCGGUAACGCGCCCCAAUAAAAAACCUGAAUCCGCUUAUUUCACAAGAGACAGACUCAUUAUUUUUUUUCUUCUUCUACUACUUCUUCUUCUUCUUCUUCUUCUUCUACUUCUACUUCUACUUCUACUUCUUCUUCUUCUUCUUCUUCUUCACUAUAUGUAAAAAACAUCAAUAUCUAUUUCUUUUUCUUCUUUUCUCUCCUCAUCUCCUUCUCUUUUCCUCCAUGCUCGGGUAUGUCUUCUUCUUCUUUCUUCUUUUAUCCUCUUAGUUUUUUUUAAUUAAUAUGCUUUACGAAUUUUUUUUUCCUUAGCUUCACUUGCAAGUAUAUUAAGGUAAGAUUUUCUUUUUUCUUAUUUUUUCAUGAUUUUUUUCACUAUAUUUGUUUUUUAUUUAAUUUUAAUUGAUUUUGUUCUUAAUAAUUGUAUAAAUGUUGUUGUGAGAUUAUUUUUUUUCAUAUGAGAUCAAUUUUUAGUUGAUUUAUUUAUAGGAUUUUUAAAUUUUUAGCAAUUGCAACUUCAUUUUUUUCAUAUGAAUUUUUUUAGUUGAAUUAAUGUUUUUGUUUUAUUUAUUUGUUGCAAAUUUGUUUGAGUUGAUUUUCUUAUUCUUUUUUCCAAGCAUUUUGAGUAUAUAUUAUACAAUGUUGAUUUAUGUUAAUUUAAUUAUUUUAUAAUUUUAUAAAAUGAAUUUUUUUUUAAAUGUUUUUAAAUAAUUACCGACGGAAAUUUCCGUUGGUAAAUCUGUCGGUAAUAAAAAAAAAUUACCGACGCAUCUGUUCCGCCAGUAAAUCCGUCGGUAAUUAAUUUACCGAUGGAAUUACCGACGAAAGAUUCACCGACGGAAAUUAUCCGUAGGUGAUUUCGUCGGGAAAUUAAUUACCGAUGGAAUAUGUGUCUUAUGCCGACGGAAAAAUUCCGUCGGUAAAACUGUUAAAUCUUGUAGUGGAGAUUAGGUGGGAAAUGCAUGUUAGGUCUUUGCAAGAUGUUCUGUGGGUAAAAGUCUAGUGAGAAAUUUAUGAAAAAUGAAAAUAAAAAUGCGCAAAAACUUAUUUUAAAUACUUACAACGCUGACAGAGGCUAAUGUUAUGUGGAAUUGUUUUAGCCAUCCAUGACAGUGCUUCUUUUUUUUAAAAAAAAAAAACAAAAAGUGUUUUAAAAAAAAUUAAAAUUUUAUUUUUAUUAUCAUUUAUUUCAAUUUUUUUACCUUUUUAUGUAAAAUAAAAAUAAAAAUGAUAUACAACAAGUUUUGAUUGUUAAAAGUUUUUGGUUCCAUAGGGUUGACUGGACUUUCUGAAAUUUCUUUUUAGUUGUAACAUUAACUUAUAAGGACUUUUUAGUUAUUAAAUCAAUUAUAAUAACAAUCCUCUUUAAAAAAAAAAAAAAAUUUAUUGACUAAUUGUUGGGGUGUUCAAGUUAGUAUUAAGAUACUUGAAACCGUGUACUUGAAAACUACGGGGAAAAGAAGAAGAAGCAAUAAAUAGCAUGCAAAACUUCAAAAUGAAUAGAGUAAUUUUCUCCUUUUAAAAGGAAGGAAACGAGCAAUAACUGAGUUCACAAAUUAUAUUAAUUAUCCCUAAAGCAAUCAGAGCUGUAACAUAAUAAAUGGCUCAGCAAAUUUAUAAAGCAGAAAAAAUAGCAGAAAUUUACAGGAAAUUAAAAAAAAAAAGCAGAAAAUUCCACAUUUUAGAGGGGAAAUUCAAAAAGUAAAAUCCUAGAAAACAACCGUCCGGAUAACAGAUUAUGAAAAUAUAGAUUUAAAUAUUUUUUACAUUUUUAAAAAUUAUAAAGCUGAAAAAAUAGCAGAAAAUUCCAGAUUUUAGAGGGGACAUUCAAAAAGUUAAAUCCUAGAAAACAACCUUUCGAAGGAUAACAGAUUAUGGAAAUAUGGUACCGGAUAUGAUUUAAAAUACUUUUUUAUAUUUUUUAAAAUUAUUUUAAAUAUUAAUAUAUUAAAAUCAUAUAAAAAUAUUAAUUUAAAAUAAAAAAAAUUCGAAAAUUUUAAAAAUAUAGUUUCAAUCCUAAUUUCAUACACAACCGAACCGAAGUCUCUGUACUAACACUACUUUCUUAGAUUCAUUGCGCGUGUCAAGAGGGAGGGAUCCUCUGCUUUCAAGUUGUCUACAGGCUAAGAUGGAUUUGGACACUCAAGAUAAGAAGGUAGGGUCAUGUUCUUCGCCUUUGCAUGACUAAUAAAUUUGACAGCAGUGGUUCGUGGAAGAUGCUGCCAGCUGCAAUCAAUCAAUUAAUACAGUGAGGGAGGGACCCUCUGCUUUCAAGUUGAAUGCAUCUCCCCAUCCCAAAACAUUACGGAAUUUUGUAAUUUUUCUGGUGAGUUCUUCUGUUCUAAAAAGAGUAAUUAGGGAAAUUCAAUAUAUAUAGAUUAAUAAGUUGCAUCAUCUUUGAAUCUAUCCUAGGUUUAAUGUGAACAUAGGAUCGAGGGAGUUGGCUGGCUACAUAUGCAGCAGACGACGAAAGGUCUAGCAUUAAUAUCCUUAGGUUAGACAGAUUGACAGUGAGAAAUUUAUGAUGUUCUGUUGCUAAAAAUCUAGUGAGAAAUUUACUAAAAAUGUAAAAUGAAAAAUCUGCAAAAAGUUGAACUAAAUACAAUAUACCGACAGAGGCGGAUGAGUUGCUAUCAUUUAUUGAAGAUGGUAUAUUAUAAGCAAACAAGAUUACGGAUGUUAGGGUUCUUUUUUCUCUUCUUUAUUUCCUUACCUCUUAAUUUUAAUUUUAACUUUUACUCUUAAAAUUAAAUAAAAUAUAAAUAAUAAACUAAUAAUAAACAAUAAAUAUCUAUAUUUUACUAUUUCAAAUUUUAAUAUUUAUUAAUUAUUAAAGAAUUAACUAUGAGAUUUAUUAUAUUUUUUAACAGUAGCAUGGUUUAUUAUUACAUUUUUUUCUGCCUCGUUUAAGUUCUUUUAUUUAUAUUAAUAAAUAAAGUCUAUGAAUUGACACUACUUUCUUACAGGCUUGAACACACAAGAUAAGAAGGAAGGGUCAUUUUUAUCGUCUUGAUUCGUGGAAGAUGCUACCAGCUGCAAUCAAUCAAAGAGGGAGGGACCCUCUGUUUUGAAUUUGAAAUCGUAUCUCUAUCAUUCCAAAUGAAACACAUUUCACUUUAUCUUCAAAGGUUUUAUUUGUUUUUUAAGUAAUUUUUAUAAUUGUAAUUUUAAAAAAAGUAUAGUUGGAUUAGAUAUGUAUGAUAUUAAGAAGAUAUAGUUAGUUGAAAUAAAAUGUUUGGUAUAAGUGUGGUUCUAAUCAAGGUUGUUAAAAUCGCGAUUUUAACACGGUACGGAAAAUACAAUACAAACUCGGAUCGUAAAAACGGAUCGUAAAAUCGUAAGGAAUUUUAAAAUAUAUUAACAAAAAAAUUCAUGCUUCAAAUAUAAAUUCAUACAUAGUUCAAGCACUUUAAAAUACAUGUUUCAAAUAAAAUUUUUACAUGUUUCAAGCAUCUUACAAGAUGGAAAAAUGUUUAUUUAAUUGUAUAAGACAAUGACUUAUGUUGCUUGAGUAUAUUUUAGGAGCUUGGGUUAUUAUUUUUUAAUUAUUUGAUUGAAACAACACAAUUUUAUUUUUUUUAAAAAUUAUUUGAUUUAAAUUAUCCCGUUACUAUUUUUAUAUCUAAUUUAUAUUUAUAAAAUCUCUUCUACUUGCUAUCAUACCAUUAAAAACAUAAAUAAUUUAAGGUGAAUGAAUAGUCAAAAUAACAUAACAAAUAAAAGUAAAAGAUAUGGGGGAAAAUCUGAAUUAAAUUGGAAUUUAAUAUUAUUGCCUUGACUGUAAUCUCUCAGCCCUCAAUUUCUUUAAGCUUUCUUUAAUCUCUGUAGCCCUCGAUUUCACAACCAUUUCUUUAUUGGAUGCAGACAAAAUUCACAUGUUCUGCAGCUAUUGAAUACUGUGUGACUGUGCAUUUGCAUAACCAAUAGAUGCCAGACAGCUGGAGCAUGUGGGGAGAAAUUUACUUCAGUGCAUGCAUUUUGUUAAAAUCGUGAAAAUAAUUCAUUUUCUAGAAUUUAUUUUUUUAAAAUUCACUUUUCAAAAAAAAAUUAUUUUUCAGAAACCAUACAGAAGCAUUAAAGGGAGUUUCUUUCUUUUCGGAGAGGCAAAUGUGGUUGCUUUGCUUUGUAGAAAGAAGAGAAGGGAAGGGAAGAAAGGAGAAAAAGAGAGAAGAUGUCAUCCACUAAGGGAAGCAACGAAGAAUCUUUGCUUUUCCACACAGUAGUGUAGUGUAUGUAUAUGUGUAUGUAUUGGCAGGUACAGGGCAAGGCAAUAUAGAGUGCGUUUGGUAUUGUGGUAGCUGUUGUGGUUGUGGUUUAAAAAAAGUUGUUUUAUAAAAAAUGCUUUUAGUUGAGUUUGGUUUGAAAAAAUAGGUGUUUGGUUAAAACUGUGGUUGAAAUUGAAGUUGAAGAAAAAGUAAUUUAAUGUGUUUGGUUAAGAAUAUUUUUAAAAUUGAGGUUAUAAAAUAAUUUUAAAAAUAUAUAUUAGUACUUAUGAUUUUUAAUUUAAAUAUUGUGGAUUUAACUAUUGCUAUUAUAUCAUGAAAUAAAUCAUACUUUAUAUAAAUAUAAUUUUUAUUAUUCCAUGAAACCAUUUAUAAUUCUAUUACGUACGAGAUUCAUUCAACAAAAAUUACAGUUUUCAUAAUAUUUUUAGCAUGUAAUAAAUUUAGAUAAAAUAUUAUCAGGUAUAAAAUUAACUCCAAACUAUUUUUUUUUAAAAAAAAUAUAUUAAAAAACUAACACACAAAAAAAAAAAAAAACCAACGCAGGCAGUGAACAGUGCAAGAGAAUUGCACUGUUCACUAUUCUUAAGUGAACAGUGCAAUUCUCCAGCACUGUUCAUAUAAACAGUAUAUGCGGAAUACUGUUCAUGUAAUUGCACUGUUCAUUGAACAGUGCAAUUACACAUGAACAGUAGAGAAAAAGCGUGAAUUAGCUGCUUCUCAUUUCUCGCGUUAGAAACGCAGAAUUAAAGUGGGGCCAUGAACAGUGAAAUUUAAAACGCAGCCGCAGCCGCAUACCCAAACGGACUCAUAAUCUUUCAAGCUUUCCACGCAAUCACAGCUUGACGAUGUCUUUUUCCUCCUUUAUUACUACGUCACGAUGUCUUUUUGGAAAUUUAUUGGUAUUUAAUUUUAAGAUAAUUAAAAUAAGUAUUUGUCAAAGAAUUGAUAAAUUAAUUUUACAUAAAAAAGUCAAAAUUCUCUUUUAUUAUUUAUUUUUUAUCUUGACACAAAAACAUAUAUUUUGUUAAUUAGCAACAUAGUUGUUUUAUUAAAAAAAACUUGGUAAUUUAAAUAAGUAUUCUUAAAUUUUUAAUUAUUUAAAUUAAAAGGGAAAUCCUGAAUGGUAGUUUAUAAAUUUGUUUUUCUCUCUGUUCUUUAGUCACUUUUUUUUUUAUAUUUUGUUAUAUGCUUUCCACUUGUCCAGGCUUUCUUAAGAUUUGUAGAUGAAGCGCAUGCGUGGUCCUUCUGCUUGAAGAGUAUACCAGUGAGGGAUGAAUCGGUCAUUUACAAUUUUCUCACAAAUUAAUAAAGAUGAAAGCAUAGUUAUUAAGAUUUUAUUUUUACAAUCUUUUUGAUUUAUGAAUAUGCUUUCUUUUUUCUUGAUUUUUAAGUACCAUUUAGAAAUACUCAAUAAAUUAAUUUAAAUAUAGAAAAUCAAUAUAGAAGCAUUACAUUUUUAUAAAACAGAUAAUUUAGCCUGGUCUCAAAGAGUUUUAAAAUUCUCCCUUGAUCUAUUAAGUGUGGAUUUUCUUAAAACCUCACCCCCAGUUUUUAUAGAAACACAAAAAUAAAAAGACUCCCAAAAUCUCUUUUUAAAUCUGGUUGCAAGUGAAGGAUUAGAAGAGCUGCCCGAUCUAUUGUGGAUUGGGUGCUUGAAAUUUCUUCAAACUUUAGUCAUCUUUAAUUGUGAAAAUCUAGAAAAUUUGGUCUUAGAAGUCUUCGGAUAUUGGUUAUUGGUGGAUGUGGUAGCUUGAUUUCUUUGCCGGAAGCAUAAGAUGCCUACCUACUCUGGAAGAUUUUUGUAUUAUUGAAGGCAUAGUUUUGAAACCCGACCCGGUGAUUGACCCGGUUUAAUGAUCGGGUCACGGGUCAGAUGGGUUGACCCGGGUCAACCCAAAAAAAUUAAUAAAAAACUAAUUAAAGGGCAUUUUAUGAAUCAUGGGCAGGGGCGGUUAAAGAGGAGGAGCUUAUAUAGGCUCCAUUGCUAAAUUAACCUAAUGAGGUGAAAUUUAUCUUCCCCUCUGAUUCAACUUGAGAAGAAUCUUGUCCUCGUCUAAAGCAUCUCCUACAUUCCAAAGGCUAGAUUCAAGUGGAACUCCAUCAGAUUUAACCAGAGCAAAAGAACAAGACAAGGUAUGUCAUGAUAAAAUGCAAAGCUAACUAAUUUCAUUCAACAAUUUAAAUUUCUUUGAACUUAAUACAUCAUUACUAAAUUCUAUGUUUGUCUAAUUUCUUCAGAUUUACUAUUAUGAGGGUCCUGUCGGCUAAGAUCUUAUAAAACAGUGAGUCACUUCCGAAGAUCAGCUUAAGGCUCGGAGUGUCUGCUUUGUGUAAUUUCCCCUGCCUUAAUUUUCUUGGCUAGCUAUGUGUGACGAUUUAUUAUCAAUAAAUUGAUAAACUUUUGGUUGCUCUGAAUUAUGGGCUUGCCUCUUUCUUCUAUUCAACUUAUCUUAUUUAAAAUAAUUGUGAUCAUUUAAAUAAUUAUGUUUAACAUAAAAAUCCGUCCUUCUAAACAAACUAAAAAACUGAAGUUGGGAGGAGAAGUAGCAAUUAUGCUAAACAUAAUUAUUUAAAUGAUCACACAAUUAAAAAUAAUAUUUUUUUUGUGUUAGAGUCUAGCCAUCGAUUUUUAAUUAUUCCAUCGAUUUUUGAAACAUCAUCGAUGGAAUAAUUAAAAAUAAUAUUUUUUUAAUGUCCGUCGGGGAUUUUGUUGGUAAAACUGCGCUAGAAAUCCCAACGACCCCCUUUUCAGUUUAUUUUUUCAUCUUCUUCAUUUCACAACUCUAAUUUUCACUUUUUUUCCCUCUCAUUUGCUUCAAAUCUCUUGUUUUUUGCUUGUUAUCUCUAGUUAUAUCUUUAACAAAUUAAAAGAUAUGUGUUUUCUCUAUUUCAUUUGCUUUAAGAUUUUAUUUUUUUAUUUGUUUUUUGUUUUAGCUAUUGUUAUUUUUGUUAUAUUUUUUAUUUUGGAGUAUUUUUAUAAUGUAGAUAAAGUCUUGAAAUAAACACAUUAUUAAGGUAAGCAUUUUUCAUUCCUAAAGUCUAUAGUUUUUUUUUUUAAAAAAAUUUGAAUAUAUUUUAUUGUUUGUAUUGCCAUAAUAAUUGAAUAAUUUGUUAAAUUUUAAUUAUUAUUGUUCAAUUUACCUUGUAAUUAGUAAUUGAAUAUUUAGGAAUAAAUUUAAUUAUUUUUUCUCAAUUUUACUCUAUUAUUGCAUAAUAUGUGUUUAAUUAUUUCCAUUAAUUUUAAUUGUUAAGUCUAUAGUUUUUUUAAAUUUAUUGAAUAUAUUUUAUUGUUUGUAUUGCCAUAAUAAUUGAAUAAUUUGUUGAAUUGUAAUUAUUAUUGUUGAAUUUACCUUGUAAUUAGUAAUUGAAUAUGUUGGAAUAAAUUUAAUUAUUUUCUCUCAAUUUUACUCUAUUAUUGCAUGAUAUGUGUUUAAUUAUUUCCAUUAAUUUUAAUUGUUAGUCUAUAGUUUUUUUAAAAAAAUUUAUUGAAUAUAUUUUAUUGUUUGUAUUGCCAUAAUAAUUGAAUAAUUUGUUGAAUUUUAAUUGUUAUUGUUGAAUUUACCUUGUAAUUAGUAUAGAUGUUAUGUUAUAUACAAGAUUAGUAUAGAUGCGGUCAAUUGGUUGUGUCUAUUGUCAAUAUUUGCAGGUUUUAAAGGUUUGGGUAGUCUCUAGUAUAAGGGAGGUGUUGUCGAAUUUUUUUUAACAUUCAAAUUUAAUUAUGUAAUUAUUCGGAUUAAAUUAUGUAGAUGCGUAGAACGAAAUUCACAGCUCGUCGCUCACAUAUGGUCGCAGCUAGUUUUUCUAGCAGCGAGGAUGACAUAUCCUUAGGUGCCUAUCAAGAAGAGGCACCUGCGCUGUUACUCGAUGCUGUCUCUUCCAGCGCGGUUUCACAGCGUAGAGGUAGCGUGCCUUCGCAACGGAAUGAAUUCACCCGCAAGUACGAGGCACAAUGAAAGGACGACCUUUCAAUGUAAGGUUGUUUCGGUUUUAGUUUUUUAAAAAAAUUAUAACAUGAUUUAUGAAUAACUAAUCAAUAUUUUAUUAAUUUAUUUAUUUUCAGGUUCACAAACAUUGAGGCCGCUCGAGUAAUAUAAUUGGUGUUUAAAUCGUCGAUGGAGAUUCCAUAUUUCAAUGGAGUCAGGUAUCUAGACAUCAUGAAUGGAUACCUCAAAUCGAUGCACGGUUUGAUUGAUUUGAGGUUGGUGUUAAUUUCUAAUUUCCAGCUUAUUUCUAAUAAAUUAUUAAUAUGAUUGUAAAUAAAUUAUUAUUUUUAUUUAAAAUUAAUUAUUUAUAUACAGGACAAAUUUAACUGGGACAUUGCGCAUGGCACUGUUGUGAGGAGGGUAUGGAAAAAUCAUGCCACAACUAGGUAACAUAAAAAACAAUACAAUAUUUUUUUUGAAAAAAAAUUAUGUUUCAAAAUCUAAUUUUUCGCUAUGAAAGUAGGUUGCGUGAUUUUUUUGUAUGAAGCACAAAAAAAGGCAAAAAAAACAUGGAGAUAACAGUCUCCAAGUUUGGAAACUACGUGGUGGUUUGGAGGGAUUUCAAACCGCUAUACAUCUUGGAAGAUAUAUGGCCACAAUAUCUUGCACACGUGAUGUUUGAGUGGUUGACACUACGCUCACAGUCCGGUGCUGGCAACCGGUACCAACCAAUUCAUGGCUCGGUGACAACACACACCGGUGGCUCCGUUUCGUUUGCUGCAUAUGCAAAACGGAUGUUAAGAUUAAUUUAAAUGAAAUAUAUCGAUAAAUAAUUUGUUGUUACUUAAUUAAUUUUUUUUUCUUAUAGGCUACGUCUCUUGGACGCGAGCCCAAUGGAGCUGUUUGUUGAGAUGCACAUGCAGAGUCAAGACCGCCAAAAGGAGGUGGAAUAGUUCGUUGACAAUCGCGCUCGAUAUUUUAUGGUAUGUUCGUUCAACCAUUUUAUUUCGUAAGUUAUUAUUUUUAUUAAAUUGAAUAUGAUGAUUAUGAUUUCUUUUUCAUUUUCAGGAGACUUAUAAUAGCCGGUUGAGGGAGAGAUAUGAGGACGAUCCUUUGACCCAUUCGGAUUUCGAUCCGGAUUUAUGGAUGGAGGUUGGAUCGUCUAGUGGACCCGAUUAAAAUCGGGUAUACGGGCUCUCCAACACUACGGCCAAGAACUUGCGGUCGGCCCUUAGUGUCUCAACUGUUAGGAGCUCCAAAUUAGUAUCGAGUACCUAAUCUGAGGAUAUCAUGGCCUUGAAACAACACACGGCUAAUCUCAUCGAGAAAUACGAGUAACUCUCGGUGAAUUAUGAACAAUUCCGCCAAAUGGUCAUGAACAUGACUUCAUAGAGUGGUGAUACAUGUGUGCCCCCUUGUUGGCCGUAUAACAACCAGCCUCCUCCUCCUUCAGCUUCGCCAUUGUGCUAAUUUAAUAUUUUUUUUGAAACACAUUCAAUUAGUAAUGAAUAUUAUUUAACUUUAUUUUUUUUGUGCUUAAUGUUUAAUAAAAUUUUAUUUGCAUAAUUGGUUUUUUUUUUACUAUUAAUUUAUAUAAUUUUAUAUUAUUAAUUCUAAAUAUAUUUUUUUAAAAAAAAUUAAAAAUAGCCACCGAGGGAUUUACCGACGGAAUGUAUCUUUCGGCAUUUGACAGGGAGCGGGAAAUGCCACCAUCACCGAUGACUUUACAGACGGAUACAAUCCGUCGACAUUUCACAAAAGCUUGGUGGAAAUGCACACUCACCGAUGAAUUUAUAGACGAAUAAUAUCCGUUAGCCUUUCACUGAUAGCUAAAAAUAUAUUUACUAUAUAUGCCACUAUCACUGGUCCGUCAGUAAAGUUCCAGCAGGAAGUUUUUUUUUUACGCACAAUUUUCAUCUGUAAAACGAUUGGUAAUAUUUUUUUUUAUCGAUAGACUUAGCGACGGAAUACGGUAUUCCCGACGAACUGUAUGCCAACGAAUGUUUUCCAUCGGCAAUUUAAUCGGUAAAAAAAUUACCGAUGAACUCUAAAUCUCAUAUCGACGGAAUCUAUCUGUCGGUAAAACUAUGAAAUCUUGUAGUGUAUAUUCCUCUCUAUAUCUAAAGUGAGACCCUCUAUUUUUCAAGAUUUAUAGGAGCACUCAUAUCUUUGGAAAAUGCAACAUGUUAUUAUUUUAUUGGUUAAUUUUUAUUUAUAGGACAUUAUAUUUAUUAUAAAAUAUCUUAAAUAUUUCAUUUUAUUUAUUAACUUUUUAUUGGCAAAGAAAUAUAAAAAGAUCUAUUUAUUUUUAUUAUCAUUUAUUUCAAAUUUAUUUUAUCUUUUUAUGUAAAAAUAAAAUAAAAAUGAUAGAAGAAGAGAAGAAGAAGAUCAGUUAUGGAAAAAAGAGACAAAUUAUAAGGUCUUUUUAGUUAUUAAAUCAAUUAUAAUAACAAUCCUCUAAUUUUUUAAAAGUUUUUAUUCACUAAUUUUUUGGGUGUUCAAGUUAGUAUUAAGAUACGGAAAAAGAAGAAGAAGCAAUAUAUAGCACGCAAACUUCAAAAUGAAUAGAGUAAUUUUCUCCUUUUAAAAGGAAGGAAACGAGCAAUCACUGAGUUCACAAAUUAUAUUAAUCAUCCCUAAAGCAAUCAGAGCUGUAACAUAAUAAUAAAUGACAACAAAUAAUUUUUGUAAAACAGAUAAUUUAGCCUGGUCUCAAAGAGUUUUUAAAUUCUCCCUUGAUCUAUUGUGGAUUUGAUCCUUUUAGUCCAAAUUAAAUCUGAAUUGCUGGAGUACCUUUGGUAGAUGCUUUGACUACAAUGCUUGAUCCAACCAUCCCUCUUACAACUUCAGAGCGGGAGGUAAGCCUUGUUUCUAUUGUAAAGAUAUGAAAUUUGAACUGUAUCUACCUUUAAAUCUGACUUUCAGUGGGGCAAAUUUAUAUGGAACGUGACUUUCACUUCUUUGUUUACUGUAGGGGUACAUUUAUGGGUUUGCCUGCUCCAACUAUAUUAUGUGUCGGUGGCUCGAUGCUACUUGCUUAUCACUUUUUUUUUACUGUAGGAAUGGGGAGAUCCUAGGAAGUAGGUGUUCUACCACUACAUGAAGUCAUAUUCUCCUGUUGAUAAUGGAAGUAUUCAGCUUUGAAUCGGUUCCUCGUGUUCAUGAUCAAUAGCUUUGAAUCGGUUCCUCCUGUCGGCAUGGUAUUCGGUAUAGUUUAAAAGCUAUACCAAAUACCAUGCCCACAGAGGCGUACGUGGAAUUUUCUUAGCCAUGGCAUGACAACUUGACAGUAAUGGUUCGUGGAAGAUGCUGCUGACAGCCAUCAAUCAAUUAGGGAGGAAGGGACCCUCAUGCAACUAUGCUCUAAAAUUGAAUGUAUCUCAUCAUUCCAAAACACACUUCGUUUUAUCUUUUAAUAUUUUACACAAUACGUCUCUCUCUCUUGUGCUCAAAAUUUCUUCUUUGAUCCCCAACCCCCACCCACCAAAAAAAAAAAACAGAGAAUAUGGCAGCAGAGCUUCUUCUUACGUUUGCCAUGGAAGAGACUUUGACAAGGGUCAGUUCCAUAGCUGCUGAAGGGAUCAGACUUGCCUGGGGAUUGGAGGGACAGCUGCAAAAGCUCAAGCAGUCCUUGACCAUGAUCUAAGCUGUGCUCCAAGAUGCAGCCAGAAGGCCAGUAACAGACAAAUCUGCGAAGCUUUGGCUGGAGAAGCUACAAGGUGUGGCUUACGAUGCUGAAGAUGUUCUAGACGAGUUUGCUUAUGAGAUUCUCCGUAAAGACCAAAAGAAGGGAAAGGUACGUGACUGCUUUUCACUGCACAACCCUGUUGCAUUCCGUCUGAAUAUGGGUAAAAAAGUUAAGGAGAUCAAUGGAUCACUGGAUGAGAUUCAGAAACUUGCAACAGUACUCUUUGGCCUGAGAAGUGCAUCUCAACGUGCAGAGAGUGCUCCUGAAGUUAACCGAGAGACAGAUUCCUUGCUUGAAAGCUCAGAAGUUGUAGUAGGAAGGGAGGAUGAUGUGUCAAAAGUUAAGAAAUUGCUGAUUGGCUCGACUGAUCAACAAGUUCUAUCUGUUGUCCCUAUAGUGGGGAUGGGUGGCCUCGGAAAGACUACCAUAGCAAAACAAGUUUGUGAAGUAGUGAGGGAGGAAAAGCUUUUUGAUGUAACAAUAUGGGUUUCUGUUUCUAAUGAUUUUAGUAAAGGGAGGAUUUUAGGAGAGAUGUUGCAAGAUGUUGAUGGAACUAUGUUGAGCAAUCAAAAUGCAGUUAUGAAAAAACUCAAGGAAAAGCUGGAAAAUAAAACAUUUCUUCUUGUUCUUGAUGAUGUGUGGAAUGAAGACCAUGAUAAGUGGGAUGAUUUAAAGCAGCAACUGCUAAAAAUCAACAGUAAGAAUGGGAAUGCUGUUGUUGUUACAACGCGCAUUAAGGAAGUAGCGGACACGAUGAAGACUUCUCCAGGGAGCCAGCACGAGCCAGGGCAACUUUCAAAUGAUCAAUGUUGGUCCAUUAUCAAGCAAAGGGUGAGCAGGGGUGGACGAGAAACAAUAGCUUCAGACUUGGAGACUAUUGGAAAAGAGAUUGCCAAGAAAUGUGGAGGGAUUCCGUUACUUGCUAAAGUUUUGGGAGGAACUCUUCAAAGAAAGCAGGCACAGGAGUGGCAGUCAAUUCUAAACAGUAGAAUUUGGGAUUCUCAGGAUGGAAAUAAAGUUUUGCUCAUAUUGAGACUCAGUUUUGAUCACCUGUCAUCGCCAUCACUGAAAAAAUGUUUUGCAUUCUGUUCCAUUUUCCCUAAAAAUUUUAAAAUUGAAAGGGAAGAGCUGGUUCAACUUUGGAUGGCCGAAGGUUUUCUUGGGACAUCAAAUGGGAGGAUGGAAGACGAAGGCAACAAGUAUUUCAAUGACUUGCUUGCAAAUUCCUUUUUCCAAGAUGUCGAAAGGAAUGAGUAUGAGAUCUUAACAAGUUGCAAGAUGCAUGAUCUUGUGCAUGAUCUUGCAUUGCAGGUCUCAAAAUCAGAAGCGUUAAAUCUGGAGGCGGGUUCGGCUGUUGAUGAUGCAUCUCAAAUUCGUCAUCUAAAUCUCAUAUCUGGUGGGGAUGACAAGGUAGCAUUAACAGUGGUUGAUGCUAGAAAAUUGCGAACUGUUUUCGCAAUGGUUGAUGUAUUCAACGGGUCUUGGAAAUUCAAAAGCUUGAGAACUCUUAAAUUACGAUGGUCUGAUAUCACAGAGUUACCAGAUUCAAUUUGUAAGCUGAGACAUUUAAGAUAUCUUGACGUCUCACGUACCAGCAUCAGAGUAUUGCCAGAAUCCAUCACCAAGCUCUACCAUUUGGAAACAUUAAGAUUCACUGAUUGCAAGUCACUAGAAAAGCUUCCCCAAAAAAUGAGGAAUUUGGUGAGCUUGAGACAUCUUUAUUUUAAUGAUCCAAACAUGGUGCCAACAGAGGUGAGACUCUUUACACGCCUUCAAACUCUGCCGAUUUUUGUUGUGGGUCCAGAUCAUAAAAUUGAAGAGCUGGGAUGUUUGAAUGAACUAAGAGGAGCAUUGAAGAUAUCCAAGCUGGAGCAAGUUAGAGACAGAGAAGAAGCUGAGGAGGCAAAACUGCGAGAAAAAAGAAUGAACAAAUUGGUGCUUGAAUGGAGUGAUGAUGAAGGUAACAACAGUGUCAAUAGCGAGGAUGUGCUGGAAGGCCUGCAGCCUCACCCAGACAUAAGAAGCUUGACAAUUGAGGGUUAUGGAGGUGAAAAUUUCUCAUCAUGGAUAUUGCAACUCGAUAAUCUGACGGUGCUGAGAUUGAAUGGCUGCAGCAAGUUGAGGCAACUCCCAACACUUGGAUGUCUUCCUCGCCUUAAGAUUCUAAAGAUGAGUGGAAUGCCUAAUGUGAAAUGUAUAGGCAAUGAGUUCUAUAGUAGCAGCAGUGGCAGUGCAGCAGUACUGUUUCCAGCACUAAAAGAACUCACUCUGUCUAGAUUGGAUGGUCUUGAAGAAUGGAUGGUACCAGGUGGAGAAGGUGAUCACGUAUUUCCUUGUCUUGAAGAGUUGUGCAUUGAGGAUUCUCGCAAGUUGAGGCAACUCCCAACACUUGGAUGUCUUCCUCGCCUUAAGAUUCUAAAGAUGAGUGGAAUGCCUAAUGUGAAAUGUAUAGGCAAUGAGUUCUAUAGUAGUAGCAGUGGCAGUGCAACAGUAUUGUUUCCAGCACUAGAAGAACUCAAUCUGUACCAAAUGGAUGGUCUUGAAGAAUGGAUGGUACCAGGUGGAGGUGAUCAAGUAUUUCCUUGUUUAGGAAAGUUGAGUAUUUGGUGUUGUGUUAAGCUCAUCAGUAUUGAUUGGCAUGGUUUACGACAAUUGUCUUCUCUUGUUUAUUUAGCAAUCACCGCGUGUCACAGUUUGAGUGAUUUCCCAGAGGAUGAUUGGUUAGGCGACCUCACCCGACUGGAGUAUUUGAGCAUCGGUGGUUUCUUAAAGGAGGAGGCUUUUCCUGAAGGAGUUUUAAACUCAAUCCAACACCUCAACUUGAAUGGGUCUCUUACAGGACUAGAGAUAUGUGGAUGGAAUAAACUGAAGAGUGUACCGCACCAACUUCAACACCUCACUGCCCUCGAGGAAUUGUGUAUAAUUUAUUUUGAUGGAGAGGAGUUUGAAGAAGCAUUGCCAGAAUGGUUGGCCAACCUUUCUUCUCUUCAAUUUCUUGCGAUUCAUAAUUGCAAUAAUCUCAAGUAUAUGCCAAGUUCAACAGCCAUUCAACGCCUCUCCAAAUUAAAGCGUUUGAAUAUUUGGGAAUGUCCACUUCUAUCAGGAAAUUGUAGAAAGGAGAAUGGCUCUGAGUGGUCCAAAAUAUCUCAUAUCCCAUCAAUCUGUAUACAGGGUGCAUGGGUACAGGCAAGUUGGGUUUAAUUUUUUAGGUUACUUUGUAUGCAAGGAGAGAGAACCAACUAAAGAAUUCAAAUAGACGGUAUGAAUGUACAGGUAAGUUCUGAUUUAAAUUAUUCUUUUACUUUUUUUUUUUGAAAAAUUAUAACAAAAUGUCUUAGAAAAAAUUGUUAUUAUCUGUUAUUAUGUUAACAAAUUGUAUAUUUAAAAAUUAUAACCAUGAAAUCAAUAAUUUAAAUUAAACUUUUACUUCUUUUUUUUGAAAAAUUGCCUAAUCAUUUCAUGAAAACAAUAAUUAGCCAUUCUAUUAUAAUAUUUUAUAAAAUAAAUGAUUGUUUGUUUUUUUCUAUCUAAACCUAAAUUUUAAACAUUCUAUUAUAACCUAAAUUUGAUUCUGUGGAAUAUUAUGUUUCAAAAUAUAAAAUCAUUAACUAUCCAACAUUUUUUCAAUCAUUAUUCUAAUAUCAUUCUUACAAGAUAAUUUAACCUAUAUUUAAAAAUAUUUGCAUUAUCUAUAUUGUAUUAUUUAUUUUAAAAUCAUCAAUUUUAUAUACAAUUAUGAUACUUUAAACAAACCAUUAAAUCUUAAGAUUAACCAAUUAAUAAAACUUACAUUUAAAUAACAACCAAUGAGGUUACAAACCAAUCACUUUUUAGUAGCAAAUGCAAUUAAAGCUAAAAACACUCUUUAGUUGACCCCAAGAUUUAAAAAAGAAAAAAAGGCAAACUUGACUCCAGUUUAUAUUAAAUAUAGAUUUAUAAAUUAUAUAUUGAUAAUAUAUUAUCUAACUCCAACCAGUACAAGUAAAAAAAAAAAAUCUUUAAAUAAUCAAAUGUUAACCAGUGAUAGGAUUGCUUUAAAAUAUAAAUUUCAGUGGUGAUUAAGAAUAUUAUUUUUGGAAGCUAGUUAAACUAUUGAAAAGGUAUUUUAGAAAAUUUUUAGAUAAUGAUGUUUUUCACUAGCUUUCAUAUUGGAAUAUGUUUUUUUUUUAAUUAUAUUCAUUGAAUUGAAUAUGCUUCCUAUACAACUAAAUCAACUUUCAAACAUAAAUCAUAAUAUUUUUAGAAACUAUGAAGUGAUCCCAUUUUCUUGACAUUUUUUAUCUACCUAGUUGAUUCAUUCUGCAUUUUGUAGUUUAGUGUUGUUUAUAUUUCCAAAACUAAUACCAAGUUGGCUAUUUCAACUAUCAUAUGUGCAGUCGAUCGGACCUCGAAGACUAAAGGAAGCCAUGGAAUGGUUAUUUGAAGCUUAUGCAGAAUAGUGUUUGUCAGGCUGGAUACAUGUGUGAUCGGCAUAAUUUUCUCGUAUCUUUAUGAGAGAAUAUAUUUGUUAAAAUGUAAGAAAAUAGAUAGAGCUGGCAGCUUAUCACGAAGAUAGAAGAGCUUGAUAUAGAUAUUGAUGUGAAUUUGUUUGUGUAACUUCUAUUAUUUUCUAUUUGAUUUUGUUAUUUAACUUUAAAGGAUUCGAUUUUUAUGAGGUUAUAUAUAUUGAUGAUGUUCUACUCCAAUAUCUGAAGAAGAAUUGUAAUUUUUGUCUUGUAAAUCUACCUUCAUCUUACAUAAUAUGUUGUUAUUAACUCACGGCCAUCUUCUUUGAUCUCUCUCUCUCUUUAUUAAUUUCUCUUUAAGUACUUGAAUGUCUAAAAUAAGGCAUAAAAGCUAUAUGACAAAAAUAUGGUUGAUUUCACAAAGUCUAUUCGAACUACAAUUAGUUGCAGAAAAAUGAAAAUGAAGGUUACCUCUAACUAGAGAAGCUGAGGGGCCUCAUUGCUGAAUCAAAGGGAAGAAAAACUGAUUCACUGUGUACAAACUGCCAUGUACACAGCAUGAUGGCAACCACUUUUGAAGGAAGUGCUGGUAUUCUAAAUCUGUUUCUCCUGAUCUGCAGCAUGCUAAUCAUCAGAAACCCCUUAAAUGCACCUGCAUUCACUUACAAAGAAGAAUAAGAAACAGGACUAACCCAUCAUCCUGUUCAUGCCUAUCAUCUGUGUGAUUUAUGAAGCUUUGAGACAAAUUAUUGCUGUUUUCUUCCUUUUUUUCCCCAAGCCAAAGUCCCCGUCAAAAACCGUACUUGUAGUCAAGAUUCACAUGUUUGCACCAACUUGAUACAUUUGCAAUUUGGAUUUUGUAAUCUUCAUUACUGAACACAAGCUUUCGACAAUAACUUCGCCAUCUAAGAGUAAAACUACCUAGACCACUAAAAUUGCUUACUAACAUCUCUUUAAUUCAUUCUUUGGUUUUACAACAACCCACACCCCGUAAUUUAAUACAUUCGUAAAAGAACAACUUUGAGUUUUUUCAUUAUCAUUAUUUAUUUUUAUUUACGGGGGUUUACAGAGAAUCCAUCCAAUAAGCAAUUUUAGCCUCUGACAGCAGAAAUAUGAAGUUGGGAAUUUUGUGUUGCUUUGGGUUUUCAAUGUACAUAUAUAUAUAUAUAUAUAUGAUGCACAUAACUCAAAUGCUGUUCGUUUACAACUUUUUCAGACAUGUACCUUUUCUGCUAUCAGCAAAAGGUUUCAAACCAUAUAUAUACUUGGCAUAACUCAAAUGCUGUAAUUUUACUCUACUCUGAAAAUCUGGCAAACAAUGGGAAAAAUCAAAAUUCUCACUUGCACACAUUUAUCAUAGUACCAGAAGUCCUAAACUAUACCAAUCCAUACAUUUUAAUGAGCUUGAUCUUAUUUUUUCCCUUUCAAUUCUCCGUCAGUAAACUAGAAAAGAGCAAGAAAACCCCAUUUUUCUUUUCCCUCGUUUGUUCUUAACCAAACUGGCCAAGAAAAGAGAAAGUGAGCAAGAAAAGAGCAAGAAACAACACCAGUACUUCUCCGUCUUGCACUCAUCAGCUUAUUGUUACGCGUGCAGGAAAAAUUAUGUAAUUACGCGCUCACGAGUGGUUUUAUUUAUGGAAAAACUGGGAAGUUAUAUUCUUCUUCUAUAGGCCGAAAGUCGAGAAAGAAGAAGCUCAUAGCCCCAGUGGCGGAGCCACGUAGGGGCAAGAGGGGGCAAUUGCCCCCCCCCACCCCCAAUGUAUUUUCUAUCUAGUUAAAUAAUUCUUAUUCUCCUCUAAUAAUCUUGCCUAUAAUAAUUACUCGGGGAGAUUUCUCAGCUUCUCUGGUACAACUUUUGCAGCAUAUUGAAAUUCGACUUUGCAGGCUUUAGUACAGGUUUGAUGUGCAGCUCGUCUUCCUUGUAGCUGCUAUUUUACAUUUUAUCUGUUGAGUGUAGUUAUUUGUAACCAGUAUGUUAUGUUAAAAUAUUAAUAUAAUAAUUUUAUUGGGUUAAUAUUUUUUUGUUAGCUGUUAAUUGAACUAAGUUCUUUAUUCUUUUUUCAUUAUUAAUCCCACCUCUUUUCUUUCUAUAAAAUUUCUUUUCAGGCCUUAAACUAUUAAUUAGUUAAGUAAUUAACCUCUUAUGUUUUAUGCUUUAAAAAAGUUUUUUUCAUCUUUUCUAUUUGUUUCAUUAUCUAAUUUUUGUUUUAUUUCUUUAUAAUUAGUUAUUGAAAAUGUUAGAGCUUAUAGUAAUAUUGAGAAAGAUAAUUUUAAUAAGAUUAAAUAUAAAAUUAUUAUGAAAGAGUAACAAUUAUAAUGUAAUUUUUUUUUAUUUUAAAAGUAUUUUUAAAUUAAUUUUACUUGACUUGAGUUAAUAUAUAUAUAUAUAUAUAUAUUUCAAAUUAACUUUUAUAUAUAAUACAUUAAUGUAUAAUAUAUAAUAUUAAAAAUUUAUUAGUAAUUUGCCCCCUUAUUUAAAAAGUUCCAGCUCCGCCACUGCAUAGCCCUGAUGAUGUUCAACGUUUGUACUUGGUGCUAGGGCCAGAGUCUGGUGAGAGACCGGUUGAAGAGAAGCAAUCCCCUCACUCUGGUUCUAAAAAAGGCUCUUCAAGUACUGAUCAUGAUGGGGGAAGUAGUAGUGCUUCUGCAGGCAAGAAUGGAAGUGAAGGCGGGCGUGGAAACCAGUUAAUUAAUUGUAAUAGAUUCACAAAGGCUCGGGCCAGUGAUUUAAGGAAGUGUGGUUAUUUUUUAAAAUCCCAUCUACCGAGACCAACAGUUUUUCAAAAUAUUUAUUUAUUUUGAAAAUAUUAAAUUAAUUAUUUUAGUGUUUUUCAAUAAAAAUAAAAAAGAUAUUUUCCAAUAAAAAAAUACUUAAGAAAUAUGUAUUUAAUAAUGUGAAACGUAUUUUUGCGAUAGAGAAGACCACACCCUAUAUUUUUCUCUCGAAGUUUUACAUUAGAGUUGGUAGCUAGAGCAAUGAAUGUCCUUUCUUUUUCACCUCGAUGGUAGGAAGUGAACAUUGAAAAAGAGCACUUGUUGAGGUACGGUUGCGACCCGCCAUGCUCGACCUUCAAUAAUCCAGGCAAGAGAAUGCAUACUCAUCUGGUGUCCAGGCUAGAAUUGCCAUCAAAAGACAAGGAAGACGAGCCUCAAGAGUCGCUUAACAUCAAACGUGAGGGCUCAUUUAUAAUUCACAUAAAGAAUCCCGAUCAACAUGGUGGCAGUCCACAAUUUACAGGACUUCAAAACAAGAGGAAGGCCAGGUUUCCAGCUCACCUACAAGGCCAAUUUGGGCACAAUAAGACUGUUCGUGGUGACCGACCAGACAUGUUGAAUUAUGAGCGUUGUGAGUUGCUGUUGAUAUCUGCUUCGGAUGGCAUAGAAGAGGAAUGGGAAUGGAGCUCAAGACAGAAUGUGAAGGUGAUGAUGAUCCAGCUUCUUGUUCUGAUUUGGUGAAGACUUUUGGAGAGACUGCACCUACCAGUCCCCUGCUUGAAGGUGUAGAAAAACUGGUAUAUAAAGAACAGGAUUUUGUUUAAGCAGAUGAGCAACCGAAAAGAACAAAGAACAGAAUUAUCAGCAAAGAGAACAGAGAGCAGAAUAGUCUCGUAUGGUUACUGCCACCCCUUGUCUUUUAUUUAUAGAAGGAAUCAAACAUUACAAAAUCGUAAAAAGAAAAAGAAACGUAACAGCCAUAAUCUCCUUUAUCUAAGGAGUUAUGUAAAUGUAACUAACUAGACUUAUCAUAGAUAAGUUAAACUUUGACGAAUUGAAAAACAUACUAAUCAACACCAAGAUAAUGCUGCCAUUAACAGAUAGACAGCAAUGCAAGAGACCACGGCUAAGUAACAUUGUUCCAGCUUUGGUGCCAUAGUUUCAGCAGAAGGCACAUGGGCUUGACUGUCAAAAACAUAUUGUUUACAUAUAUAAUUCCUAGGUGAAUUGCCCGGGCGAUGCCGCAUAAGGCGUCUAGUUCUAGAAGAUGAUAAAACAAAUAACAAAAUUAAAUCUAAAAACAUUGUAAGCAUUGAGAUUGAACUGAGCAACCAUAUGUAGUAGGCUAUUAGAAAGCUGCCAGAACAAUUCAUAAAGGUAGAGGAUUAAACAUCCCGAUAGCAAAUAAUGGUUGCAAUGCUAGCACAACAGUUUUGAAAAUAUCUGCAUGUGGCUAGUGAAGGAGACUGACGUUGGCAAAGCAGAACCGACAAUUGAACUCCAUGAAGAACAGCAAAAAGAGCAUGGGAUUUUGACGGAGCUGCUCAAAAGUGUGCCCACGUUUCCUAUUGCAAGGAAAAGGUGUUCAGCUUUCAUCUAAAAGAUAGUAAGUAUUUCCAAGCCAACUCUUAGAGAAAGGAAGGUAAUGUGCAGAAGAAGAAUUAGAGCAAUUAACUGUAAUGUUAAAACUUAAUAGCCUAUAUUGUGUGACUCGUCAUUCUAUGACGAUACAGGAUACUUGUAAACACAGGAGAGGAAAAGGUAGUUGCAAAUGUCUGCAGGAAUUCUAGUAUGCCAAAGAGGAAAUUCUUCUGCUGCCAUCUAAAGAUGGCUUCUCUAGCAGUCCGGAUGCCAAGACCACCCUUAUAAUUUCCCCUGGCAUCUCCUUUACUAAACACCUAGAUCAAAGAAGCAACAUGCUAAUUUGUUAAUAUACCCACAAAUCCUCCUAGCCAGCCAUGCUCAUACUUCAUAGUAUAGAGCGGAAUUGAUGGCAGCAGCAGUGGAGUGAAUUGAAGUAUUCCAGGCACCUAAUUUACUGUGAGCUGCAAAACGACAAGGACAAUUGGACGGUGAUGUGGGAAUGAAGACUUGAAUGCACUUUAUUUUAAGAAGAAACUCAAUUUUGCUAGAUUGGGAUCCUCAUAGAGGAAUAUAAUUGUCAAGUUUAUUAAAUUUAAAUUUAAUUCCAAUUAAACAUUAGAACAUAACUGUUUAUCUCGUGUGUUUGGUUUUCAUCUUCUCAUCCUAUUCCCCGAGUUCCCUGCAUUACUCUAGGGUCCUUUAACUAUGUUAACAAACAUUAAAUGACACCCUCCUUCCCUUAAGUAAAGAGCAGAUCAAUGAAAAAGGAAAAGAAACUAACCUGGAUUAAAUGACGCAGCAGGAACAGUGCAGAAAAAGGCAGGGGCACCAACCAGGUUAAGGUCAAAAUAAAGUUACGGGCAGACCACUUGAUAGGAAGCUUUCUUGACGUAAGCUUAAAAAAAUAUAAGAACCAAAUCGAAAUGAGAAAGGACAGACACAAACCUGGAAGAAAAAGUGUUGCAGGUAACAGCGGACGAAGUUUCAGCAGACCUAACUAAAGAGCUGAUGCUAUCUAGCUUUAGAUGAAAGGGUGUCAGCACACUCUUUUUUUCACAAGCUGUGAACUAAGAAAGCAGCAAAAUCCUUAAAAGAAAAGCGAAGAAACUAAUCUGUAGAGACAGAUUCUAAAGAAACAGAACAGCAGAAGGCCAAAAAAAGAAGAAGAAAUUACUGCAGCUAAAAAAUGCAGCAAGCAAUGAAGAAUGACACAACCUGAUAAUGAACAGCACAUGAGCAAACAUAGAACAAAAGUAGGUAAGAGACCGCUAUCGGAAUGCAACCAUCCUCAACAACAACAACAACAAAAAAGAUGGACCCAGGCCAAGUCGAUAUCGACACCAUUUGAGAAAAACAUUUAGCUAUACGAAAAUGAAUGCAGUGAAGGAAAACCAUAGCUACUUAAGAACCAGCUGAAGGGUCAUAUAACCCUGACAAAGGCUAUUCGAUCGUGCCUAGUCGAAGGCAAUCAAACACACAAACAUUCCUAAACAUGCACAUCAUAAAACCACUAAUUAAAAAUAGGAGGAAGCUCAGACAUGCUCUUAAACCUAAUCAAAAGGUGCUUCCCAAAAAAAAACCAGCAGGGUCUCUGAAAAGAAACAAAACUACGAAUCAUAGAGAAUAAUCGCAAAUCACGAACUGGAGCAACAUCACGCAACCUAAGCCAUGGAACAUCAGGUGGUUGCGCGAAUCCUGGAGGAGAAUUGAAGGGAAGAAUCAAACAGGAAUGAGAAGCAGCAGCAAUCAUGCCAGGAACAUGCAUCAUGCUUCCACAAGCAAUCCUGGAGGAGAAAGUGGUGGAACAGCUGCUUCAUGAGAUACCGCAGUAGUUUCUAAACCCAAAACCUUCCUAACUGUUGCUUGAUUCUGUCUACUUUUGAUGGUCUUUCUUGACUGCAUUGAUUCGGAGGCAACUGUUCUUGACGAGUUACUACUAUCGACAGAUGCUAGAAACUAGUCUCGUGUAAGUGUUGUUGGGGCAGAUUGAAUAACAGAGCUGAAGACACCCGACUCUCUUAAGCCCUGAAUUGUGGCCUGAAAUAUACAAGCAGCAAUCAUAAAUCAAUAAGGAAAUCACCGAGCAAUUGAUGCACACACUUCAGAUGCAUUUGGCCUUGGGCCUAGAGAUUUUUCACAUCUUGAUGGCAAGGAUCAGCUAGUUGAUUGCACUCAUCAUAAUUUUUUUUCUCGGUUUGUGCAGGAUAAUUUUCACCAUCUUAAUUCUUAAGCUAUGAAUUCCAUUUGAUCUGUUUAUUUUUAUUAGCAUAAACAAUUAGCUAUGAAUUCCAUUCAGAUUAAGUUACUAAGCCUUGAUCUUCACGUGUCCCAGUUUGAGUGAUUUCCCAGAGGAGGAUUGUUUAGGCGGCCUCACCCACCUGAAGAAUUUGAGAAUCGGUGGUUUCUCAGAGGAGAUGGAGGCUUUUCCUGCAGGAUUUUAAAACUCAAUCCAGCACCUCAACUUGAGUGGGUUCCUUGAAAGACUAUGGAUACAUGGAUGGGAUAAAUUGAAGAGUGUACCCCACCAACUUCAACACCUCACUGCCCUCGAGGCAUUGUCUUUAUGUGGUUUCAAUGGAGAGGAAUUUGAGGAAGCAUUGCCAGAAUGGAUGUCCAACCUUUCUUCUCUUCACCUUCUUGAGAUUUAUAAUUGCAAGAAUCUCAAGUAUUGCAAAGUUCAACAGCCAUUCAACGCCUCUCCAAAUUAAAGGAAUUGGAGAUUUGGGGGGGGAUGUCCACAUCUAUCAUAAAAUUGUAGAAAGGAGAAUGGCUCUGAGUGGUCUAAGAUUUUUCAUAUCCCAGAAAUUUAUAUAUAGAGGUAGGUUGGGAUUUUAAUUAUUCUGUUAUUUUGUAGUGUGCAGAGGAGAAAGAACCAAUUAAAGUUUUCAAAUUAAUGAAAGCAAUGAUUAGACUUCAUUCUCUUAAAAUGGUUUAUUUCAUUUAAUUUAAAACAUUUUAUAAAAUAAAUGAUUAUUUGUUUGUCUUUUUUAACCUAGAUUUGAUUCCGUACACUAUUACAUGGCAUUAUUAACUACCAAAAUUAUAUUUUCAUGACUGAAUUACCUUUUUAUUUACAAAAGAAUUUAAUAAAAUAUUUUAACAAUGAUAAUUUUUUUUUUGGAAGGCAGCUAAAUUGUUCAAAAUAUGAUAAUGAUUGGUUCCACUAGUUGUUAAUUUUUAUUGUUAAUUUUUACAUGAAUCACUUUAAUUUUAUGGAUGGUAAAUAACUUAUUUGCUUUGAAACUAAUACCAAAUUAGCUUUUAUGAUGUAUCCUUUUGUUAACAAAAUAUAUACUUAUCAAUGAAAAAAUCAAUAGCCAUCCAUCCAGAUUCUUUGAGCUCUUGAGACUUAUCUGAUAACUUUCUAAUGGAUAGCAUUAGUGGUUUCUUCACCAAAAUGUCUAAUUUGCUAUCACAUAACCAAUUGAAGUUUGAUAUUUUAGAGAUCAAAUUGCCAGAUGUAAUAUCCCCAGUGGAGCUUGAUUAGUACUUAAAAGUCCAUGUUUAUCAAGGGUUUAUGUCAUCAUUUUGCACUUAAAAUAUCAAUAACUCCUUAACUAAAACAUGUUUUAUAAUAACAAGUCUAAUAUUAUAAAAUACCCUAAUAUAUGGUAAAUGUUCAUCUUAAAUGCAGGCAUAUCACAUAAAUCAAAGGACUUAUUGAUGAAUUCAACUACUGAAAUUUUGAAGAUAAAGAAGGGUGAAGCUUAGAAAAGAGACGUUGGUGCAGUCCAAACCGGAACACUACUAUUCGGUAAUUGGGUCAUAUCUCGAGUUCUAGAUAUCCAAAUGAUCUGAAAUUUUUACAGAGAUUUGAUAAGAUAUAGGCCUACAACUUUCAAUUGAACAUUAAGAUCUAAGAAGGCCGUUUUCAAGUCCAAAUUAUAGCAACAACGGAGAAGUCCGAAUCUGUCCUGCAGCCCAAACACUGUUCAGUGUUUGGCCCAUAUCUGAAGUUUUAGAAGUCCAAAUCACCUCCACUUUUUUUUCCUGGAAAGCUGAGUCAAUUUCCUACAACUUUCAUGCUUUCAAGUGGACCCAGUUCUGAUGCUAGCAUUUUCGUUUUAUUUAGACAAGAUGAUAAGGAUUUUCACUAAGUCAAAAGUUGGCCACCCACUCAACAAUGAGUCAUCAAAGCAAUAAUUCCGAAUUUUGGCCUAUAAAAGGAGGUAUUUGCCAUGUAUUUAGGGGCUUGGUUGUUCAGAUCAAGUUCAUGCUCUUUAUUUUUCUCUCUUUAUAUUUUUGUAAUUCUUAAGUUUUGCUUUCAUUAAUUUCUUGUUUAUGCUUUUCAUUUCCUUUCCUUUCCUUAGUUAACUUGUAUUUUAUUUAUGUUCUUGUUUUGUUUAUUUAUGUUUCUCUUCUUCAUUAUGUUUGGCUAAGUUUAUUAUGUCAAGGUGAAAAGGUUACACUAAUGGUGUAAGAACAAGUAUGGUAAACUCAAUAUGACCUUAAUGUUUAAUAUUAACAUGUCUUAUCUUUUUAUCUUACUAAUUCUUAAUACCUUGCUUGUUAAAUGGUUAAUCUAAAUUUGUGUUGUAUAAUACUUGGUACAACAAAUGCUUGGCACUCUCAUAGCCCAACCGUAUGGUAUUACCUACACCUGGGCUAUGAAAGGUACUUGAUUUGUUGUUAACAUCAUUAACAUCAUGAAUUCCUGUGAUAAUAUUUAAAAGUUUGGUGUUAUGUAAAUGAGAUAAUUAAUAUGAUCAUGUUAAUAAUUUAUAAUGAGCUAUUAAUGACAAAUCAUCCGAAUGGAACCUCCUUCGUGUGUGGUUUCCAAAUUGAGUAAUAAGAGUUUAUACUAUACUUGUUUGAAAUACCAUUGGUGGAUCCUCUAACCUUGACAUUUAUUUUUAUCAUUGUUUAAUCCUUACAUUAAUCUUCCAUCUCAAAGUUCUCAUUAAUUUCUUCCUCCUCUUCUUUUUAUUGUUAUUAUUAUUACUACUAUAUAUUAUAUUAUUAUAUAUAUAUAUAUAUUAUUAUUAUUAUUAUUAUUAUUAUUAUUUACAUUCUUGUUAUAUUUUAUGUAUGUUAAGUAUGCUCUGUGUUUGAUCAAGGAUCCUGACAUUGUUGGUCUUGCCUUGUUCAUUCGCAUCAGAAAUCUGUUUAUAUUAUAUAAUAUAUCUCUUUGAUCUUUCCAUAAACUCAGUAUAUAGGCUGGAAACCUGUGACCCGAUCUUUUAGAUCAUUCUCAGGUAUAACAACGUCACGUACUGAGUAUUAUUAUUAUUAUUAUUAUUAUUAUUGUUGUUGUUGUUGUUGUUGUUGUUAUUAUUAUUGUUGUUAUUGUUGCUAUUAUUGUUAUUGUUGUGUUGUUCUUUAUAAUUUAUACAAUUAACCUCUCUGUGGUUCGACCCGGGUCUUGCCAGGUUAUUUAUUACUUCGACACUCCUGCACUUGGGAGAAGACAUCAAUCUUUUGGUCGUGUCAGAGCUCAAAUCAAAUCAGCUUAGUGGGUUUCUCUCAAGGAUUUUAAACAACAGGACAAACAACUUUCUGAAGAUUUUAAAUGUAUCAGAUUUUAGGCACAAUCCCGAAACUAAUUAAAGGAUUAAGCUUGAAGGUUCUAAAUCCCAUAACAACAUUCUCAUAAUUAAAUCAAUAAAUUGAGGUGAUAUUUUGAACUCACAUCCUUAUUUUCAACAUUAUUACCCUCUAAGGCCACCUUACCCUGCCUUAAGCUUAGUAGCCUUAUCCACAUAAGGCGUCUUCUCCUGAAACAAAUCGAAAUCAAAAGAUAACAGUUAUAGACCACUCUCAUUGUUCAAUAGCUUAUAAGUGUCUACCAAUGAUUUAUUGAGAGAGAGAGAGAGAGAGAGACCAACACUCAUUUCAUCAGUCAUUGAUUUCCAUCUCUCACCACCUCCCUUUGCAACCUGAAUUUCAUCAAAUACAGCAUUAGCAUUACUAUACUCUUUCCUAAGAUAACCCCUUACAAUUAUUAGUAUAUCAACCUGAACAACAUAAUAAAAUUGAAAAUGACAAAACUGCAUUACGUUUCAUUUAUCUUCUUAACAUCCUUAGAAUGCGAGUUGCCUUCCUUGUACUCUUUUCUAAAAUCAUCUCUAAUUAAAGAGCUACACACAUCAAUACAAAUCCCACUCCCCGUAUUCACACAUUAUCAUGAUCACAUUAUAUUACACCACACAAAUAAGCAACAAAAGGCAUUACAUUAGGAGAAAGAAAGUAAUGGGAGGUCGUUUCAGUGCAUUUUGAUCCUUGCCCUUCUCCUCUUUAUUCUCUUUCUUCGCUUUCGGCUCUGUCAAGGUUGUUGUCUUCCUACAAACCAAAUCAUAACAAACAAUCAGUUGAUUAAUCAGAUAGCAAAACAAAAUUAGUGCCUCUUAGCAUCAAGACUACAUUACGGAACUUAACUAACUAAAAUUCAUCUUGAUUUUAGCAUAAGCAGUUCUUUUCCCCAUGUAUCUCCAUCCCUUUGUUUAUACUUUUAGAAGAUUUUGAGGGAAGGGUUUUUUACUUCUUUUGCAUAAUCACAAUUGAAUUGUAUUUACUUUUGAUCUUCAGGUAAUUAAUUUUUUAGUGAUAAGUGUAUUUUAUUUGAAAAUGUUUCCAUUUGCUAUAGAUAGAUGAUUUUGAGGCUAGUUUAUGGACUAUUCGACUUAAGAGGGUGUUUGUAAUUUGUGGGUUUCGGCAAGUCACCGAUUAGGUGGCUGAUUGGAUUGAGGGGUUGCGGGUUUGGAUGUAUUAGCUUUCAUUGUUAUGAUUUAUUUACGAGAGUUAGUGAAAGUCUGAAACAAAGAAGACAAUUUACUUGCAUGAAAGUCUGACAUAAAAAAGAUAAAAGGCAUGCUCAGUAUAAACAAGAUAUGUCACAACCCGAUUUUUUGAUCCAUGACCGGCAUACAGGCAAGAUUUCCUUUCAAGGUUCCAUACUUAUACAAACUCAAACUUACAUACAAACUUAUUUAUUAAAUAACUCAAUUAGAGUUCAACGCAACAAUAACAUCAAAACAAACUUCAUAAUAUAAUUGAUUGUUUUAAUACAAGAGUUAAUAUAAAUUCAUAGUUGUGGGGCACUAACUAGACAUAAAACAAAAGUACAAAUUACUACCAAAAAAGCAGGUUCUGAAGAUCCAACAAAAACGACUCACUAACAAGCUAUAAGACUGAAAAGAUAAAUAAUGAGAGAGUGAGUUCAACAACUCAUUGAGUAAAUAACGUUCAAUAUACACACACGAGAUGAUACAAUAAUGAGGAAUUUAUAUACAAUUAUGGUUUUAAGUUAUUAUAGGAAGGUUUCUCAAAUAGGUCAUAACAAGAAUAUCAUAAGGUAAAGCUCAUCACAAAAUCAAAGUGCAAUAAACAUGAGGCUCCGUACUGUUGAAUGAUGAGUGCACACAGGUUGGUCACUACUCCGACCAAUUUGGGUUUAGAUACGAUGUACACAAAGGCUAACACUACCCUGUCAGCAUGGAUAUUCUGACUGGCAUACCAUAGGUUCAUAAUCAUAAUCAAUGCUCAACUCAUGACAUCAAUCAAAUGAGGAGCUAUCAUUUCAUAAGUCAAUUAUAUAUUAUCAAGAAGCAUGAUCCAAUUCUUUUUAACAACUCAAGUAUCUAUAAUAUUUCACAUGAUAUGGAAAAUUAUCAACUCACCUUACUGGAAAGCAAACAGAACUUGAAAGCAAAUACCGAAGGAAAUCCUACUAAUAUCCCGCUGGUAGAAUAUCAGGAUUAUCUGAAUAAAAAAAAGACAUAUUCAAAAAUGACUCGAAAGAGCAUACAACCUAUUUAAUACACUUAACUAAGAGUCUAUUUCAUAACCCUAUAUGUUUUGAACUAAACUAGUUAUUUUUCCUAUAAACCUGAAAAUUAUAUGGUUUCCAGAAAUCUAAUUCAUAAGAAAAUAAAUAAUAAGACUUGAUAAUAAUAUACUAAAUAACCCUCAAAUAUUAAUCAAACCAAUAAAAAAAAGCUAAUAUUACAACUAGGGAUUGUAAGACCCAAACUUUUGGCCAAACCUAAGCCCAAGUCAACCCAAACCCAACCUAAGUUAACCUAGGUAUUUAAGGAAGAGUUGCAAGAGAAUUACUUUCUCUCUUCUAAUUCUUGUAGCCGUCGUGACCCUCCUCCCUCAAACCUAAGAUUUUAGUUUUUGAUCUUGAGUUUUCGGUUCAAGAAAGGUGAAAUAGCAAGUAAGUGAUUCUCUUUCAUAUUACUUUUGAUUAUAGUUUGUUUAUGGAAUGAUUAAAGAAGAGAUUAGGGUUUAUAAAGUUUAGAAGUUUAUGUUGUUAAGAUUGAUUUAUGAUUAUUAAGGGUUAAUUUAAUAUUAGGUGAUUAAUUAGUAUGUUGUUAGAAAUAAGAAUUUGUGAGUUGAUUUGUUUAAAUUAAUUCUUAUGGGGUUAAGAAAUUCAUUUUUACCUUGCUGGAAAAUCUGGACAGAAUGGUCUUGAGGUUGAAGAUGACCAAAUUUUAUUUUGGUCCUUGAUUUAUGAAAAUUUCAGUUUAGUCCCUAAACUUUGGAAAAAUUACAAUUUGACCCCUAAAUAUAUUUUGAGAUUCUGGACAGUGUUAUUAUGAGAUUAAGGAUAUGAAUCUUAGUUUGAUAAAUGAUUUGGAAUAUUUCCAAUUUGUCUCUAAAUUUUAGGAAUUUACAUUUUAGUCCCUAAACUUUAUAAAAUUACAGUUCGGUGCCUGGUUCGUUCUAGAAAGAUUUAAGGAUGGUUUAUGGGUGAAAUUUCAGUAUGGUUAUGUAUUUAUAGUUUGGUCUAGUUUUGGUAAAAUUACGUUUUGGUCCCUAUUUUGGAUAAUUGUCGUUUUAGUCCCUAAACUUAGGAGACUAAACCUGGUUUUAUUUUAUGCAUUGGAAUCUUUUAUUUGUGUUGCUUUGAGUUGCUUUUGAGUAUAUUUCAUAUAUUUAUUGUAGGUUCUCCUAACGAUCCUCAAUAGGUUUUUCGGGUCUUUCAUCUGAUAUUCCUUUUAGUUCUAUAUUUUUCGGGAGUGGGAUAAUCUUUAAUAUGCAUAUAUUAUAAAUAAAUAUGUAUGUUGAUUAUACAAUGAGUACAACUAGUUAAUUUCUUGAAUAUUUAUAUAUGUUGCUUUAUUUUCCGAGUACUCAUUUAUUCUUGAAUUUGCACUCGCAAUCUUUCGAACUAAAUUCUAUUUGAUAUGAUAUACGUUUCUUUGAUGAUUCUGUAAAUACUAUUAUGCCUUGAUAUAGGACUUGUCAGUAACUCCAUGCUAACGGAGAGUAGUUAGCCUAUGUGCACAUAGUAUUCUGUAUACCUAGCUGGUGAGAGAGGCAUCAGCCUGUGGCGACUGAUCAUCCCAUAGUGGUCACCUUCGGGUGUCAUCUGAUCUCUGACAUGUAUUCCACUACGUUAUGAUAAUAUGUUUAGUAUGUAUAUGUAUAUGUAUAUGUAUAUCAAGAUAAAUCAUCUUGCAAACUAUUAAUAUCUAAAAUCUAAAAUGUAUAUUAAAUAUUAUUCCCUCACUGAGUUGAUUGAACUCACCCCUCAUUCUUAAUAUUAUUUAAAUUUUAGUUUCUGAAAGCAGUUGGACCUUGUUAGGUGUUUCCGCUUCUUCAAUUUUGGUCAGUAUGCCUUGCUUGUUCUGCGAGGCUUUCUUUUAGUUUUGAUUCGAUGUCUUAGACACUCCACCAUUAUCUUGUUUUAAUUAAGUUUGGAUUUUGACAAUGUAAUGAAUAUUAUGGAUUAUUAUUUUGUUUUAAUUACUAAUAAGGAGUUUUAAACUAUAUUUUGGUUUUAUCAGUUUUGAAUAAUAUAAUAUUUCUGAAGAUUAUAAAAUGCUGCGUAUUUUUGAAUAAAUUGUUAUUUUUGAUAUGUAUGUUAUGAGGCUUAGCGUAGGUGAGGUGUCCUUUCGACAUCGCUCCUACGUUGUCGAUCAUGGACCUGGGAUUCGGGUCGUGACAGGGACCAAUCUAGAAUUUUAUUAAAUUUUAGGGCUCAAAUUGUAAUUUAGUCAAUUUCAAGGACCAAAGUAAAAUUGUCAUAAAUCCAUGACUAUACUGGAAUUUUUCCCAUAAUUCAUCCUCAAUUCUGUCAAGAAACUCUAAUUAUGCUCCAGGGACCAUUCUGGAAUUUUAUCAAAAAUUUUAGGGUCAAAUUGUAAUUUUUGUGAAAUGGAAGGGCCAAAUUGAAAGUGUUAUAAUUCAUAACUAUACUGGAAUUCUGCCCAUAAUUCAUCUUUUCUUCUAUCCAGAAUCUCAUAUUACGUUCCAGGGAUCAAUCUGUAAUUUUUCAAAAUUUAGAAACUAAACUGAAAUUUUCACAAAUUGAGAGACCAAACUGAAAUUUCAUCAUCUUCAGCUAAGGGUGAUCAUUUUCGGUUUGGUUUUUGUAAAGAAAAGUAACCAAACUAAUUUUUUUAAAAAAACCAAAACCGGUUCAAACCGAUCGGUUUCGAUUCAGUUCGAUUAUUUUAGAACAAAAACUGGUUUUUUCGGGUUUUUUCGGUUUUUUGGUUUGGCUCUGUUUUUUCGAUUUGGCUAGGGUUUUUUUUCCGGUUUAGGUUUGGUUUUUUUGAUUUCAUGCUUAUAAAACCGAGCCAAACCAAACCAAUCGAUUUUUAAAAAAUUCUAAUUGGUUUAAUCAGGUUUUUUUUCACGGUUCAGUUUUUUUUGUUAUUUUUUCUGGUUUUCUUGGUUUAAUCAGUUUUUUGAUUUUUUUGCUCACCCUUAUCUUCAACUUCAAACCCAGAAUUUCCACAUAAAACCUAUUGUUAUAUCAAGAUUUCUAACUCAAAUUCACAAUUUAAACAAAAUCAUAACUCAAAAUCAUCAUCUUUACCUACAAUAUUCUAAAAUCAACUAAAUAAUUUAUUAUCCAUAACAUUCAAAUCAAUUCAUCAAUCAAAUCGAAAACAAAAUUUUCAAAACCCUAAUAUUCAACAAAAUAGAAUUCUAAAGCUAAAAAAACAUAUUAUACACAUCGAAGCCUUUUAACUUAUUUUCUUUAAUUCCCUUCUCCUUCCUUUAUCUUUCUCUCUUUUAUCUUCUUCUUCUCUUCUCCCGUCACUCCCUCUUAAUUUUCAAAUCCCUCUUUCUUUCUUUUUUUCUAUUUAUAGUUAUCAAGUUUUAUUCUAUUAUCACAAUAUCCUUUAUUCAUUUAUAUCUACUUCUAAGCCUCCAAGAACUUUGUAGCCUUUUCCUACUCUCAUUUAUUUAUAAAUCUCACAAGUUAAUUAUAUAGUGAAAUAUACUAAAUACCUCAGCUAUGAUCAGUCUUGGAUGAAUCCACGUUGAUAAAAUUUGCCCAAUUCCGCUAGCUGUCCUUCAAAAAAUAUUAUAUAGUUAUUCUGAGAAGAAAUUUUUAUUUAAAAAAAAAAGAGUAUCUGAAACUUAUAACUUGUAAGCUGUCUAGGCUUUAACUCUAACUGAUAUAAAAGAAUUAUAAGUAUACAUGAUUUAUAAACCCUACAUACAGUGAUCAGUUAAGAACUUUUUGGCACAAAUAUUGAAAAACAGCAUUGCCAAUGGUAGAGACCUUCAAUCCUUGUCGUUUAAGGUUCGUGAAAUAUUGCUGUUUUUUUGACAAGUUGCAGGCAGUUUCCAGUUCCCUAUACGUUCGUGGCGUGGCUUGUACAUAGGAAACGUGUCUCCUUGUAGGAGUUUCUCGUACUGUGAGGUAUCCUGCAUGCUUCUUUCCUUUCUGAGUUUGUAAACAUGUUAAACACCACCACUUCUCAGUUCUUGCAUUCAUCAGCUUCUUCUAAUGCUAAAAGUGAAGAAGUCAAGACUAAAAGUGAAGCCCAGGUUGAGAUUCAGGUUUUGUCUCUCUCUCUCUCUCUCGUAUUUUAUUUAUGGAACUUAUUGUUAUCAAUAUAGUACUCACGAGUGGUUUUAUUUAUGGAAAAACUGAAAAAUUAUGUAGGAAAGUGCUGAAAUAUUCUUCUUCUAUAUAUAUGACGUUCAACAUUUGUACUUGGUUCUAAGGCCAGAGUCUGGAGAGAGAGCGGUUGAGGAGAAAGCACCCCAAUCUGGCUUUAAAUUUCAGCAGUAUUGAUCAUGAUGGUGGAAGUAGUAGUGCUUCACAAUGGCUCGAGCCAGGGCAUGGAAGCCAGUUAAUUAAUUGUAAUAUAUUGUCCAAAAAUAUGUGUUUAGUAUAUAAUAUGCAAGUUCUUUCUCUCAAAGUUUUACAAUAGAGCUAGUAGUUAGAGCAAUGAAUGUGCUUUCUUUUUCUCUUGGAUUGUAGGUAGUGAACAAUGAAAAAGAGCCCUUGUUUGAGAUUGAUAGAAGAAAUGGGAUGUAAAAGUCUUCCAGAAGUCAGCAUUGAAUUUUGUUGCAGUUUCAUGGACAUCAAUUUGAUCAUAAAUUUUGAUUACCUGUUGCAUCUCAGAGGAAUAUGACACUGCUGCAACAAGAGGGCUCCGACACAAGUAUCCAGCAAGAGCAUUAGGAGAAGGCAUUUAUCGGAUACCAAGGCACAAAUCCAGGCAAGAGAAUGCAUGCUCAUUUGGUGUACAAGCUAGAGUUGCCAUCAAAAGACAAGGAAAACGAGCCUCAAGAGUCGCUUAACAUCGAACGUGAGGGCUCAUUUAUAAUUCACAUAAGGAAUCCCGAUCAACAUGGUGGCAGUUCCCAAUUUACAAUUGUAAACACAGGAGAGGAAAAGGUAGUUGCAAAUGUCUGCAUGAAUUCUAGCAUGCCAGAGAAGAAAUCCUUUUGCUGCCAUCUAAAGAUGGCUUCUCUAGCAGUCCGGAUGCCAAGACCACCCUUAUAAUUUUCCCUGGCAUCACCUUUACUAAACAUCUAGAUCAAAGAAGCAACUUGCUAAUUUGUUAAUAUACCCACAAAUCCUCCUAGCCAGCCAUGCUCAUACUUCAUAGUAUAGAGCGGAAUUGAUGGCAGCACCAGUGGGAGUGGAGUGAAUUGAAGUAUUCCAGGCACCUAAUUUACUGUGAGCUGCAAAACAACGUGGACAAUUGGAGGGUGAUGUGGCAAUGAAGACUUGAAUACACUUUAUUUUAAGAAGAAACUCAAUUUUGAUAGAUUGGAAACAUUAGAACAUAACUGUUUAUCUCAUCUUGUGUGUUUGGUUUUCAUCUACUCAUCCUAUUCCCCGAGUUCCCCUACAUUACUCUAGGGUCCUUUAACUAAUGUUAACAAACAUUAAAUGACACCUCCUUCCCUUAAGCAAAGAGCAGAUCAAUGAAAAAGGAAAAGAAACUAACCUGGAUUUAACGACACAGCAGGAACAGUGCAUAAAAAGGCAGGAGCACCAACCAAGUUAAGGUCAAAAUAAAGUUAUGGGCUGACCACUUGUUAGGAAGCUUUCUUGACGUAAGCUUAAAAAAAUAUAAGAACCAAAUCGAAAUGAGAAAGGACAGACACAAACCUGGAACAAAAAACAUUGCAGGUAACAGCGGACGCCGGACGAAGUUUCAGCAGACCUAACUAAAGCGCUGAAGCUGUCAGUACACCCUUUUUUUCACAAGCUGUGAACUAAAAAAGCAGCAAAAUCCUUAAAAGAAAAGCGAAGAAACUAGUCUGUAGAGACAGGUUCUAAAGAAACAGAACAGCAGAAGUCCAAAAAAGAUGGACCCAGGCAAAGUCGAUAACGACACCAUUUGAGAAAAACAUUUAGCUAUACGAAAAUGAAUGCAGUGAAGGAAAACCAUACCUGCUUAAGAACCAGCUGAAGGGUCAUAUAACCCUGACAAAGGCUAUUCGAUCGUGCCUAGUCAAAGGCAAUCAAACACACACAACAUUCCUAAACUCAUCAUAAAACCACUAAUCAAAAAUAGGAGGAAGCUCAGACAUGCUCUUAAACCUGAUCAAAAAGUGCUUCCCAAAAAAGAAAAAGAAAAAAAAAGAAAUCAGCAGGGUCUCUGAAAAGAAACAAAACUACGAAUCAUAGACAAUAAUCGCAAAUCACGAACUGGAGCAACAUUACGCAGCCAAAUACAUGGAACAUCAGGUGGUUGCGCCAGCAAAAGGUCGUCAAAAGAACCGAAAUCCUGAGAAAGAAAGCAGAAAAUAACACCACUGAGCUAAAUUCAACUAUAAAUAAAUGAAUAAAUUCGGGACAAUACAUGGGAAAAAAACUUUCAAAUGAAAAUGGGUGAGAAAAAGCAAUGGAAACCUGGAAGAUAAUAAAAAACCAACGACGGUAAAUUGAAUUCCAAUAGAGCUACACCACUGUGCAGAAGAGAGAAAGCAGGAAUGCAAAACCAUGUAAAGAAAAGAGAUAGAUUAGCAUAGCGACUCAAAUCAAGCUGAAAAUUCAUACCUAAACUCUCAUCAAUCAAAGUUGAUGCAAGAUGCACUCCCAUUGGUGGCUUCAAUUGAGAGGGAAGGGCAGGGCGGGAAACCAGGUGAAGAGAGGCAGAGUAAAGGCAGAUGCAAAAUGAGUUGAUGAGUCAAACGCAAUAGGUAGCAGGCCCAAGCAAAAGAAACAAAUAGCCCAAUAAUAAAAACAAUCAUGCUCCCAGCCCAAAGCCCAGCAACAUCACCAAAACAGAUGGAUAAAAGGCCAGGCAAGAUAAGUUGACCGUGAGGCAAAAUGGACUGCUGCUCCAAAUUUCCAAUGAUUGAAUAGAGACACGUGUCUUAUGCCCAGUAGAUUCACUAAUCCUUUUAUUAUUUUUUGUUAUAAAUAUAAUUAAAAUUAAAAAAAAAACUAGUUAAGGUUGUUUUUUUGUUGUUAAUGAUCCAAGCGUGUUUUAUUUUAUUUUUGAUGGUUUGUGGUAUAUAUUAUACAAUACAUCGAAAGAGAUUUUUUUUUUUUUUUUACCAUGAACUGUCUCAUUUAACAUUGGCAUUGCUUUUUUUAAAAAAAAAAUAUUUCACUUUGAUUUUUUGAAUUUUUAUUUUACAUGAUUUGGUACCUUUAAGCCCAAAUCAAAUUUCACCUUGAAAAGAAAAAAUAGUUGUUGGAAAAGAUUUCAACUACCAAAACAAUUUCGACCAUCAAAAAAUUCUAUAUAAUGAGGGGUUAUAAUUAGAUGUUUGUUUAUCUUGAAAACACCAAUAAAAAUAGAUCUAAGCUUGGGAAGAUUUUUAUUUUUAGUGGAUUUCGAGUUUUUGGCAAUUUUUUGAUGGCCAUGGACUAGUUCAAUGAGGUUUAUAAGGUGUUUCCAAGGUAUUUUUGGUCAAAAAUAGAUUAAAAAUCAGUUUUUUAGUAAAAAUAAUAAAGAACCCAAUUUUCCAACUGCCAACCUGCCACAUUAACUAGAUUUUGGAUUGUAUAAAUAAUAUGUUAUCUACUGCUACAAACGAUACAUAAUUUUUUUAAAAAAAUAUUUGGGACGGAUAACACAUUCACCCCCCUAUUAAAUUAAAAAAAAAAAGGUUCAUAAUCAGGUUUGGCAUUGCAGGCCAGUUGCUUUAUUGGGCAAGACUUAAAGGUGGUUAGCCUGUUUGAGAGUGUGAUUGUAGUUAUUUUUCAAAGUGUUUCACUUGAGAAUGCAUCAAAAUAAUUUUAAAAUAUCAAAAAAAUAUUAAUUUGAAGCAAAUAAAAAAAUUAAAAUUUUUUAAAGCGUUUUUGAAAUACAAAACAAAUUGAUAACUGAUGUUAAUGGUUAUAAUUGGUUAUCAUCCUUGACCUAGUUUACUACUAGAAGAAGAAGAAGAAGAAGAAGAAGAAGAAGAAUAAAUAGAAAAAUUAAAAAGAAAUAGCAUUUUAAAAAAAACAGCCAAAAAAAAGACAAAUAACAAAGAAAUAACUUGGUUAAUUUUGAUUACAAGGAGCUAAAUAAAAAGCUGCUGCGAGCCAAAUGUUCUCCAAAGUGCAAUGGAAGAAGCAAACUUUUCAAAACCAAUAAUGCUUGGGACAGAAAAACGACACUCCUUUCUUGGAUUCAUUUAUCUAGUAAUAUGGUUAAUAAUUGAGGGUAUAAUCAAUGGCGGAGCUAGGAAAUUUUUUUAUCUUGGGCUAUAAAAUAUUAUUAAUCCUCCCUUGUUGUAAAGCUAAGUUAGAGUUUGGCAAUUCUUACUUGCUCUUGAUGGUUUUGUAUUCUUGUGACUCUCUGUUUAAAUUCUUCUUCAAAACCUAAACUAAGACUUGAUGUUGUUGAGAAUUAGAAAAAAAAUUAAAAUUCCUUGGUGUUUCUCGAGUAUUAAUAAAGGUAAAAGAGUGGAUUUUUAAUAAAAUGAUAGAAGAAAACUUUUGCAAGGAGUGGGUUUUUAUAGAAAAAUAAAAGGGAAAGUUUUUAUUUUUUAUUUUAACGGAUGCGUUUAUAGAAGACAGCGUGCCUCCUAUUAGAAUUCGGGGUGGAGCCCCGAAAUUUUUUUUUUUUGCACAAAAUCCAUAAAGUUCUGCAUAUAAAGCUCCAAAUAAAAUUUAGUUAAAAUAACAAAAACACAACUAAAAUUAACCCUACAAAUAUGCUCCAAAUAAAAUUUAGUUAAAAUAACAAAAACACAACUAAAAUUAACCCUACAAAUAUGCUCCAAAUAAAAUUUAGUUAAAAUAACAAAAACACAACUAAAAUUAACCCUACAAAUAUGCUCCAAAUAAAAUUUAGUUAAAAUAACAAAAACACAACUAAAAUUAACCCUACAAAAACAUAUAGAACUUAACUACAACAUGAUUCCUAAAAAAAAGUAACAGACAAAUUAAAGCUCUUGGCAUUAGCUGCACUUGCAAUCCUAGAUCAUAGAUCAGCACACUCCUUUUCAAUUGGACCGGUAAUUGCUGAGCCUUCAUUUCUCCUUUGGGGUUCACAAUGACACUUGGCCACUUGAGAGAAUGUCUUCUGCGUCCAAACUCUCUGCAGCCAAACUCACGCCAUACGCAGCUGCCUCUGCAGGAUAUUUAUUGUUCAAAGGUUUUAGACACUCUUAAAAUAACUAAAUCAGAAGGCAAGCCGUUCAAGCGACCCUUAAUUCCCUUCACAGAUAUAAUGUAAAUAUUAUGCAGGAGAGUAUUAAGUUUUUUAAUAAAUUUUUUUUUUUACCUAGGCUACAGCCCACCUUAACCUCCUAUACUCCUCCGCCCUUGGGUAUAAUGGUUAUGUCCGGUACCAUAUUACUAUUAAAAAAAAAAUUCUGAGUUUUUGUUAAGUUUAUUUAUUUUUUUAAUAAAUAAAGUCUAUACUAACUACUAACACUACUUUCUUGGAUUCAUUACAUGUGUCAAGAGGAUAUAGCGUGAGGGAGGGACCCUAUGCUUUAAAGUUGUCACCACACUUAGAUGGAUUUGGACACGCAAGAUAAGAAGGAAGGGUCAUUUUCUUCACCUUGAUUUGUGGAAGAUGUUGCCAGGUGCAGUCAAUCAAAGAGGGAGGGACCCCCUGUUUUGAAUUUGAAACCAUAUCUCAUCAUUUCAAAACAUACUUUAUUUCGAUUAUUUGAAAAUAUAUUAAUGGUUUUUUAAAAGUAUUUCUUAUUUUAAAAUAUAUAUUUUUAUUUUUUAAAAAUUAUUUUUAAUAUUAAUACUUCAAAAUAAUUUGAAAAUAUAAAAAUAUAUUAAUUUAAAAUAAAAAUAAAUAAAAAAUUUUCAAAUAUUUUAAAAAUUGCUUUUCAAAUAUAAUCACAAACAUUUACUUCAUCUUCCUGAGUGUGAUUGUUGGUUUUAGAGGUUAGUUUUGUGUAUGAAAUUCAUAAUUAAAUUUAAAAAAAUAAUUUAAAAAAUAAUUUUUAAGUUUAUAAUUAAAUUCUAUCUAACCUCAACAUCAAUCACAACUUCUAAAAGAAAUACACACUUUAAAUGAAUUGAUCAAAUCCUUUUUAAAAAAAAAUAAAAAAAAUUUAACAUAAUAUUUUUUUAUAUAUAUUUUCACAUUAUUUUUAUUUUAAAUAAUUAUAAAUAAUAAAUAAUUUAAAAACAACUUUUAUUUAUUCUCAAAUAACUAGUUUCACACCAUACUUCUUUCUGUCCAGACUUAAUAUUAUUUUUUAUUUUAUUUUUAAACAUCAAUAUUCAUUAAUAAUGUUUUUUAAUUUAACCAGACAUUUAUAUUCAUUAAUAGCUUUUUUUUUCAUUGUUAUUUAGGCAUAGCGGUGAAACUCAUGGUAAUUGAACAUUUAAUAUUUUUCCAUUCUUGGGUAAUUUUUUAUUUUAAUUAUUAUUAGAGGCUAAUAAUUGAAUGAAUGUUGUGAUUUGUGAUAAUUUAAUCAGGAAUGGUUGCAUGAGGCUGUAAAGUAUAAAUUCCACAUGAGGGGAGGAGUAAAUAUUGUGAAAAUCACUAAAGUUAAUAAUUCAAAAACAAAACCAUUUACCUGAUCAAAAUGAGAUUAGUAUUUAUGAGAUUAAUUAUUAAUUAAGAGGUGAGUUUGUGUCAAACUAAAUUCAAACAAGUUUGAUAAUUUUGAUGAGAAAUCAAAUGUAAAUCAUUGCUUAACAUGAAAGAAAUGUUUUUCUUUUCUAUUCAGGUUUUGUUUAUAUAUUAGAAUUAAAAAAAUAUAUUAUAAUAUGUGCUUACACCAUUUUCUUGUGUAAAAAUCUGCUUUAGUUUCACUAAUAUAAAUUGGGAGCCUUGAAGGAGUAGUUGACACCUGACUUCAAGCGACAAAUCUGGUCAGCAAAAAAAUAUAAAAUUAAUUUAUAUAUUAUAAGCAAACAAGAUUACCGUUGUUAGGUUCUUUUUUCUCUUCUUUAUUACUUCACCUCUUAUUUUUAAUUUUUACUCUUAAAUUAAUUAAAAUAUAAAUAAUAAACCAAUAAUAUAUAUAUAUAUAUUACUUUUCAAAUUGUAAUAUUUAUUAAUCUGCAAAAAAUUAAACUAAAUACAGUAUGCCGACAGAGGCGUCUGUGGGAUUUUAUUAGCCAUGGCAUGAUAGAUUGACACUGGUGGUUCGUGAAAGAUGCUGCUAAUAGCCAUCAAUCAAUUAGUAUAGGGAGGAAGGGACCCUCAUGCCACUAUGGUCUGAAGUUGAAUGUAUCUCAUCAUUCCAAAACACACUUCAUUUCAUCUUUUAAUAUUUCACACCAUACUUCUCUCUCUCUUGUGCUCAAAAUUUCUUUUUUACAACCAAAAGAAACUACUCUUUAUUUUUAUUUUUUUUGUAAUUUGUAUUUUUUUAUAUAUCCAGUUAAUGCUUCACAAUUAUAAAUUUAUAAUUAGUGUGAAACCUGCUUACUUUCAUCACAAUACGUUAACUCUGGUCAUAUAUAUAAAGAAAGAAUAAUUGGCUGUAAGAUUAUAAUGACCAGCUAGCUUACUCCAAAAUACAAACAUCCAAGAAAAUGCAAUUAACUGUGUUUUUUUUUAAAUCCUGUCAUUAUCAAACUCAACAACUUGCUUCAUUAAAAAAAGAAAAACAAACAAUAAAGAAAGACUUCGGCAGAGAGUAGACACAAAGUAAUUUUUUAAAAUGAAGGACCCGAGCAAUAGGUGGGUUCGCACAAGAACAAGACAGAUAAUUAGUGUGAAACCUAAUUGCCAGUUGUGACCACCCAAUUAAGACAAAAUCAUUAUUAGGUAGACUAUGUUAAGAAUAUCAUAAAUCAGUUUUCUGAUAUAGGUUGGGGUGCCCGGUGAUUAAUGUCAAUUUCAGUAAUUAUUUUAGUUUUCUAAUGAUGUUCAUGAAUAUCCAUAGUUUAGCCAGACCAAAAAAAAGAAAAAAAAGAAUUGCAGCAGAAAGCAAGGGGGCAUCUCGCAGUAUCACAUGGCAAACACUUCUGUAAACUAUUAAUAUGGUCAGGCACAUCAGGGUGCGGUGCUACUGCUACCUAUGUAUUAGCACAACACUCGAACAAAAGUCCAUCGGCAAAGAAAACCUAGCUAAAAACAGGGGUUAGUUCAUGUGAUUCUGGAAAACGCAGCCACCUUGAGUGUUUUUCUUUAUAUGAAAUCAAAUACAAAUAUGAUAUCAAAUAAGUUCAAAUAAACAUGGAUCAAUAAUAAUUAAUCUGAUUAUUGACAAUUAAUGUGUUAGGGGUGAUCACAUCGGAUGCGCAGGUCGCAAGCUCUCUUGUCUGCCAUUUUUUUUGUCGCGUUUGAGAAAUAUAAUUGAGGGCCUUGAACAAGUAGUGAAUGGAUGACUUCAUACUGCAAUAAUACUAAAUCAGAUGACAAAUCUCAUCACAUUGAUUGAAAAAGUCGAAUCCUAGAAAGCAACUGGCCGGCCAUUAGAAUACUUUAACUCAAACAUAUGUUUAUAUAAAGAAAGACUUCGCAGAAGACUGUACGUAAGAUUUGGAAAUGCAAUUAAAUAUGUUUGUUUUUUUUUUUUUUAAAUCAUUUCCUUAACAACUUGCUGCAUCAAAAAGAAAGAAAGACUUGGAAGAAGACUUAUAAAUUAUUAUUUUUUAAAUAACAUAAGACAGAGAGGCGAAUGUGUAAUUUUGUCAGCCGUGGCAUGACAAAUUAACAUACGCAGACGACGAAAGGUAUAGCAAUAUCCUUAUGCAGGUGGGAUCUCUCAUUUUCAUCAAAUAAGAAAGUGGAGUCUUAGAAAGGUCUUGUUUCAUGGCGGAGGUGGAACAUUCAUGUUUGGCCUUUGCAUGAUGUUCUGUAGCUAAAAUUGUAGUGAGAAAUUGACGAAAAACGUAAAAGGAAAAAUCUGCAAAAUACAAUAUGCCGACAGAGGCGUAUGUGGAAAUUUCUUAGCCAUGGCAUGACAGUAGUGGUUGGUGGAAGAUGCUGCCAACAGCCAUCAAUCAAUUAGUAUAGGUUGGAAGGGAGCCUCAUGGCACUGUCUCUGCUUUAUUGUUGGCCUUACUGAAUUUGACAUUAAUCAAUUAGUAUAGGUAUAGCCAUCACUAAUUUAGCAUGAACAGUGCAGCAUGGCUACACUGUUUACGUGAACAGUGUAGCCAGUAAUUUUAUUCAAGUCUAAAUUGCAGUGUUGAUGUGAUCUGAGCAAGGCAUUACAGCCUCUCUAUUAAGUUUUUCUCCACUGAUAUAAGAUUUGCACGCACAAGAAGAAAAUAGCAACUUAAUUAGUUGAAGUAAAUUCAACAGCCUCUACAAACUCAUUCCAACCUCAAAGUCGAUUUUAAUUCAUCCAGAAAGUUUUAGGAACUUCAACAACUCUUGAAAACUAAACUGUAAUUCCAGGUCUUUAUUUCUUUUUUGGACCCUUUCAUGGAUGUCACCAUCAUUAAUAGACUCCUCUCUCUAGAAGUCUUCAUCUAUUUUUUAUAUUAUAUCAAACAUUAUACGUAGAGAUAUAAAUGAUCCAAAAAUCAUGUAAAUUUCUUGUUUUACACUAUGGAUCUGAUGAGGACUCAGGUGGAGCAGAAAUCAGCGGAAAAGAAUCGGCAGCAGCGCAGAGUGUGUGCAUGAGUCCUUGUAAGGGUGAAUAUGCAGCUGCUAUAAGUCGGCAACCAGAGGGAGUUUUCUAGUGAUAAUUGGACAGAGAGAAAGAAGAAGAAUUCUACAAGUAACAGGAGAAGAGAAGUCCAUAAAUAAGAGACUUUAUAUAGGGGUAGAGUAGAUCUUUGAGUUAAGGUGCUGAUAUUGCAGGCAGAUGCUAAAUAGAACAACAACAAAAUAAAAAAAAGAAGAAGAAUUAAAUGUAGACUACAACCUUACAAGUUCAAAGUGCUACAUCUUCCACACAAAUAAUGAUGGGAAGACGUUCAUCCAUAACAGAAUUAAAUGUAGACUAGAGAAUGAACUAUUUGUUGAUCAUAAUAAAUCAUAGGCUGGUCAGGAUGCAGUCACUAAUAAAAUUCUAUUGCUUCCAGAAAAAUAACACAGAAUGAUUAAUUUUUUAAAAUAAUAUAUAACGAUGUAGUAUGAUUAGAUUGAUUGUUUUUAUGUGUUAUCUCUCCCUCCUGCGUUUUGAUAUACGUCUUGCUUAGUUUACAUGAAAAAUAUGUAGUAAAUACAAACUCUGGUAAAAGAAAAAAAAGUUGUUUAUUAUUUUGUAUGAAACAAUUUAGCUACGUUGACAUAAUAAUAAUAAGUUUCAAGCUUUGUAUUCAUUUAUAUAAAUCAACAAUUCAAAAAAGAAAUUACUAAUUAAGAGUUCAAACUAAAUUCACAUAAAUUUGAUGAGAAAUCAAGUUUUGCUAUGAAAUGGAAACCAUUAUCUAACAUUAAAAGAAUAAUAUUUUUUUCUAUUCAAGUUCAUACUAUUCUUUUUUCUAAACUUUUAAAAAAAUGGAGCAUAAAGUUUUUUUUUAGCAAUAUCAUUAAAUCCAAUUAAAUAGUUUAAUUUUGAAAUUUAUUAACCUAGUUCAUUGCCUAGCUCAAAUUUUAAAUUACAUCAGGUGAAAACUGAUCUAAAAAUAAAUUAUUUAAUUUGAUGAGUUCAAAAAUAAUUUAAAUAACCUGUAAAAAUAUGAUAUAAUUUUUAAAAGAACUUUAUGAAUGAAACCAUGGUGUUAUGUAUAAUUAAUUGAUUGAUAUCUUGGUAAGAAGUUAGCUGAAAAAGAACACAUCCUUUUUCAUGGAUACAAUGAGUUGCUAUCAUGUUAAAUAUGUAUAUUUAAAGAAAGACUUGGCAGAAGACUGUAAGAUUAGGAAAUGCAAUUAAAUAUGUUUGUUUUUGUAUAUCAUGUUUUUUAAAUAUGUUUAUUUUUCUAGAUUUCUUGCUUUAUUUUGGUAUUUUAAUGUGAGUUACUUAGUUUAUUUUCUUUUUAAGAUUUUCUAGUUUUAAUAUGGAUAAUAUAUCUUCUAGAUUUGAAAGGAAAGGUAAUCUUAGUAUAAAAGCCAACUGUAGAGAUAUUCCUCUAGGUGGCUGGCUACAUAUGCAGACGACGAAAGGUCUAGCAAUAUCUCUGCUGGUGUUUCUUUUGUUAGCCAUGGCAUGGCAAAUUGAUAGUGGUGGUUCGUGGAAGAAGCUGCCAACAGCAAGAGACUUCCAUUUCCGCACCCUUCAAGAACAUCUACCCUUUCUUUAUAUCUGCGGCUAAAAAUCUAGUGAUAAAUUUACGAAAUAUGUGCAAGAAGUUAUUCUAAAUACAUAGAAUGCUGACAGAGUCGAAUGUGGAAUUUUCUCAGCCGUGGCAUGACAAAUUAACAAUGGUGGUUCGUGGUAGAUGCUGCCAACAUUCAUCAAUCAAUUAGUACAGGAGGAGGACGUGAUUUGUUUUAUUUUUUAAUGAUAAAUAAUUAUAUUAUUUUUAAUGAGUUGUUUUGUUUUUAUUUUGAUGUUUUUUCAUUAGUAGUACCAACUUCGUUUAUUUUAAAAGUAUAACUAGAUUUUAUUUAAUAUAUUUUAAUAUUCUUCGUAAAAUUUCAACUCAAUCUAUUGUCGAAUUAAAAAUUACAUCUAAUAACAUAAAAUUGAUUAAAUUAUGAUUUUUCAUCAAAUUUAUUAAUUUCUUUAAAAAUUCUAAAAUUUUAACUCAAGCUAAAACAUCAUAUUAGAAGGUUUCACGUAAAUUUUCAGAAUUUUUUCAUAAUUCAAUUGAGAAUUAUAAAUUUAUUUUUAUAUAAAAUUAGUAUAAAAAUAUUGAUAAAAUCUUAAUCUGAGCUAUAAAAAAAAAAAAAAAGUUAAAGGAGGUUUUGAUAGUGGGAAGCUUAGAGGGAGUUUCUUUCUUUCCGGAGAGGCAAAUGCGGUUGCUUUGCUUUAUGGAAAGAAGAGAAGGGAACGGAAGAAAAGAGAAAAGAUGUCUUCACCAAGGGAAGCAAUCAAGAAUCUUUGCUUUUCCACACAAGAGUAUAGCGCAGGGCAAGGCAAUAUUAUAACAGGUUAUCUACAGUGACUUCCUCUGUAUCUUCGAGCUUUCCACGCAGUCACAGCUUGAUGAUGUCUCUUUCCUUUGUUACUGCGUCACGACGUCUUUUUGGAAAUUUAUUGGUAUUUAAUUUUAAGAUAAUUAAAAUAAGUAUUAGUCAAAAAAUGGUAAAUUAAUUUUACAUAAAAAAGUCAAAAAUUCUCUUUUAUUAUUUAUUUUUUAUCUUGACAAAAACAUAUAUAUAUUUUUAAUUAGCAACAUAGUUGUUUUAAUAAAUAGAAAACUUGGUAAUUUAAAUAAGUAUUCAAGAAUUUUUAAUUAUUUAAAUUAAAAGGGAAAUCCUGAAUGGUUGUUAAUAAAUUUGUUUUGCUCUCUGUUUUUUAGUCACUUUUUUUUUUUAUAUUUUGUUAUAUGCUUUGCGUUGGAUUCCACUUGUCUAGGCUUUCUUAACAUUUAUAGAUGGAGCGCAUGCGCGGUCCUUCUGCCUGAAUAGUAUACCAGUGAGGUUUGAAUCGGUCAUUUACUAUUAUCUCACAAAUUAAUAAAGAUGAAAGCAUAGUUAUUAAGAUUUUACUUUUACAAUCUUUUUGAUUUAUGAAUAUGCUUUCUUUUUUCUUGAUUUUUAAGUUUAAAUCCUCAAAUAAACAUUUAGAAAUACUUCAUAAAUUAAUUUAAAUAUAGAAAAUCAAUAUAGAAGCAUUACAUUUUUAUAAAACAGAUAAUUUAGCCUGGUCAUAAAGAGUUUUUGAUCUAUUAAUUAUGAAUUUUCUUAAAACCUCACCCCGAGUUUUCAUGGGAACACAGAAAUAAAAAGACUCCCAAAAUCUCUUUUCAAAUUUAGUUGCAAGUGAAGGAUUAGAAGAGCUGCCUAAUCUAUUGUGGAUUGGGUGCUUGAAAUUCUUCAAACUUUAUUCAUCUUUAAUUGUGAAAAUCUAGAAAAUUUAGCCUUAGAAGUCUUCGGAUGUGAAAAUCUUAGUAGCUUGAUUUCUUUGCUAUGAAGCAUAACAUACCUCACCACUCUAGAAGAAUUUUGUAUUAUUGAAGGUAAAAAGCUUGAUUUGAUAACAAUAAAAGAAGAAAAAGAAGAGAAAAGCUUAGUUAUUGGUAAGUCUUCAAAUAUUAGAAGGGAAAGUGGUGAAGAAACAUCUCAUUAGGUACGAGUUAUGAGGAUUUAAAUAUAUCAUAUUUAGUUUCACAUUUUUAUCCAUUCUCCAAUUCCUUUUAUUUCGCUUAAAUUAUUUUCCCUAAAAAUAAAAUGCAAUGUUUAUUUGACAAAACCUCGUGUUUUGGAGGGACAUGUUUAAGUGGAACUCCAUCAGAUUUAACCAGAGCAAAGAACAAGACAAGGCAUGUCAUGAUAAAAUACAAAGUUAACUAAUUUCAUUCAGCAAUUUAAAUCUCUUUGAACUUAAUACAUCAUUACUAAAUUCUAUGUUUGUCUAAUUUCUUUGAGUCUACUACUGUGAUGGUCCUAUCGGCUAAGAUCUUCUACAACAGUUAGUCAUUUUCGAAGAUCAGCUUAAGGCUCGGAGUAUCUGUUUUAUGUAAUUUUCCCUGCCUUAAUUUCCUUGGCUAGCUGUGUGUGAUGAUUUGCCAUCAAUAAAUUGAUAAACUUUUAGUUGUUCUGAAUUAUUGGCUUGCCUCUUUAUUUUAUUCAACUUAUCUUAUUUAAAAUAAUUACGUGAUCAUUGAAAUAAUUAUGUUAAACAUAUAAACUCGUCAUUCUAAACAAACUAAAAAACUGAAGUUGGGAGGAGAUCGAAGUAACAAUUAUGCUACUUGUUUCAAAUAAUACAACAGUCAUCAAGAAUUUCAAACUUACCGUAAUGUCUCAUUCAUGAGUUUCAAAGAUAUUAAAGAAGAGACAUCCAUUUCCGCACCCUUCAAGAACACCUACCCUUUCUUUAUAUCUGCGGCUAAAAAUCUAGUGAUAAAUUGACGAAAAAUAUGCAAAAAGUUAUUCUAAAUACAUACAAUGCUGACAGAGGCGAAUGUGGAAUUUUCUCAGCCGUGGCAUAACAAAUUGACACCAGCCAUCAAUCAAUUAGUAUAGGGAUGAAGGGACCCUCACGCAACUUUCUCUGCUUUAAUGUUCAAUGCAUUCCAAUGCUCACUUCAUUUUGCUUACCAAAAAAAAAAAAUGCUCACUUCAUUUCAUCUUUAAAAUACUUCACAAUUAAUUUUGUAAAAAAUUAAUUUGAACAAAAAAAAUUAAUUAUUUUUAAAAAAACAUUUUUGAACAUAAAAAUAAUUAUUUUUAAAGUAUUUUUUAUUUAAUAAUAAUAUAAUAUAUUUUUUAAAGCCACCUUUAAAUCUAGCUUUCAGUGGGGCAAAUCUAUAUGGAACGUGACUUUCACUUCUUUGUUUGCUGUGAGGUACUAUUAUGUGUCGGUGGCUUGAAGCUACUAGCUUAUCACUUUUUGUUUACUGUAGGAAUGGGGAGAUCCUAGGAAGGAGGUGUUCUACCACUACAUGAAGUCAUAUUCUACUGUUGAUAAUGGAAGUAUUCAGCUUUGAAUCGGUUCCUCAUGUUCAUGAUCAAUAGCUUUGAAUCGGUUCCUCAUGUUCAUGAUCAAUAGUUCCUCCUGUCGGCAUGGUAUUUGGUAUAGUUUAAAAGUUAUACCAAAUACCAUGCCCACAGAGGCGAAAAUGGAAUUUUAUUAGCGAUGGCAUGACAGCUUGACAGUAGUGGUUCGUGGAAGAUGCUGCCAACAGCCAUCAAUCAAUUAGUAUAGGGAGGAAGGGACCCUCAUGCAACUAUGCUCUAAAGUUUAAUGUUUCUCAUCAUUCCAAAACACACUUCGUUUCAUCUUUUAAUAUUUCACACCAUACUUCUUGUGCUCAAAAUUUCUUCUUCGAUCCCCCCACACCCCCCAAAAAAAGAAAAAAGAAAACAGAGAAUAUGGUAGCAGAGCUUCUUCUUACGUUUGCCAUGGAGGAGACUUUGACAAGGGUCAGUUCCAUAGCUGCUGAAGGAAUCAGACUAGCCUGGGGAUUGAAGGGCCAGCUGCAAAGGCUCAACAAGUCUUUGACCAUGAUCCAAGCUGUGCUCCAAGAUGCAGCCAGAAAGCCAAUAACAGACGAUUCGGUGAAGCUUUGGCUGGAGAGGCUACAAGAUGUAGCUUAUGAUGCUGAAGAUGUUCUAGACGAGUUUGCUUAUGAGAUUCUCCGAAAAGACCAAAAGAAGGGAAAGGUACGUGACUGCUUUUCACUCCACAAUCCUGUUGCAUUCCGUUUGAUUAUGGGUCAAAAAGUUAAGAAGAUCAAUGAAGCCCUGGAUGAAAUCCGGAAAGAUGCAGACGGAUUUGGGCUGAUAAUUACAUCUCAACAACAUGCAGAGAGAGCUCCUGAAGUUACCCGGGAUAAAGACCGAGAGACAGAUUCCUUCCUUCAAAGCUCAGAAGUUGUAACAGGAAGGAAGGGUGAUGUCUUUAAAGUCAUGGAAUUGCUGACUAGCUUGACCAAACACCAACAUGUCCUUCCGGUUGUCCCUAUAGUGGGGAUGGCUGGCCUUGGAAAGACUACUGUAGCAAAAAAAGUUUGUGAAGUGCGGGAGAGAAAACACUUUGAUUUAACAAUCUGGGUUUGUGUUUCUAAUGAUUUUAGUAAAGGGAGGAUUUUAGGAGAGAUGUUGCAAAAGAUUGAUAAAUCUAUUGGUGGGUUGACCAAUCUAGAUGCAAUUAUGGAAAACCUUAAGAAAGAGCUGGAAAGUAAGACAUUUUUUCUUGUUCUUGAUGAUGUGUGGAAUGAAGACCGUGAUAAGUGGGAUGAUUUGAAGGAGCAACUGUUAAAAAUUAACAGCAUGAAUGGGAAUGCUGUUGUUGUUACAAC